ACAUACGGACUCUAAAAAUAGCCUAUACUUAUGUAUUUCGAAAUUACAUGGGCCUGGCCCAAUAAUAAGGUGACGCAGCACCUAUAAUAACCUCGGGACGAAAUUUAUGAAGUGGCAUCUUGUAUAUUUCGUCCAAGGCUUCAUGCGCCCAUUAUGGUGGCUUCAAAGUCCUGAAAUCAUCACUUGUAACUCCGUUCUUGUUCCCCUUGUGCAUGCCAUCAUCUCCAUGCUUGUUCUUGCUCCAAUGUUCAUCCUUCUCCAAGCUAGGCCCUUUAUUUGUAAGCAAAACAAAUGUAUCCAAUUUAGGCAGCAUCAUAUUCUCAUGAACAUUAGAAUCAUUACCAAGAAACGAAAGUACCUGGUAAUUUAGUUGGCGUGCGCGAGCUCUAGUAAUUGGUCCAGUAUGUAUAGCAGCAGGGCCUGUGGGUGUAACAAUUGUAUUGAUGUCCUCAUCAAACGGAGAGGAAACACAACAAGAAACACGAGAGGAAACACUAAACCGACAUGAAUAAGUCAUACAUGGGCUAGAUACUCGAGUACACAGGGGGAGAUACAUGAAUCCACGGACAACUAAGGACGAUACACGGUAACCGGUUCUUCUCCAUGAGGAGGUCUUGAAUCCACAAGGGGAUCUUCCCGUAAGGGGGCUUGAAUCCGCUUGGGGGAUCUUCUCCGGUGGAGGCUCGAAUCUCCGAGGAGAAGGUAACCAAGUGGAUGAGCAAAGCUCUCUCACAAAUAUGAGCUAAACAUUUGCUAACCCUAGUACGGGGCUAAGGAACAAGUAUAUAUAGUCUAAAUCCACGAAAGGGUAAGUGACGAGGGGAUGCAUGGGCCCUAGGCCCGUUCUCUGCGCACAGGCAGGGCUGUAGUACUGGGCAACGGGCAGUAGUACCUCUCAAAGCGGUAGUGCCGCUGGUACAGGCGGUAGUACCGGACCCGGGUCGUGCGAACACAUGGAUUUGUCGGGUUGAGCGGUAGUGGAGCGGAUGCCCGGCGGCAGUACCGCUUGAAGGGCUUCAGCGGUAGUACCGCUCGCCAGUGGUAGUACCGCUCGUCCUGGCGUGUGCGGCUCCUCUUCAGGCUCUUGACGUCCAUCUCGUUCCGUAGCUCCUUCUAGGCUAGUUCCUUGGUACCUAAUGACACAAAACAUCUUCGUUUGAGGUAGUAACCAUGUCUCAAGUGGAUCGGAGUGGAAUUAUGAGAGGAGAGAUGUCACCUCGGUUUCAAGAGCUCUUGCACGUGCUCGUGUCAUGGGUCCAAGAGGUGUCGUAGUAGAUGUAGUUGGGUCCAUGGGGAUGGCCUUGGGAUGCUCCGCAUCAUCUCCCCUCCCUUGGGGAAGAUCCGUCCUCGGAUCAUAUUCUUCAUCACCAUGGAAGGGAGAGAGAUCUUUGACGUUGAAGAUGUCGCUCACGUUGUACUUGUCACGCGGGAGGUCGAUCUUGUAAGCGUUGUCGUUGUAGUGUGCAAGCACCUUGAAGGGUCCAUCCGCUCCUGGUCGAAGCUUGGACUUGCGUUCUUGUGGAAAGCAGUCCUUGCGAAGGUGUAGCCACACGAGAUCACCAAUGUUGAAGACCAUAGGUUGCUUGUUAAAGUUGAGCUUGGUCGCAAGGCAUUGAACUUGGCGCUCGAUGGUGUUUCUUGUAUCGUCAUGCACCUUCUUGAGAUGUGUCACACGCGCACUUGCGUCCAAAUUGAUGCACUCUUGGAGUGGUAGAGGAAGAAUGUCCAAUGGUGACAAUGGGUUGAAUCCGUAAACGACCUCGAAAGGAGACUUGCCGGUUGUUGAGUCUCUUGCUCGGUUGUAGGCGAACUCGGCGAUAGGUAGGCACUCCUCCCACUCCUUGAUAUUAUUCUUGAUAAGUACUCGAAGUAGAGCGGAGAGUGUGCGGUUUGUCACCUCCGUUUGGCCGCCGAUUUGAGGAUGGUACGCCGUGGAGAAGAGUAGCUACUACUUGAUUCCGAGCUUGGUGCAUAGGGUCUUCCAAAAGUAGCUAAGGAACUUGACGUCGUGGUCUGAGACAAUUGUCUUUGGCACACCAUGGAGACGCAAUAUUUCCCUACAAAAGAGAUUAGCAACAUGUGAAGCAUCGUCUAUCUUGUGACAAGGAAUAAAAUGUGCCAUUUUGGGGAAACGGUCCACAACGGCAAAUAUGGAGUCUUUUCCAUUUCGAGUUCUAGGCAAACCAAGUACAAAGUCCAUGCUAAUGUCUUCCCAAGGUUGGUAUGGAAUUGGUAAAGACAUAUAGAGACCAUGAGAUUGAGCUUUGGACUUAGCUUUGCGACAUGUAGAACACCGGUUGGUGAAACGAUUAACGUCUCGAAACAUCUUUGGCGAAAAGUAGCUCUUCGAGAGUGUGGCGAACGUCUUGUCACGUCCGAAGUGUCCCAUUAAGCCUCCUCCAUGCGAUUCCUGCAAAAGCAACAAACGAAGGGACGACUCGGGGAUGCAAAGUUUGUUAGCUCUCAUAAGAUAGCCGUCUUUGAUGUAAUAGCGUUCCCAAGAUGUAUUCGACAAACACUUGGCAUAAGGAGUAGAAAAAGUUGCAUCAUGCUCAUACAAGUCUUUGAUAUGCUCGAAGCCAAUGACAUCUAACUCAAGUUGCAUGACAAGCAUGCAUAUGCGGGAAAGAGCAUCCGCUACUAUGUUUUCUUUACCCUUGAUGUACUUGAUGACAUAGGGAACAGAGUCAAUAAAUUCACUCCAUUUAGCAUGACGCUUGUUCAACUUAGUUUGUCCCUUAAGAUACUUGAGAGUCUCAUGAUCGAUAUGAAUGAUAAACUCAUGGGGACGACGGUAAUGUUCCCAUUCAUGCAAAACGCGGACUAAAGCAUAUAGCUCUUUGUCAUAGAUGGGAUAAUUGAGUUGCGCUCCGGAAAGUUUCUCACUAAAGUAAGCUAUGGGGCGCUUCUCUUGCGUUAACACACCUCCUAUGCCAUUACCACUAGCAUCACAAUGAAUUUCAAAAGGCUUGUCGAAGUUUGGUAAAGCAAGCACGGGAGCAUGAGUAAGCAUAUUCUUAAGCUCAUUGAAUGCAGUAUCUCGGGAAGGUCCCCAAACAAAAGGCGCAUUCUUCUUGCUCAAAGCAUGCAAAGGUGAAGCAAUGGUGCUAAAAUCCUUCACAAAGCGAUGAUAGAAACCCGCAAGGCCAAGAAAACUACGCACUUGAUGCAAGUUGGUUGGUUGCGGCCAAGUCUUAAUAGCAUUGAUCUUGGACUGAUCAACAUGAACACCCUUAGAAGAAACAACAAAACCCAAGAAAACGAGCUUAUCAACACCAAAAAGGCAUUUCUCCAUAUUAGCAUAGAGGCGCUCUUUUCUAAGAGUUUGCAAAACGGUGCGGACAUGGGUGACAUGCUCUUUGAUAGAUUUGCUAAACACAAGAAUGUCAUCGAAGUAAACCACAACAAAUAUACCAAUGUAAGGGCGAAAUACAUGAUUCAUAAGGCGCAUAAAAGUGCCCGGUGCUUCCGAAAGACCCAUAGGCAUGACUAACCACUGAUACAAACUAAACUUGGUUUUGAAGGCAGUUUUCCAUUCAUCACCUUCUUGUAUGCAGAUUUGAUAGUAACCACUUUUAAGAUCAAUUUUGGAAAAUAUAGUGGCACCGCUAAGCUCAUCUAGCAUAUCAUCUAGGCGUGGGAUGGGAUACCUAUAGCGAACGGUGAUAGCAUUGAUGAUGUAGGGUAGAGACCCUAAUCGCCCAAUCUUUCACGAAAGGAGCGGAUCCCGGGGAAAUCACGAAGAACACGAGGAAGAACGGAAGGAAAACACAAGAGGAAAUCACUAAACCGACAUGAAUAAGUCACACAUGGGCUAGAUCCUCGAGUACAUAGGAUGAUACACGAAUCCACGGACAACUAGGGACGAUACAUGGUAACCGGUUCUUCUCCGUGAGGAGGUCUUGAUGGGGCCGCCCAAGAGGGGGUCUUGAUGAUCUUCUCCGCAAGGAGGUCUUGAAUCCGCUUGGGGGAUCUUCUCCGGUGGAGGCUCUAAUCUCCGAGGAGAAGGUAACCAAGUGGAUGAGCAAAGCUCUCUCACAAAUCUGAGCUAAACAUUUGCUAACCCUAGCUAGGAUGAAUGGGGGGUCUAUUAUAGUCUAAGUGCAAAUGGGGGCGAAGUGAAGGUAUACAUGGGCCUCGGGCCCGAACAGUGUGCGCAGAAAGGUACCGGACGUCCGCUGGGGACCGGUCGUCCGGUGGCUCAGGAGCUGCCGGACGUCCGGUGUCCUUCGGUCAUCCGCUGGUUCCGUUCUGUGAUGGGGGUACCGGACGUUCGGUAGCUCCGGACUUUCGCUGAUGUUGGCUCGGGUGCUGGUGCGCCGGUUGUCCAGUCCGGACCGGACGUCCGCUCGUUUGCUUCGGGUGCAGGGGCACCGGUCAUCCGGUCUGGGCCGGACGUCCGCUCACUGGGGCUCGGCUGAUACUUCAGGUGCCAGACGUCCGGUCCCGGCCGGUCGUCCCAUGGCUGGGACUUUUCCUUCACCCCUCCUUCUCCGUCUUCUCGUCCAUUUUCCUCUUCUUCUUGUCCUUGAUCCUUAGCUUCUCCAUGGUGCCUGAGUAUGCACAAAGUGUCCAUAUGAGGUAGUAGCCAUGCUUCACGUUCAUCGAAGUGGAAUUGUGAGAGGAGAGAUGUCACCUCGGUUUCAAGAGCUCUUGCACGUGAUCGAGUCGUGGGUCCACUAGGCACUUGAUGAGACGAUGGUAGGUCCAUGGGGAUGACCUUGGGAUGCUCCGCAUCAUCUCCCCUCCCUUGGGGAAGAUCCGUCCUCGGAUCAAAUUCUUCAUCACCAUGGAAGGGAGAGAGAUCUUUGAUGUUGAAGAUGUCGCUCACGUUGGACUUGUCGCGCGGGAGGUCGAUCUUGUAAGCGUUGUCGUUGUAGCGUGCAAGUAGCUUGAAGGUCCAUCCGCUCGUGGUCGAAGCUUGGAUUCGCGUGCUUGUGGGAAGCGGUUCUUGCGAAGGUGUAGCCACACUCGAUCACCAAUGCUGAAGACCAUAGGUUGCUUGUUGAAGUUGAGCUUGGUCGCAAGGCGUUGAACUUGGUGCUCGAUGGUGUUUCUUGUAUCUUCAUGCACCGUCUUGAGAUGUGGCACACGCGCACUUGCAUCCAAAUUGAUGCGCUCUUGUAGAGGUAGAGGAAGAAUGUCCAAUGGUGACAAUGGGUUGAAUCCGUAAACGACGUCGAAAGGAGACUUGUCGGUCAUUGAGUGUCUUGCGCGGUUGUAGGCGUACUCGGCGAUGGGUAAGCACUCCUCCCACUCCUUGAUGUUCUUCUUGAUUAAGACUCAUAGUAGAGUGGAGAGUGUAUGGUUCUUCACCUUAGUUUGUCCGUCGGUUUGAGGGUGGUACGCCGUGGAGAAGAGUAACUUGAUUCCGAGCUUGGCGCAUAAGGUCUUCCAAAAGUAACUCAAGAACUUGACGCGGUAGGGAGCGUUAUUCGGAAGCGGUGCUCCGGGGAUGAUGUCGAUGCGUUGCUUAAUGCAUCGUAGUGGAGGUAGUCCCGGAGGUAGCUCGUUGGGUAAAACAUCUUGUAAUUCCUGCAACAGAGAAGACAACACUAGAGGAAGAGUGUAAGAAGUGUUAGUUUGUGGUGCAUUGUCCUUGCACACGAGGACGUAGUGUAGGACACUAGAUGGGUUCUCACACACUUCUCUCAUCUCACGUUUGGUGGCAAAUAGAACUAGGUUCUUGUUUUCGCUCAUCAUGGAGGCACUCGAUUUUGGCCUGUGGCGCUCACUCUCUUUUUGGUGGCUCGCUCUCUCACUAUGAUCUCCACGAUGGGUGGCGUGCUUGUCGGCGAUCACUUGACUUGGCGACAUUGGACGGAGGACAUACUCCUUGCCCUUCAUCUUGAAGAUGUAGUGGCUCGUUAGGCCGUUGUGUACGACUCCUCUAUCGAAUUGACAUGGCCGUCCAAGGAGAAGAUGACAAACAGUCAUUGGAACGACGUCGAACUCCAAGGUGUCUUCGUAGGCGCCGAUCCUGAUGGAGACUUGUACUCGGUGCUCGACUUGGAUAGUGCCAGAGUCGCUAAGCCAUUGCACUUUGUAUGGAUGUGGAUGCUUCAUCUUUGGCAAUUGGAGCUUGGAGCAAAGUUCUUCACUUGCUAGAUUAUGACAACUUCCUCCAUCGAUGAUCACCUGGAUGAAUCGUCCAUUGAUGCCGGCCUUGGUGUGGAAUAUGUUCCAUCGUUGGUCUUCUUCUUGGUGAUGUUGGAGGGUCAAGACUUUGGAGACAACAAGUGCGGGACUUGAGUCUUCAUCACAAAAGACUUGUUCUUCUUUAUUGUUCACUUGGCGGUGCAUGGCGACUUGCUCGAGGGCUUCCAUUUCGCCUUCGCUCAUGGAGUCAUAAGUGCCAUCGUCAUUGAAGACCAUGGUUCGCUUGUUGGUGCACUUGUAGGACUUGUGGCCUCGGCCUCCGCAAGUGAAACACUCGAAGGAACUCAUCUUGAUGGUCUCAUCGGUCGGGGUAGAUGAUGAAGAAGCUCUCGACUUGAAGUUGCUCGUAGGAGGAUGGCUUGUAGUUGACGAAGCUUUCUUGGAACUUGACUUGUCGCGGUACUUGGUGAUUCUCUAGUUGAGGUAGGUGUUGCCGAAGUCGCGGGAGCUUGAUAAGAGGAGCCGUAGGUCUUGGACGAGAACUUGGCAUACUUUAAAUCAUCUUGCACUUGGCGUUCCGCUUUGAUGGCUUGGUGCACUAGCUCGAUGAGGUUUGAGUAUGGUUGGAAGUCGGCGAUCUUCUUGAUGGGAUGGUUGAGCCAUUCAAGAAGCGUGCCAUUGUUUGUUCAUCGUCUUCCGUGACAUUGGCUCUUAUCAUUGCAAUCUCCAUCUCCUUGUAGUAUUCUUCAACGCUCUUUGUUCCUUGCUUGAGUUGUUGGAGUUUCUUGAAGAGGUCGCGGUUGUAGUAGGUAGGCACGAAGGGUGCUCUCAUGACAUCCUUCAUUUGUGCCCAAGUAGUGAUGGGUGGUUCACCUCUUGCCUCGCGGCGCUCUAUGAUUUGUUCCCACCAAAUGAGGACAUAGUCUUGGAACUCAAGGGAUGCCAUCAUGAUCUUCUUCUCUUCUUCAUAAUUGUGCAAACGGAAGAUCUUGUCAACUUUCAAUGCCCAUGAAAGUUAUUCUUCGGGAACGUUGCUUCCGUUGAACUUGGGCAUGGUGAAGUUGAGCUUGCCGUAGCGUUGUUCUUCAUUGUGUUGGGGUCGGGGAUGAUGACGCCCAUGUUGUAGAUGAUUGUUCUACUCGUGGUGUUCUUGACGCGAAGGGUUGUCAACCUCGUGUUGGUCUUGUCACGGAGGAUUCCCAUUGUCUUCAUGCUCUUGAUGAACUUGAUGGUCUUGGCAAGCUUGUGGAGGAGCGCGUCGAACUCGAGGAGGAACUAGAUGAUGCAUGCGAUCUUGAAAUCGCCGUUCGUGAAUUUCUUCGUGAAGUGCUUCCUCUUCUUCAUGGGCUUGUCGGCCUCGGUCGGCAACGGCUCGACUCGCAUCACGUAGAGCUUGUUGCGCCUCAAGUGCUUGAGCGUCACGGAGUUGUUGUUCUUGACGUUGAGCCUCGGCAUCUUGUGCAUUUUGGUGUAGACGCGCCCGUUCUUCCUCUUCAUGUUGGCGUUAUUGUUGUCGUUCUCGAGCUAGCGCAAAGGCUUCUUCGGCUUGACGUCAUCGGCGCUCUUGAGAGUCGGUGUCUCGAAGUGGAUUGAGGUUUGCUUGACGGUUAGUGCGCGUGGCUCGACGAAGAGUGUUCGAUGUUGGUGUACCUGAGCCGGAGAGGGUAAAGUCGGAAUGGCAACUUGAACGACUCCUUCUUGAAGUGGAAGAAGAGCGGUUGAGCAACAAAGCACGAAUCUCGUCCAUCCUUGCGUCAUUCUCUUGCUUGUGAUCGUCGAGCUUGUGGUCGAAGUAGUCCCUUGUACGUUGCUCGGAAAGUCGCAAGUCGGCGGCAAGGUUGUCGAUGCGUUCACUCAUAGCUUGUUGCUCUUGAUGCAAAGCACGUUGUGCACCAAAGAGGUGACUCUUGGUGACGAAGGAGUUCAUGUCGUCGUCUUGCUCCAUGAAGAGUGGGUUGGUAGAAGUACUUGGCCUAUCCAUCAUUCCAAGACAAAUGUGAGUGGUAGAAAGAGACGAACGAAUACCAAAUGUACCUUGACCGAAGUUGAAAGUGAACCGAUGAUCACUCCAAUGUAGGACAAGGAAAUAGCCCAAAUGGUACGAAUUCUCGUCGGUUUCUCACACCUACACAAGUAAAAGCUUAUGGUGGAGCUUGGUUAGGAUGGUCACAAUUUUUAAUGCGAAUGUAAGCAAGAUUCAAUAAUGUCGGAGAAGAUUCGCAAGAUGCAAUGUAACAAGUAGACCAAGCAUAUACGGUACACGGAAACACACGCGCAAAUAGAUAAGUGGGGUUGUGCAACCAAGGGUGAGCCAAAAUGUGGAAUCCACAAAAAUGCUCUUGUUGCACAACACUAGAGAGACGCUAGCACGAUUGCACGAUAGGCGGAUACAAGAACUUGUGCACAACGUACUUAGCAAAAAUGCAACAACUUCUAUCCCAAAUAUGUUCUAUGCAAGGUGUUGCUAUGAUAUGAUCCAAGAUGAUCGAGUAUGACAAUCUUAAUGUUGUAUGAUGCUAUGGUUCUUGCUUAAAAGCUCUUUGCUUGUCUUUCCUCUUUGCUUAAAAGCUUGGUUGGCUCUUUGAUGUGUGAGCUCUUUUCUCAUGCAAUGCUUGACGAACCAAGAUAGCAAGUGAGUAUGCGAUGACAACUUUGUGACACAAGAGAUGAUACCAAUAUAGGCAACAAUGAUGUAUGUAUGUAUGCUAUGGGAAGUAUGAUCACAAAUGUGCACAAGUCUCGUUGCCGGCAAUACUCAAUGGCUAGUCUCGAUGGGUAAGCAACGCAAAGGAGUAAGGCUCAAGUGGCUAUCAAUGUAAUGGCAAGAGUGAUAUGUCCAAUACCAAGAUGAGGUUACCGGUCUUGCUUCCAGUAUGGUGUCAAAAUGGUGGCACGAAUACCAAGUCGUAGUCGAGGUGGUUGUUGUUGAUGACGCGUCCGUGGCGAAAAAUGAGCGGCGGUGAUGUCAAUGUCGAACCGUACGUAGAUAGCCAAAACACAAAAGGAUAUGGUACCGCAACUCAAAUUCUCAAAACCAAGUGCGAGCAAAAUCAUCGGAGUAGGUAGCGGGUAAGUGGUGGUGUGGGUUGGGAUAUUGGCAAAGUUUGCGGAAAGUCGGUGGUGGUGUAGCGGAUGAUGUGGUGGAAGGAGCGGUCGUCCGGAAGUGGACAGAUGUCCGGUCGCUGGUCGUCCGGUACAGUGAUGGUCGUCCGGUGCUUCCUGGGUCGCCGGACGUCCGGUAAAGUGACGGUCGUCCGGUGGGUCGGGGUCAAUGCGAAAUUUCAGAUCCAGGAGGUGGUUUUGGGCGGAAUAUGGGGAUUUUGGGAGGAAUUUCGAGGUGGAGAUGGUGAGGGGAAAGCUAGAUCCACUUGCAACACAACAAAUUCACGGAUCAAAACCAACAAAACAUCAUCAAACUCACAAAACACAAGAAAUUGUUUUGGGGCUAUUUUUGUGGGGAUUUUCAUAUUAGGACGAAAAACAACAAAAUCAAGCUACAAAAAGAAGGGGGCUCCGAAAUCAUGAUCAACCUUGCUCUAGAUACCAAUAUGACGUAGGGUAGAGACCCUAAUCGCCCGAUCUUUCAUGAAAGGGGUGGAUCCCAGGGAAAUUACGAAGAACACGAGGAAGAACGGAAGGAAAACACAAGAGGAAAUCAAUAAACCGACAUGAAUAAGUCACACAUGGGCUAGAUCCUUGAGUACAUAGGACGAUACACGAAUCCAUGGACAACUAGGGAUGAUACACGGUAACCGGUUCUUCUCCGUGAGGUGGUCUUGAUGGGGCCGCCCAAGAGGGCGUCUUGAUGGUCUUCUCCGCAAGGAGGUCUUGAAUCCGCUUGGGGGAUCUUCUCCGGUGGAGGCUCGAAUCUACGAGGAGAAGGUAACCAAGUGGACGAGNNNNNNNNNNNNNNNNNNNNNNNNNNNNNNNNNNNNNNNNNNNNNNNNNNNNNNNNNNNNNNNNNNNNNNNNNNNNNNNNNNNNNNNNNNNNNNNNNNNNNNNNNNNNNNNNNNNNNNNNNNNNNNNNNNNNNNNNNNNNNNNNNNNNNNNNNNNNNNNNNNNNNNNNNNNNNNNNNNNNNNNNNNNNNNNNNNNNNNNNNNNNNNNNNNNNNNNNNNNNNNNNNNNNNNNNNNNNNNNNNNNNNNNNNNNNNNAUGGGGGUGAAGUGAAGGGAUACAUGGGCCUCGGGCCCGAACACUGUGCGUAGAGAGGUACCGGACGUCCGCUGGGGACCGGUCGUCCGGUGGCUCAGGAGCCGCCAGACGUCCGGUGUCCUCCGGUCGUCCGCUGGUUCCGUUCUAUGAUGGAGGUGCCAGACGUCCGGUAGCUCCGGACUUCCACUGAUGUUGGCUCGGGUGCUGGUGCGCCGGUCGUCCGGUUUGGACCGGACGUCCGCUCAUUUGCUUCGGGUGCAGGGGCACUGGUCGUCCGGUCUGGGCCGGACGUCCGCUCGCUGGGGCUCGGCUGAUGCUUCACGCGCCGGACGUCCGGUGGCUGGGACUUUUCCUUCAGCCCUCCUUCUUCUCCGUCUUCUCGUCCAUUUUCCUCUUCUUCUUGUCCUUGCUCCUUAGCUUCUCCAUGGUGCCUGAGUAUGCACAAAGUGUCCAUAUGAGGUAGUAGCCAUGCUUCAUGUUCAUCGAAGUGGAAUUGUGAGAUGAGAGAUGUCACCUCGGUUUCAAGAGCUCUUGCACGUGAUCGAGUCAUGAGUCCACCGGGCACUUGAUGAGACGAUGGUAGGUCCAUGGGGAUGACCUUGGGAUGCUCCGCAUCAAUUGAUAGGUCUACAAUCGGAGCACAUGCGAAAGCUACCGUCACGUUUUGGCACAAGAAUGACCGGAACGGCAUAAGGGCUCAAACUUUCACGCACAUGUCCAUGGUCUAUGAGAUGCUUUACUUGCCUUUGUAUUUCUUUUGUUUCAUUUGGGUUGACAUGGUAUGGAGCUUUGUUCGGAAGAGGUGCUCGGGGGAUGAGGUCGAUUCGGUGCUCAAUGCCUCGUAGAGGAGGUAGACCCGGAGGUAGCUCAUCGGGAAAAACAUCUUGAAAUUCCUGCAAAAGAGAAACAACACUAGAGGAAGAGUGUGAGAAGUGUUAGUUUGUGGUGCAUUGUCCUUGCACACGAGGACAUAGUGUAGGACACUAGAUGGGUUCUCACACACUUCUCUCAUCUCACGUUUGGUGGCAAAUAGAACUAGGUUCUUGUUUUCGCUCAUCGUGGAGGCACUCAAUUUUGGCUUGUGGCGCUCACUCUCUUUUUGAUGGCUCGCUCUCUCACUAUGAUCUCCACGAUGGGUGGCAUGCUUGUCGGCGAUCACUUGACUUGGCGACAUUGGACGGAGGACGUACUCCUUGCCCUUCAUCUUGAAGAUGUAGUGGUUCGUUCGGCCGUUGUGUACGACUCCUCUAUCGAAUUGCCAUGGCCGCCCAAGGAGAAGAUGACAAACGGUCAUUGGAACGAUGUCGCACUCCAAAGUUUCUUCGUAGGCGUCGAUGUUGAAGGAGACUUGUACUCGGUGCUCGAAUUGGAUAGUGCCGGAGUCACUAAGCCAUUGCACAUUGUAUGGAUGUGGAUGCUUCGUCUUGGGCAAUUGGAGCUUGGAGCAAAGUUCUUCACUUGCGAGAUUAUGACAACUCCCUCCGUCGAUGAUGACCUUGACAGAUCGUCCAUUGACGCCGGCCUUAGUGUGGAAUAUGUGGUAUCGUUGGUCUUCUUCUUGGUGAUGUUGGAGAGUUAAGAAUUUGGAGACAACAAGUGCGGGACUUGAGUCUUCAUCACAAAAUACUUGUUCGUCUUCAUUGUUCCCUUGGCGGUGCAUGGCGACUUGCUCGAGGGCUUCCAUUUUGCCUUCGCUCAUGGAGUCAUAAGUGCCAUCGUCGUUGAAGACCAUGGUUCGCUUGUUGGUGCACUCGUAGGACUUGUGGCCUCGGCCUCCGCAAGUGAAACACUUGAAGGAACUCGUCUUGACGGUCUCAUCGGUUGGGGUUGAUGAUGAUGAAGCUCUCGGCUUGAAGUUGCUCGUAGGAGGAUGGCUUGCAGUUGACGAAGCUUUCUUGGAAGUCGACUUGUCGAUGUUGGAAGUAGAAGGUCUUGUAGUCGGUGUUGGAGUCGUUGAAGCUUGGUUAUUGGAGAAGCCGUAGGACUUGGAUGAGAACUUGGCAUACUUGAAAUCAUCUUGCACUUGGCGUUCCUCUUUGGUAGCUUGGUGCACUAGGUCGAUAAGAUUUGAGUAUGGUUGGAAGUCGGCGAUCUUCUUGAUGGGAUGAUUGAGUCCAUUCAAGAAGCGAGCCAUUGUUUGCUCAUCAACUUCCGUGACAUUGGCUCUUAUCAUUGCAAUCUCCAUCUCCUUGUAGUAUUCUUCAACACUCUUGGUUCCUUGCUUGAGUUGUUGGAGUUUCUUGAAGAGGUCGCGGUUGUAGUAGGUAGGUACGAGGCGUGCUCUCAUGACAUCCUUCAUUUGCACCCAAGUAGUGAUGGGUGGUUCACCUCGUGCCUCUCGGUGCUCGAUAACUUGUUCCCACAAAAUGAGCACAUAGUCUUGGAACUCAAGGGAUGCCAUCGAGAUCUUCUUCACUUCUUCAUAAUUGUGCAAACGGAAGAUCUUGUCAACUUUCAAUGCCCAUGAAAGGUAUUCUUCGGGAUUGUUGCUUCCGUUGAACUUGGGCAUGGUGAACUUGAGCUUGCCAUAACGUUGCUCUUCAUUGUGUUGGGGUCGGGGAUGAUGACGCCCAUGUUGUAGAUGAUUGUUCAACUCGUGGUGCUCUUGGCACGGAUGGUUGUUAUCCUCAUGUUGCUCUUGUCGUGGAGGAUUUCCAUUGUCUUCAUGAUGUUGAUUAACUUGUUGUUGUUGGCGACCUUGUGGAGGAGCUUGUUGAGCUCGAGGAGGAACUUGCCGAUGCACGCGAGCUUGAAAUCUUUGUUCUUGAAUUUCUUCGUGAAAUGCUUCCCCUUGUUCACGGGCUUGUCGGCUUCGGUCGGAAUGGCUCGACUCGACUCGUGUAGAGCUUGUUGCGCCGCAAGUGCUUGAGCGUCACGGAUUUGUUGUUCUUGACGUUGUUCCUCGGCAUCUUGAGCAUUUUGGUGUAGACGCGUGCGUUCUUCCUCUUCCUGUUGGUGUUGUCGUUGCCGUUCUCAUGCUAGUGCAAAGGCUUCUUGGGUUUGACAUCGUCGUUGCUCUUGCGAGUUGGUGUCACGUAGAGGAUUGAGGUUUGCGUGAUGUUCGUUGCGCGCGGCACGUCGAAGAGUGUUCGAAGACGGUGUACUUGAGCUGGAGAGAGUGAAGUCGGAGUGGCGGCUUGAAUGGCUCCGUCUUGAAGUGGAAGACGAGCGGUUGAGCAAAAAAGCACAAAUUUCGUCCAUCCUUGCGUCAUUCUUCUGCUUGUGAUCGUCGAGCUUGUGGUCGAAGUAGUCCCUUGUACAUUGCUCGGAGAGUCGCAAGUCGGCGGCAAGGUUGUCGAUGCGUUCACUCAUAGCUUGUUUCUCUUGAUGCAAAGCAUGUUGUACACCAAAGAGGUGACUCUUGGUGACGAAGGAGUUCAUGUCGUCGUCUUGCUCCAUGAAGAGUGGGUUGGUACAAGUACUUGGCCUAUCCAUCAUUCCAAGACAAAUGUGAGUGGUAGAAAGAGAAGAACGAGUACCAAAUGUACCUUGACCGAAGUUGAAAGUGGAUCAAGGAUCACUCCAAUGUAGGACAAGGAAAUAGCACAAUUGGUACUAGCUAUUGUCGGUUUCUCACACCUACACAAGUAAAACCUUAUGGUGGAGCUUGGUUAGGAUGGUGGCACAAAAAUUUGAUGCAAUUUGUAAGUGAGCUUCAAUUAUGUUGGAAAAGAUUCACAAGAUGCUAUGUAACAAGUAGACGAAGCAUAUAAGGUACACAGAAACACACGCGCAAAAAGAUAAGUGGGGUUGUGCAACCAAGGGUGAGCCAAAAUGUGGAAUCCACAAAAAUGCUCUUGUUGCACAACAGUAGAGAGAUACUAGCACGAUAGGUGGAUACAAGAACUUGUGCACAACCUACUUAGCAAAAAUGCAAUGACUUCUAUCCCAAAUAUUUUGUAUGCAAGGUGUUGCUAUGAUAUGAUCCAAGAUGAUCGAGUAUGACAAUCUUAAUGUUGUAUGAUGCUAUGGUUCUUGCUUAAAAGCUCUUUGCUUAUCUUUCCUCUUUGCUUAAAAGCUUGUUUGGCUCUUUGAUGUUGGAGCUCUUUUCUCAUGCAAUGCUUGACGAACCAAGAUAGCAAGUGAGUAUGCGAUGACAACUUUGUGGCACAAGAGAUGAUACCAAUAUAGGCAACAAUGAUGUAUGUAUGCUAUGGGAAGUAUGAUCACUAAUGUGUACAAGUCUCGUUGCCGGCAAUACUCAAUGGCUAGUCUCGAUGGGUAAGCAACGCAAAGGAGUACGGCUAUGAUGGCUAUCAAUGUAAUGUCAAGAGUGAUAUGUCCAAUAACAAGAUGAGGUUACCGGUCUUGCUUCCAGUAUGGUGUAAAAGUGGUGGCAUGAAUACCACGGUGUAGUCGAGGUGGUCGUUGUUGAUGACGCGUCCGUGGCAAAGAUAAGCGGCGGUGGUGUCGAUGUCGAACCGUACAUAAAUAGCCAAAACACAAAAGGAUACGGUACCGCAACUCAAAUUCUCAAACCUCGAAGUGGCAACACGUGUUGGAGUGCGAAACGGGCACAAUGGGGGUAGUAUGCGGAAGUGGUGAUGGUGUAUAAGUGGUGGAGGCAAAAAUGCCAAUCGGAUGGGCAGAAACUGGGCGGAAUGGUAGUGCCGCUGGAACAGGCGGUAGUACCGCUGGUGAUACUUAAGCGGUAGUGCCGCUGGGUGAGGCGUUAGUACCGCUGGUGUCGGAAAAAUCGCAAGAUCUGGAUCGGGGCGAAUUUUGGGGCGGAAAAGGAUGGUUUCGAGGUCAAAAUUCGAGCGAUUUCGUGGAUGGAAAGAGGAGAAAAUUGGGGAGAUGCUAGAUCCACUUGAAACCAAGCAAAUAUACGGAUCAAAUCCAACAAAACUUCAUCAGACCAGCAAAUCACAAAAAAAUUUGGGGCUAUUUAUUUUGGUGGGGAUUUUCGAAUUUAGGACAAAAAACAACAAAAUAAGGCUAGCAACACAACGGGGAGGCUCCGAAAUCGUGAUCAACGUGGCUCUUGAUACCAAGAUGAUGUAGGGUAGAGAGCCUAAUAACCCGAUCUUUCAUGAAAGGAGCGGAUCCCGGGGAAAUCACGAAGAACAUGAGGAGGAACGGAGAGGAAACACAACAAGAAACACGAGAGGAAACACUAAACCGACAUGAAUAAGUCACACAUGGGCUAGAUCCUCGAGUACAUAGGGGUAGAUACACGAAUCCACGGACAACUAAGGAUGAUAGACAGUAACUGGUUCUUCUCCGUGAGGAGGUCUUGAAUCCACAAGGGGAUCUUCCCGUAAAGGGGGCUUGAAUCCGCUUGGGAGAUCUUCUCCAGUGGAGGCUCGAAUCUCCGAGGAGAAGGUAACCAAGUGGAUGAGCAAAUCUCUCUCACAAAUAUGAGCUAAACAUUUGCUAACCCUAGUACGGGGCUAAGGAACAAGUAUAUAUAGUCUAAAUCCAUGAAAGGGUAAGUGAGGAGGGGAUACAUGGGCCCUAGGCCCGUUCUCUGCGCACAGGCAGGGCGGUAGUACCGGGCAACGGGCGGUAGUAUCGCUCAAAGCGGUAGUGCUGCUGGUACAGGCGGUAGUACCGGACCCGGGUCAUGCGGACACAUGGAUUUGUCGGGUUGAGCGGCAGUGGAGCGGAUGCCCGGUGGCAGUACCGCUUGAAGGGCUUCAGCGGUAGUACCGCUCGCCAGCGGUAGUACCGCUCGUUCUGGUGUGUGCGGCUCCUCUUCAGGCUCUUGACGUCCAUCUCGUUCCGUAGCUCCUUCCAGGCUGGUUCCUUGGUACCUAAUGACACAAAACAUCUCCGUUUGAGGUAGUAACCAUGUCUCAAGUGGAUCGGAGUGGAAUUGUAAGAGGAGAGAUGUCACCUCGGUUUCAAGAGCUCUUGCACGUGCUCGUGUCAUGGGUCCAAGAGGUGUUGUAGUAGAUGUAGUUGGGUCCAUGGGGAUGGCCUUGGGAUGCUCCGCAUCAUCUCUUGACAUGGAGGGUUGUUAUCCUCAUGUUGCUCUUGUCGUGGAGGAUUUCCAUUGUCUUCAUGCUCUCGAUGAACUUGAUGGUGUUGGCGAGCUUGUGGAGGAUCUUCGCGAGCUCGAAGAGAAACUUGACGAUGCACGCGAGCAUGAAAUCUUUAUUCUUGAAUUUCUUCGCGAUGUGCUUCCUCUUGUUCACGGGCUUGUCGGCUUCGGUCGGCAACGGCUCGACUCGAAUCGCGUAGAGCUUGCUGCGCCGCAAGUGCUUGAGCGUCACGGAGUUGUUGUUCUUGACGUUGUGCCUCGGCAUCAAGGGAAUUUUGGUGUAGACACGCUCACUCUUCCUCUUCAUGUUGGCGUUGACGUUGCCGUUCUCGUGCAAGCGCAAAGGCUUCUUGAGUUUGACGUUGUCGGCGCUCUUGAGAGUUGGUGUCUCGUAGGGGAUUGAGGAUUGCUUAACGGUCGGUGCGCGCGGCUCGACGAAGAGUGUUCGAUGUCGGUGUACUUGAGCCGGAGAGGGUGAAGUCGGAGUGGCGGCUUGAACGGCUCCUUCUUGAAGUGGAAGACGAGCGGUUGAGCAACAAGGCACGAAUUUCAUCCAUCCUUGCGUCAUUCUCUUGCUUGUGAUCGUCGAGCUUGUGGUCGAAGUAGUCCUUUGUAUGUUGCUCGGAAAGUCGCAAGUCGGCGGCAAGGUUGUCGAUGCGUUCACUCAUAGCUUGUUGCUCUUGAUGCAAAGCACGUUGUGCACCAAAGAGGUAACUCUUGGUGACGAAGGAGUUCAUGUCGUCGUCUUGCUCCAUGAAGAGUGGGUUGGUAGAAGUACUUGGCCUAUCCAUCAUUCCAAGACAAAUGUGAGUGGUAGAAAGAGAAGAACGAGUACCAAAUAUACCUUGACCGAAGUUGAAAGUGGAUCGAGGAUCUAAUGAGGACAUCAAUACCAUUGUUACACCCACAACCCCUACUGUUACAUAUACUGGACCAAUUACUAGAGCUCGUGCACGCACAUUAAAUUACCAGGUACUUUCCUUUCUUGGUAAUGAUUCUAAUGUUCAUGACAUUAUGAUGCUGCCUGAAUUGGAUACAUUUGUUUUGCUUACAAAUGAAGGGCCUAGCUUGGAGAAGGAUGAACAUUGGAGCAAGAACACGCAUGGAGUUGAUGGUAUGUGCAAGGGGAUCAAGAACGGAGUUACAAGUGAUGAUUUCAGGACUUUGAAGCCUCCAUAAGGAGUGCAUGAAGCCUUGGACGAAAUAUACAAGAUGCCACUUCAUAAUAUUCGUCCAUAGGCUAUUUUAGGUGCUGCGUCACCUUAUUAAUGGGCCAGGCCCAUGUAAUUUCGAAAUACUUAAGUAUAGGCUAUUUUUAGAGUCCGUAUGUGUGGGGAAACAAGAGUUAGGGUUGGUUUCAGACCCCACCCUCAAGGGCCACGAAAUUCCCCCCUCUUCCUCCAUAUAUACAGCCCUUAGGGCGUCGUUUAGACUUUGGGUUUUGUUUAGAUUAAAAGUUCGCCAUAGCUGCAACUUCGCGUACUUCGUUUGUGUCCAACGACCAGACCAAGACGUCACAGAACCCCACCUUGAUCAAUAAAGCUUUCAUCUUAUAUUCGCAAUAUCCCGAUUGCAAUCUCAAUUUCUUACUUGUUCUUCGUUUGCUCGCAGGAAACAGACCCUCGUGGUCAGGUUGAUCGUGCUCCGGCGUGGUCAAUAUACCUCGGAAGUUGGUUUAGCGAUUGCUAAGGCGCGACGUCUCGCACGUUCGUAGUCGGAUCGUCAAGGUCGACUCCCACAGAAAACGAUAGCCACCAUCUCAUCGAAACAUCGGGACACCUUAGCCUCUAUCAAGUGGUAUCAGAUUUCCAGGUUGCUCGGUGAGAUUUUACAGUUUUUCGUAGAUUAGAUCGAGUCUAUUCUUCAUACCUACAGUCCACGAAAAAGCUAGAAAAAAAAUUAGGGUUAGUUCAUCAUAUCCGAACCAAUCUGAGCCUUUGCAUAAUCUUUUUAUGGUUUUUGCUUUGUUGAAUUUGCGGUUGCAUCGUCGUGUCAAGUUGCUGGUCUUAGAGUCUAGUCUUUUAGAGUUUCGAGUUCUAGUCAUAAGUUGUCACACCGCCGCCGCACCAUCAUCAUCGCCCAUCUACCACUUUUGCUUAUCCACCACCGCUCUGAAUCCAUAUCCAUAUACCACCACCAAUCCGUAUCCAUAUACCACCACCAAUCUAUAUCCAUAUACCACCACCGCUACCAUAUACCACCACCGCUGCCAUAUACCACAACCAUAUAUCCACCACCAAUCCGAGUUCUUCUCAUAUUAGGUUUGUUCUUGAGAUCAAUCUAAAUUCUGAUUCGUGUUUCCGUGCCUGCGUAGGUCUCGGAAAAAAAAAGAGUCUGGAGACCCCCGGGCAGUUUUUAGGCCAAAAUUUUCACGGGCAAUUUUUUUUCCCUAUCCUAUUUUUAGGCUUUUUCGAGUCUUUUGAGCCACGUGCCAUCAUAGUAAUUUUUUGUCGCACUUUUUCGUCGUCGCUGCCCUGAUUUCCGAAAAAAAAGUGCAAAAAAAAAUUUCGUGCCCAUCCUAUCAGUUUGACGAGGGAAGAGUUUUGAGACACUCGCCAUUAUAGUGAUUUUUUGCAAAAAAAAGAGGAGCGCCAAAAAAAAGGAGCGCAAAAAAAGAGCGAAAAAAAGAGUUCCAGAGUGUGCUUUUCCCUUAUUUACGUGCAGCGCCGUGAUUUUGUUAGUGUUCUAGGCUCGCGUCUCUAGCACGGUCUAGCCUAGGACCAACACAGUACCGUCGUUGAGCGUUUAUUCAACUUUGCAUCUCUGAAUUGAUUAUUGCUGACCCUUUUUGCUACCAUACUAUAAGCCUUCCCAGCUCCACAUAUAUCUACGUCGUGCGUUUGACUCUCCCUGGCAAUCGCUCUAUCCAAGCUUUUGAGAGUUUUGACUACAACGGUUGCCGAUCACCGCCUGCUGCUUGGUAAGAACUGGUAAGAAUUUGAGAUUUGCUUGACGGAUUUGUGACACCCGCCGCCACCACCACUUGUUAGUAGUCUGUAGGAUCAUAUUCUUGUGUGUUUCUAUUGCUGCUAACCAUGCCAGGUUCACAAGCCGACGAGACUGACUGGGAGAACUUGACGAACAAGGAGCUUCAUGAUACGUUUUAGCAAAUGAUGAGUGGACAGGUGCAAGAUGUGAUAAACAGAUUUGAAGAGGCCAUGGAGAAGAUAGAUGGCAUGGAGAAGACGUUUGAAACAAAGCUCGAUAACAAGUUUGCUGAAUUGCUUUCGCGUUUUCCACCACCACCACCGGCUGCUCCUGCCGCACCUCUGCAACAACAGCAACAACAUCGACUACCUCCACAUCGGGAAACAGCCCUCCGCCGAGCGAGCCGUGUCCCUCUUCAGUCGGGCCAAACUGCUGGUGCUGCUGUUGAUACUUCUGUGGCUCCUACUGCUGAUGUGGAGGAGGAUGAUUAUGUGGGAGAUUAUGAGGAUGAGGUUGAUCAAAAUCAGAACUACGUGCCACCACCAGCACAGCAACCACCAGGUCGUCCACAUGCAAAUAAUGGCAAUGGUAGGGCUCACCCUCAUGUACGAGAUCAUGACCAUCUCCCUAAACUAAAAUUGAAUAUUCCACCAUUUGAGGGUAGAUAUGUUCCUGAUAUAUAUCUUACUUGGGAGUUAGAAACUGAACAAUGAUUUACAUGUUUACAACAUCCCGAGGAGAGACGUGUUCCUGCUGCUGUUUGUGCAUUCAAUAGUUUUGCAUGUGUUUGGUGGUCUGAGCAUUGUAGAUUAUAUCCUAUUCCGGCUACUUGGGCUGCUUUGAAAACUGCUAUGCGUACUCGUUGGGUUCCACCAUAUUAUCAACGUGAAUUACUUCAAAAAUUGCAGCGCUUAAGACAGGGGAAAAAUUCUGUAGAAGAAUAUUAUCACGAAUUACAAACUGGCAUGAUUAGAUGUGGUAUUGUUGAGGAGAAUGAAGCUAUGCUUGCACGUUUUAUGGGUGGAUUAAAUAGAGAGAUUCAGACGAUUCUAGAGUAUAAGGAGUAUACUAAUAUCACUCGUUUAUUCCAUCUUGCUUGUAAAGCUGAACGUGAAGUGCAGGAUCGACAGGCAUUGGCGCGGACUGACUUUUCUGCAGGUCGACCUUCAUCAUGGACACCAUGUGCAUCAUCUACUUCCACACGUUCUGCUACACCGGCGCCUCCGUCGGCUGCCACCUCCAACCGUGAUACAAUAAAGCAGGCACAAUCACCACUAUCUGCCAAGAGCACACCUUCUGGGCUUGCAAAGAGCUCUUCUUCAUCCAUGGCAUCAACAGGGCAAACACAUGAUAUUAUUUGUCGAUGUUGCAAGGGUGGAGGUCAUUAUGCGAGAGAAUGCCCAUCUAAGCGUGUGAUGAUUGUUACUGAGGAUGGUGGGUAUGAGUCCGCUAGUGACUAUGAUGAGGAGACUUUAGCUCUUAUUACACGUGAAGGACACGGUGGAGACGAUUCUGAUCAUGAGACGCAAUGCAUGGCUCCUGAAGAUGCUGACAGGUAUGAAUGUUUAGUUGCUCAACGUGUUUUGAGUGUGCAGGUUACACAUCUGAGCAAAAUCAGAGGCAUAAUUUGUUCCAUAAGGGAGUUGUGAAGGAUCGUUAUGUUCGCGUGAUCAUAGAUGGAGGGAGCUGCAAUAACUUGGCUAGCAUGGAGAUGGUGGAGAAGCUAUCUCUCACCACAAGACCACAUCCACAUCCUUACUACAUCCAAUGGUUCAACAACAGCGGCAAGGUUAAGGUAACACGUACUGUUCGUGUGCAUUUUAGUAUCUCUACAUAUGCUGAUUAUGUUGAUUGUGAUGUGGUACCUAUGCAAGCAUGUUCCUUAUUACUUGGUAGACCAUGGCAAUUUGAUAAAAAUUCUGUACACCAUGGUAGAAACAAUCAGUAUACUCUUGUUCAUAACGAUAAAAAUAUUACUUUGCUUCCUAUGACUCCUGAUUCCAUUUUGAAAGAUGAUAUUAAUAGAGCUAAUAAAGCAAAACAGGAGACAAAUAAGAGUGAAAAUCAGAUUGUGGCAAAAGAAUUUGAGCACCAAAUGAAGCCUAAUAAUAAACCAUCUACUGUUGUUUCUGAAAUUAAAUUGAAAAGUGCAUGUUUACUUGCCACCAAAUCUGAUAUUGAUGAGCUAGAUUUUAGCAAAUCUGUUUGCUAUGCUUUUGUGUGCAAAGAGGCAUUAUUUUCAUUCGAGGACGUGCCUUCCUCUUUGCCCCCUGCUGUCACUAACAUUUUGCAGGAGUUCGCUGACGUCUUUCCACAAGACGUGCCACCGGGAUUACCACCUAUUCGAGGGAUUGAGCAUCAAAUUGACUUAAUUCCCGGUGCUUCGCUACCGAACCCUGCACCAUACCGUACCAAUCCAGAGGAGACGAAGGAGAUUAUGCGUCAAGUACAAGAACUGCUCGACAAAGGUUAUAUACGCGAAUCCCUUAGUCCUUGUGCUGUUCCUAUCAUUUUAGUGCCGAAGAAGGAUGGUACGUCGCGUAUGUGCGUUGAUUGUAGACGCAUUAUUAAUAUUACUAUUCGUUAUCGUCAUCCUAUUCCUAGGCUAGAUGAUAUGCUUGAUGAAUUGAGUGGCUCUACAAUAUUCUCCAAAGUUGUUUUGCGUAGUGGAUACCAUCAAAUUCGUAUGAAAUUGGGUGAUGAAUGGAAAACAGCAUUUAAAACUAAGUUUGGAUUAUAUGAGUGGUUAGUCAUGCCUUUUGGGUUAACUAAUGCACCUAGUACUUUCAUGAGGUUAAUGAACGAAGUUUUACGUGCUUUCAUUGGACGAUUUGUGGUAGUUUACUUUGAUGACAUAUUGAUUUAUAGCAAAUCUUUGGAGGAACAUUUGGAACAUUUACGUGCUGUUUUUAUUGCUCUACGUGAUGCACGUUUGUUUGGAAACCUUGGAAAGUGCACCUUUUGCACCGACUGAGUAUCUUUUCUUGGCUAUGUUGUUACUCCACAGGGAAUUGAAGUUGAUAAAGCCAAGAUUGAAGCUAUUGAGAGUUGGCCGCAGCCCAAAACGGUCACACAAGUGAGGAGUUUCCUUGGCCUCGCUGGUUUCUAUAGGCGUUUUGUGAGAGAUUUCAGCACCAUUGCUGCACCUCUCAACGAGCUUACAAAGAAGGAUGUGCCUUUUGUUUGGGGUACCGCACAGGAAGAAGCCUUCACGGUAUUGAAAGAUAAGUUGACACAUGCUCCUUUACUCCAACUUCCUAAUUUCAAUAAGACUUUUGAGCUUGAAUGUGAUGCUAGUGGAAUUGGAUUAGGAGGUGUGUUAUUACAAGAUGGAAAACCUAUUGCAUACUUUUCUGAAAAAUUGAGUGGGCCUAGUCUGAACUAUUCUACUUAUGAUAAAGAAUUAUAUGCUCUUGUUCGGACCUUAGAAACAUGGCAACAUUAUUUAUGGCCCAAGGAAUUUGUUAUACAUUCUGAUCAUGAAUCUUUGAAACACAUUAAUAGUCAAGCAAAACUGAACUGUAGACAUGCUAAAUGGGUUGAAUUCAUUGAGACUUUCCCUUAUGUCAUUAAACACAAGAAGGGUAAAGAAAAUGUUAUUGCUGAUGCCUUGUCUCGUCGUUAUACUGUGCUUUCACAACUUGACUUUAAAAUAUUUGGUUUGGAGACCAUCAAAGAUCAAUAUGUUCAUGAUGCUGAAUUUAAAGAUGUAUUGCAGAAUUGUAAGGAAGGGAGAACUUGGAACAAGUUUGUUCUUAACGAUGGAUUUGGGUUUCGUGCUAACAAGCUAUGCAUUCCAGCUAGCUCUGUUCGUCUUUUGUUGUUGCAGGAGGCGCAUGGAGGAGGAUUAAUGGGACACUUUGGCGUCAAGAAGACGGAGAUAUAUUUGCUACACAUUUCUUUUGGCCAAAGAUGAGACGGGAUGUUGAGCGUUUCGUUGCUCGCUGCACUACAUUUCAAGUCACGACUCAAUCCUCAUGGUUUAUAUAUGCCUUUGCCUGUACCUAGUGUUCCUUGGGAGGAUAUAUCUAUGGACUUUGUUUUAGGUUUACCUCGAACAAAGAAGGGGAGGGAUAGCAUAUUUGUUGUCGUGGAUAGGUUCUCGAAAAUGGCACACUUUAUACCAUGUCAUAAAAGCGAUGAUGCUGUUAAUGUUGCUGAUUUGUUCUUUCGUGAAAUUAUUCGCUUACAUGGUGUGCCAAAUACUAUUGUUUCAGAUCGUGAUACUAAAUUUCUUAGCCACUUUUGGAGAUGUUUAUGGGCUAAGUUGGGGACUAAGCUGCUUUUUAGUACUACUUGUCACCCCCAAACUGAUGGACAAACUGAAGUAGUCAAUAGAACAUUGUCUACUAUGCUUAGGGCUGUUUUGAAGAAUAACAAGAAAAUGUGGGAAGAAUGCUUGCCUCAUAUUGAAUUUGCUUAUAAUCGUUCAUUGCAUUCUACUACUAAGAUGUGCCCUUUUGAAAUUGUGUAUGGUUUCCUACCUCGUGCACCUAUUGAUUUGUUGCCUCUUCCAUCUUCAAAGAAGGUUCAUUUUGAUGCUAAAGAACGUUCUGAAUUGAUUGUAAAAAUGCAUGAGUUAACUAAGGAAAACAAUGAGCGUAUGAAUGCUAAAUAUAAACUUGCUGGAGAUAAGGGUAGAAAACAUGUUGUGUUUGCGCCUGGAGAUCUUGUUUGGUUACAUUUGCGUAAAGAUAGAUUUCCUAAUCUGCGCAAAUCAAAGCUAAUGCCACGUGCUGAUGGUCCUUUUAAGGUGUUAGAGAAAAUAAAUGAUAAUGCAUAUAAACUUGAGAUACCUGUAGAUUUUGGGGUUAGUCCCACUUUUAACAUUGCAGAUUUGAAGCCUUAUUUGGGUGAGGAAGAUGCGCUUCCGUCGAGGACGACUUCAUUUCAAGAAGGGGAGGAUGAUGAGGACAUCAAUACCAUUGUUACACCCACAGCCCCUACUGUUACAUAUACUGGACCAAUUACUAGAGCUCGCGCACGCCCAUUAAAUUACCAGGUACUUUCGUUUCUUGGUAAUGAUUCUAAUGUUCAUGAGAUUAUGAUGCUGCCUAAAUUGGAUACAUUUGUUUUGCUUACAAAUGAAGGGCCUAGCUUGGAGAAGGAUGAACAUUGGAGCAAGAACACGCAUGGAGUUGAUGGCAUGCGCAAGGGGAUCAAGAACGGAGUUACAAGUGAUGAUUUCAGGACUUUGAAGCCGCCAUAAGGAGUGCAUGAAGCCUUGGACGGAAUAUACAAGGUGCCACUUCAUAAUAUUCGUCCAUAGGCUAUUCUAGGUGCUGCGUCACCUUAUUAAUGGGCCAGGCCCAUGUAAUUUCGAAAUACUUAAGUAUAGGCUAUUUUUAGAGUCCGUAUGUGUGGGGAAACAAGAGUUAGGGUUGGUUUCGGACCCCACCCUCAAGGGCCACGAAAUUCCCCCCUCUUCCUCCAUAUAUACAGCCCUUAGGGCGUCGUUUAGACUUUGGGUUUUGUUUAGAUUAAAAGUUCGCCAUAGCUGCAACUUCGCGUACUUCGUUUGUGUCCAACGACCAGACCAAGACAUCACAAAACCCCACCUUGAUCAAUAAAGCUUUCAUCUUAUAUUCGCAAUAUCCCAAUUGCAAUCUCAGUUUCUUGCUUGUUCUUCGUUUGCUCGUAGGAAACAGACCCUCGUGGUCAGGUUGAUCGUGCUCCGGCGUGGUCAAUAACCCUCGUAAGUUGGUUUAGCGAUUGCUAAGGCGCGACGUCUCGCACGUUCGUAGUCGGAUCGUCAAGGUCGACUCCCACAGAGAACGAUAGCCACCAUCUCAUCGAAACAUCGGGACACCUUAGCCUCUAUCAGGAUCACUCCAAUGUAGGACAAGGAAAUAGCACAAUUGGUAUGAGUUCUUGUCGGUUUCUCACACCUACACACGUAAAAGCUUUUGGUGGAGCUUGGUUAGGAUGGUGGUAGAAAAUUUUAUGCAAUUGUAAGUGAACUUCAAUAAUGUUGGAAAAGAUUCACAAGAUGCAAUGUAACAAGUAGACCAAGCAUAUAAGGUACAUGGAAACACACAUGCAAAAAGAUAAGUGGGGUUGUGCAACCAAGGGUGAGCCAAAAUGUGGAAUCCACGAAAAUGCUCUUGUUGCACAACACUAGAGAGAUGCUAGCACGAUUGCACAAUAGGCGGAUACAAGAACUUGUGCACAACCUACUUAGCACAAAUGCAACGACUACUAUCCCAAAUAUUUUGUAUGUGAGGUGUUGCUAUGAUAUGAUCCAAGAUGAUCGAGUAUCACAAUAUUAAUGUUGUAUGAUGCUAUGGUUCCUGCUUAAAAGUUCUUUGCUUAUCUUUCCUCUUUGCUUAAAAGCUUGGUUGGCUCUUUGAUGUUUGAGCUCUUUUCUCAUGCAAUGCUUGACGAACCAAGAUAGCAAGUGAGUAUGCGAUGACAACUUUGUGACACAAGAGAUGAUACCAAUAUAGGCAACAAUGGUGUAUGUAUGCUAUGGGAAGUAUGAUCACUAAUGUGCACAAGUCUCGUUGCCGGGAAUACUCAAUGGCUAGUCUCGUUGGGUAAGCAACACAAAGGAGUAAGGCUAUGAUGGCUAUCAAUGUAAUGGCAAGAGUGAUAUGUUCAAUACCAAGAUGAGGUUACCGGUCUUGCUUCCGGUAUGGUCUCAAAAUGAUGGCACGAAUACCAAGCCAUAGUCGAGGUGGUCGUUGUUAUGACGCGUCCAUUGCGAAGAUGAGCAGCGGUGAUGUCGAUGUCGAACCGUACCUAGAUAGCCGAAACACAAAAGCAUACGGUACCGCAACUCAAAUUCUCAAACCUCAAAGUAGCAAUUGUGUCGGAGAGCGAAAUGUUCCAAAAAUAGUUGGGUUAUGCGGAAGUGGUGGAGGUAUGCGGAAGUAUAUAUGGUAUAUGGUGAGCAUCGGAACAAAAUUUGGUGGAAAUUGGGCGGAGUUAUGGAAGUAGUGCGAACUUUCUGUCGAAGCCGGAAGUUCCGGGCAAGACAGAGGGUCCGGGGAAGGCCGGAAGGUCCGGGGGCCGGAAUGUCCGGGCUGGACCGGAAGUUCCGGUGGUCGUGAUUCUACCAAGAACAGAGACUUCGGGAUCGUGGAUUUAGGCGGAAAAACUUGGGGAAAAGCCCAAAUCCGAAGGGGGAAAAGAAGAAAUUGGAGGAAAAGAAAGGUGGGGAGGCUAGAUCUACGAGCCACACACAAAAUUCACGGAUCAAAACCAACAAAAUCUCAACACACCAACAAAUCACAAAAAAAUUUGGGGCUAUUUUUGGUGGGGAUUUUCGGAUUAGGACGAAAAACAACAAAAUUAGGCUAGAAACACAACGGGGAGGCUCCGAAAUCGUGAUCAACCUUGCUCUAGAUACCAAGAUGAUGUAGGGUAGAACCCUAGUGGCCCGAUCUUUCACGAAAGGAGCGGAUCCCGCGAAGAACACGAUGAACACAAAGAGGGAAACGACGGAAAAUGGGGGGAAACUCAAGGGGAAACACAAGAGGAACACUCAAACUAACAAGAACAAGUCACACAUGUGCUAGAUCCUCGGAUACAUAGAACGAUACACGAAUCCACAGACAACUAAGGAUGAUACAAAGGGUAGCUGGUUCUUCUCUGUGAGGAGGUCUUGAUGUUCUUCUCCAAAAGGAGGUCUUGAAUCCAAAAGGAUCUUCUCCGAAGAGGCCGCGGUCUCUCACGAGGAGUAGAUCCGAUGUGGAUGAGCGAAGCUCUAUCUCUAAGUAUGAGCUCACCCAACGCUAACCCUAGAAAGUUGUACGAGAUAGAGUAUAUAUAGUCUAGGUGACGAAAGGGUACACGGGCCUCGGCCCAAGUGGCUGCGCGCAGGCAGGGCCGGAAGCUCCGGGCUAGGCCGGAAGUUCCGGGCGCCGGAGGUUCCGGGGAGGGUCCGGCCUAACCAGAGAGUUGGCGCGGCGAAGAUGUGUUGGCAUCCGGGGGCCGGAAGGUCCGGGCAGGCCGGAGGUUCCGGGCGCCGGAAGGUCCGGGAUGGGGUCCGGGCUAACCCGAGAGUUGACACGCCUGGGCUGGUCGAAGUCAUCGGCGGCCGGAAGCUCCAGGUCGGCCGGAAGGUCCGGGGGCCGGAAGUUCCGGGCUCUGGCCAGAGGCUCCGGGCUGUCCAGAGUGUUGACGCCUGUCUCUUCUUCUACAGUCCUCGGCUCCGAGUCUUGAGCGUUGUACCUGAUGACACAUAGUAUCUCAGACUUAGGCAGUAGCCAUGUCUCACUUGAAGAGGGGGAAAACUCAAGUAGGAGUGAUGUCACCUCGGAUUGAAUAGCACGUGCCCUAGCCCUUGUCAUUGGUCCACUUGGAGCUUGGAUAGUUGAGGUGGCGUCCAUGGGGAUGGUCGUGGGAUGCCCCGCAUCAAAUCAGAGGAUGCACGUGGUGUCCAUGAUGAAGAUCGACCUGCAGAAAAGUUAGUUCGCGCCAAUGCCUGUCGAUCCUGCACUUCACAUUCAGCUUUACAAGCAAGAUGGAAUAAACAAGUGAUAUUAGUAUACUCCUUAUACUCUAGAAUGGUCUGAAUCUCUCUAUUUAAUCCACCCAUAAAACGUGCAAGCAUAGCUUCAUUCUCCUCAACAAUACCACAUCUAAUCAUGCCAGUUUGUAAUUCCUGAUAAUAUUCUUCUACAGAAUUUUUCCUUGUCUUAAACGCUGCAAUUUUUGAAGUAAUUCACGUUGAUAAUAUGGUGGAACCCAAUGAGUACGCGUAGCAGUUUUCAAAGCAGCCCAAGUAGCUGGAAUAGGAUAUAAUCUACAAUGUUCAGACCACCAAACACAUGCAAAGCUAGUGAAAGCAAAAACAGCAGCAGGAACACGUCUCUCCUCAGGAUAUUGUAAACAUGUAAAUCGUUAUUCAGUUUCUAACUCCCAAGUAAGAUAUAUAUCAGGAACAUAUCUACCCUCAAAUGGUGAAAUAUUCAAUUUUAGUUUAGGAAGAUGGUCAUGUACCUCAGGUGGUGGUGCAGCCCUACCGUUGCAAUGAUAUGCAUGAGGACGACCUGGUGGUGGUGGUGCUGGUGGUUGCACGUAGUUCUGAUUUUGGUCAACCUCAUCCUCGUAAUGGUCCUCCACCUCUGCAGUAGCAGCAGGAGCGGCAGAAGCAUCAACAGCGGCACCAGAAUUUUGCCCAGGGUCAAUGGGAACGCACUGUGCUCGUCCCACUUGAUUUGGAAAGUGACGUUGUUGUUGUUGUAGUUGUUGGAGAGGUGCGUUAGGCCGAAAUGGGGGCUUGAUAUUGAAAGUCUUGAGCCAUAGGCCCAAAUGGGGGCGGAUGUGGAGGAAAGCCUCGCACACGACGAUAAACGCCGAGAUGUUGAGGACAAAGUUCGAGGCCAGAUCAUGGAAAUCUAGGCCAUAGUAGAACAUGAGCCCCCGAACAAAUGGGUGAAGAGGGAAGCCCAGUCCGCGGAGGAAAUGGGGGAGGAACACCACCCUCUCAUGGGGCCUAGGGGUGGGGAUGAGCUACCCCUUUUCAGGAAGCCGGUACGCAAUGUCGUUAGACAAGUAUCCGGCCUUCCUCAGUUUUUUGAUGUGUCCCUCCGUGACGGAGGAGACCAUCCACUUGCCUCUCGCUCCGGACAUGGCUGGAGAAGGUUGAGGUGGGGAGUGCGGACUUGGGCGCUGGAGCUCGAGUGCGCGAGAAUGGAUAAGCAAGGGAGGAAGAAGGCGUAGGUGAAAAGGUGGAUCCUUAUCCCCUUAUAUGGAUGGACGCAACUACGUGUCCCACCAGCCUGGUAAAACUCGCUUAUCUCCAAGCGCCGUAAUCAAUGGCACGGUUGGGUUACCCACGCCCGUAUUGAUGAGAAUCCCGGAAUAAUGGGACACGAUCUCUACUUUAACAAGACGUGCCAAGGAAACCGCCUCACAUGACGCGCUGAGGUGGGAUAAUGAAACGACUCGGAUAAAGGCUUGGCCGUGGUGUGUCACACUACGGAAUACGUCAGCAGAUUAGAUUUGUGUAAAUAUUAUUCUCUCUAUGGCAAUAUGUGGAAACUUAUUUUGCAGAGUCGGACACUAUCUUUGUGUUCAAAAUCUUCUAUGAAGUACUUGGAGGAGGAACCCGCCUUGCAAUGCUGAAGACAAUCUGCGCGCCGGACUCGUCGUCAUUGAAGCCUGGUUCAGGGGAUACUGAGGGAGUCCUGGAUUAGGGGGUGUCCGGAUGGCUGGACUAUACCUUCAACCGGACUCCUGGACUAUGAAGAUACAAGAUUGAAGACUCCGUCCCGUGUCCGAAAGGGACUUUCCUUGGAGUGGAAGGCAAGCUUGGCGAUACGGAUAUGCAGAUCUCCUACCAUUGUAACCGACUUUGUGUAACCCUAACCCUCUCCAGUGUCUAUAUAAACCGGAGGGUUUUAGUCCGUAGGACAACAUACACAACAACAAUCAUACCAUAGGCUAGCUUCUAGGGUUUAGCCUCUCCGAUCUCGUGGUAGAUCUACUCUUGUACUACCCAUAUCAUCAAUAUUAAUCAAGCAGGACGUAGGGUUUUACCUCCAUCGAGAGGGCCCGAACCUGGGUAAAACUUCGUGUCCCUUGCCUCCUGUUACCAUCCGGCCUAGACGCACAGUUCGGGACCCCCUACCUGAGAUCCGCCGGUUUUGACACCGACACUCACCGAGCAACCUGGAAAUCUAAUACCACUUGAUAGAGGCUAAGGUGUCCCGAUGUUUCGAUGAGAUGGUGGCUAUCAUUUUCUGUGGGAGUCGACCUUGAUGAUCCAACUAUGAACGUGCGAGACGUCGCGCCUUAGCAAUCGAUAAACCAACUUCCGAGGGUUAUUGACCACGCCGGAGCACGAUCAACCUGACCACGAGGUUCUGUUUCCUGCGAGCAAAUGAAGAACAAGCAAGAAACUAAGAUUGCAAUCUGGAUAUUGCGAAUAUAAGAUGAAAGCUUUAUUGAUCAAGGUGGGGUUCUGUGAUGCCUUUGUCUGGUCGUUGAACACAAACGAAGUACGCGAAGUUGCAGCUAUGGCGAACUUUAAUCUAAACAAAACCCAAAGUCUAAACGACACCCUAAGGGCUGUAUAUAUGGAGGAAGAGGGGGGGAUUUCGUGGCCCUUGGAGGAGGGGUCCGAAACCAACCCUAACUCUUGUUUCCCUACACAUACGGACUCUAAAAACAGCCUAUACUUAAGUAUUUCAAAAAUACAUGGGCCUAGCCCAAUAAUAAGGUGAUGCAACACCUAAAAUAGCCUCUGGACGAAAUUUAUGAAGUGGCAUAUAGUAUAUUUUGUCCAAGGCUUCAUGCACUCCUUAUGGUGGCUUCAAAGUCCUGAAAUCAUCACUUGUAACUCCGUUCUUGACACCCUUGCGCAUGCCAUCAUCUCCAUGCUUGAACUUGAUCCAAGGUUCAUCUUUCUUGUCCAAGCUAGGCCCUUCAUUUGUAAGCAAAACAAAUGUAUCCAAUUUAGGCAGCAUCGUAUUCUCAUGAACAUUAGAAUCGUUACCAAGAAACGAAAGUACCUGAUAAUUCAAUUGGCGUGCGCGAGCUCUAGUAAUUGGUACAGUAUGUAUAGCAGCAGGGGCUGUGGGUGUAACAAUGGUAUUGAUGUCCUCAUCACACGUGAUAUCCCAUUGUCACCACAAAUACGCACGGUAAGACAUACAUCAAGUGUUCUCAAAUCCUUAAAGACUCAAUCCGAUAAGAUAACUGCAAAGGGAAAACUCAAUCCAUUACAAGAGAGUAGAGGGGGGAAUAAACAUCAUAGGAUCCAAAUAUAAUAGCAAAGCUCGUGAUACAUCAAGAUCGUAACACCUCAAGAACACGAGAGAGAGAGAUCAAACACAUAGCUACUGGUACAUACCCUCAGCCCCGAGGGAGAACUACUCCCUCCUCGUCAUGGAGUGCACCGGGAUGAUGAAGAUGGCCACCGGCGAAGGAUUCCCCCUUCGGCAGGGUGCCAGAACGGGUCUAGGUUGGCUUUUGGUGGCUACGGAGGCUUCUGGCAGCGGAACUCCCGAUCUAUUGUGCUCCCCGAUCGUUUUAGGGUAUAUGGAGAUAUAUAGGCGGAAGAAGUAUAUCAGGGGAGCCAUGAGGGGCCCGCGAGGGUGGAGGGCGCGCCCAGGGGAUUGGGCGCAACCCCCCUACCUCGUGGCUUCCUUGAAGCUACCUUGACGUGGACUCCAAGUCUCCUGGGUUGCUUUCCUUCCAAAAAUAAGUUCCGUGAAGUUUCAGGUCAAUUGGACUCCGUCUGAUUUUCCUUUUCUGUGAUACUCUAAAAUAAGGAAAAAACAGAAACUGGCAUAUAGGUGGAAGAAGUAUGUCAGGGGAGCCACGAGGGGCCCACAAGGGUGGAGGGCGUGCCCAGGGGGGGUGGGUGCGCCCCCUACCUCGUGGCUUCCUCGAAACUUCCUUGACGUGGACUCCAAGUCUCCCGGGUUGCUUUCCUUCCAAAAAUAAGUUCCGUGAAGUUUCAGGUCAAUUGGACUCCGUCUGAUUUUCCUUUUCUGCAAUACUCUAAAACAAGGAAAAAACAGAAACUGGCACUGGGCUCUAGGUAUUAGGUUAGUCCCAAAAAUAAUAUAAAAGUGUAUAAUAAAGCCCAUAAACAUCCAAAAUAGAUAAUAUAAUAGCAUGGAACAAUCAAAAAUUAUAGAUACGUUGGAGACGUAUCAACAUCCCCAAGCUUAAUUCCUGCUCGUCCUCGAGUAGGUAAAUGAUAAAAACAGAAGUUUUGAUGUGGAAUGCUACCUAACAUAUUCAUCAUGUAUUUCUCUCUAUUGUAGCAAGAAUAUUCAGAUCCAUAAGAUUCAAGACAAAAGUUUAAUAUUGACAUAAAAAUAAUAAUACUUCAAGCAUACUAACUAAGCAAUCAUGUCUUCUCAAAAUAACAUGGCCAAAGAAAGUUCAUCCCUACAAAAUCAUAUAGUUUGGUCAUGCUCCAUUUUCAUCACACAAGAAUGCUCUCAUCAUGCACAACCCCGAUGACAAGCCAAGCAAUUGUUUCAUACUUUAGUAAUCUCGAACCUAUAAACUUUCACACAAUAUAUGAGCGCGAGCCAUGGAUAUAACACUAUCAGCAGAAUAGAAUAUGAUGAUGGGGGUUAUGUGCAGACGACAAAAAAGGAGAAAGUCUCACAUCAACGAGGCUUAUCAAUGGGCUAUGGAGAUGCCCAUCAAUUGAUGUUAAUGCAAGGAGUAGGGAUUGCCAUGCAAUAGAUGCACUAGAGCUAUAAAUGUAUGAAAGCUCAACAAAAGAAACUAAGUGGGUGUGCAUCCAACUUGCUUGCUCACGAAGACCUAGGGUACUUGAGGAGGCCCAUUGUUGGAAUAUACAAGCCUAGUUCUAUAAUGAAAAAUUCCCACUAGUAUAUGAAAGUGACAAAACAAGAGACUCUCUAUCAUAAAGAUCAUGGUGCUACUUUAAAGCACAAGUGUGGAAAAAGGAUAGUAGCAUUGUCCCUUUUAUUUUUAUUUUUAUUUUUUAUUUGGCCUUUCUUUUUUUGGGACAAUGCUCUAUGAAUGAUGAUCAUCACACUUCUAUUUAUUUACAACUCAAUGAUUACAACUCGAUGCUAGAACAAAAGAUGACUCUAUAUGAAUGCCUCCGGUGGUGUGCCGGGAUAUGCAAUGAACCAAGAGUGACAUGUAUGAAAGAAUUAUGAACGGUCGCUUUGCCACAAAUACUAUGUCAACUACAUGAUCAUGCUAAGCAAUAUGACAAUGAUGAAUGUGUCAUAAUAAACGGAACGGUGGAAAGUUGCAUGGCAAUAUAUCUCGGAAUGGCUAUGGAAAUACCAUAAUAGGUAGGUAUGGUGGCUGUUUUAAGGAAGAUAUAAGGAGGUUUAUGUGUGAAAGAGCGUAUCAUAUCACGGGGUUUGGAUGCACCGGCGAAGUUUGCACCAACUCUCAAUGUGAUAAAGGGCAAUGCACGGUACCAAAGAGGCUAGCAAUGAUGGAAGGGUGAGAGUGCGUAUAAACCAUGGACUCAACAUUAGUCAUAAAGAACUCACAUACUUAUUGCAAAAAUCUACAAGUCAUCAAAAACCAAGCAUUACGCGCAUGCUCCUAGGGGGAUAGAUUGGUAGGAAAAGACCAUGGCUCGUCCCCGACCGCCACUCAUAAGGAAGACAAUCAAAUAACACCUCAUGUUUAAAAUUUGUUACACAACGUUUACCAUACAUGCAUGCUUCGGGACUUGCAAACUUCAACACAAGUAUUCCUCAAAUUCACAACUACUCAACUAGCACAUCUUUGAUAUCACUGUCUCCAUAUCUCGAAACAAUCAUCAAGUAUCAAACUUCUCUUAGUAUUCAAUGCAUUCUAUAUGAAAGUUUUUAUUAUACCCAUCUUGGAUGCCUAUCAUAUAAGGACUAGAUUCAUAACCAAAGCAAACUACCAUGCUAUUCUAAAGACUCUCAAAAUAAUAUAAGUGAAGCAUGAGAGUUCAUCUAUUUUUCAAAAUAAAACUACCACCAUGCUCUAAAAGAUAUAAGUGAAGCACUAGAGCAAACAACAAACUACUCCGAAAGAUAUAAGUGAAGAUCAAUGAGUAAUUGAAUAAUUAUGCGACUAUGUGAAGACUCUCUAACAUUUAAGAAUUUCAUAUCUUGGUAUUUUAUUCAAACAGAAAGCAAAACAAAAUGAAAUAAAAUGACGCUCCAAGCAAAACACAUAUCAUGUGUUGAAUAAAAAUAUAGCUCCAAGUAAAGUUACCGAUGAACGAAGAUGAAAGAGGGGAUGCCUUCCGGGGCAUCCCCAAGCUUAGGAUUUUGGUUGUCCUUGAAUAUUACGUUGGGGUGCCUUGGGCAUCCCCAAGCUUGGGCUAUUGCCACUCCUUAUUCCAUAGUCCAUCGAAUUUUUACCCAAAACUUGAAAACUUCACAACACAAAACUUAAUAGAAAACUCGUAAGCUUCGUUAGUAUAAGAAAAUAAAUCACCACUUAGGUACUGUUGUGAACUCAUUCUAAAUUCAUAUUGGUGUAAUAUCUACUGUAUUCCAACUUAUCUAUGAUUCAUACCCUCCGAUACUACUCAUAGAUUCAUCAAAAUAAGCAAACAACACAUCAAAAACAGAAUCUGUCAAAAACAGAACAGUCUGUAGUAAUCUGGAUCAAACGCAUACUUCUGGAACUCAUAAAAUUAUAAAAUAAAUUGCUGGACGUGAGGAAUUUAUCUAUUAAUCAUCUUCAAAAAGAAUUAACUAAAUAGCACUCUCCAAUAAAAAAUGGCAGCAAUUCUCGUGAGCACUAAAGUUUUUCUUUUUUACAGCAUGAUCGCAAAGACUUCACCCAAGUCUUCCCAAAGGUUCUACUUGGCACAAAUACUAAUUAAAACAUAAAAACUCAAUCAUAACAGAGUCUAGAUAAAUUAUUUAUUACUAACUAGGAACAAAAAGCAAGGAACAAAAAUAAAGUUGGGUUGCCUCCCAACAAGCGCUAUCGUUUAACGCCCCUAGCUUGGCAUGAUGAUUUCAAUGAUGCUCACAUAAGACAUAAGAAUUGAAACAUAAAGAGAGUAUCAUGAAGCAUAUGACAAGCACAUUUAAGUCUAACCCUCUUCCUAUUCAUAGGGAUUUUGGGAGCAAGCAACUUAUGGGAACAAUAAUCAACUAGCAUAGGAGGGCAAAACAAGCAUAACUUCAAAGUUUUAAGCACAUAGAGAGGAAACUUGAUAUUAUUGCAAUUCCUACAAGCAUAUAUUCCUCCCUCAUAAUAAUUUUCAGUAGCAUCAUGAAUGAAUUCAACAAUAUAACCAGAACCUAAAGCAUUCUUUUCAUGAUCUACAAGCAUAGAAUUUUUAUUACUCUCCACAUAAGCAAAAUUCUUCCCAAUCGGAAUAGUGAGAGUAUCAUAAGAGACUCGAAUACUAUAAAUUGUUUCCACAUUAAAAGAGUAAUGUUCAGAAAAGGGAUAAUCAUAAUCAUGACAAGUUUUAUAAAUAUAAUCACUACUUUUUAUAUCAUAAGUAUCAUCACAUUAAUCAUCAUAAGUAGAAGGCAUGCUAUCAUCAUUAUAAAUUUGCAUAUCAAAACUUGGGAGACUAAAAAUAUCAUUUUCGUUAAACGUAGCAUCCCCAAGCUUGGGACAAACAUUAAUUGCAGAAAAUAUAUUCUCAAAAACAUCAUAUUCAUCAAACAUAGCAUCCCCAAGCUUGGGCCUUUUCAUAUCAUAAGCAUAAUCACUCUCAUCAUUAAUAGCAUGGACAACACCAAUAGUAUAGCAAUUAUCAUAUUCUUCCAAGCAAGUGCCAAAAAGAUUUUUAAGAUCAUAAGAAGUAUCAUUAUCUUCCCAAUCAUAAUCAUCACAACAAGCAAUAGGUAUAAUGAGAUCAUCAUCAAGUGCAUCAUCUUCCACAAUUAUUUUUGAUUUAUUUUCAUGAGGCACAACAAUAAUGGGAGCAACAUUAUUUGGGAGAGAUAUCUUUUUACCUCUUUUCCUUUUUCUUUUCUUCUUCUUAACCUCAUGUGUGGGUUCAAUCCUCUUUUUAGAGCUCCUUAUUAAUGAGAUUGGUUGAAUAGAAGGCUCCUCCUCGUUACCUGAUUCAUCAUAAGAAAUAAUAGGAGAAUAUUGGGAAGUCUCUUCCCGUUCGUUAGUAUUCUCUUCAUCCUCUAUUUGUUUUCUUUUCUUUAUGUAAUUGGCAAUAUAAGGAUUUUCAAUGCAAUUCACUGCACAAUACAUAUAAAUUUCCUCUAUAUCAAAAUGAAGAACUCUAUCAAGGGCAAAUUUUGGAAUAUCCUUAGUUAUACGUUUCAUUUCUUCAUAACCCAAGAGCAAACUAAGUUCAUUAUGAUGUGCAAGGGAAAUCAAGUCAUCACAAUUUUUGGACAUGAUACGAUCUUGAAACAAUUUGCAUUGGGUACUAAAAUGAUCAUGUUCAUUGCAAAGUUCACAAGUACGGCUAAGAAAAUUUAAAUUUUCAACACAAACAUCUAGCCUUUCUUGCAACCAUUUAGUUUCUAAAUGCUUAUGCCUCUUGCAAUAUCUAUCUUCCCUAUUUCGUGUGUACUUGCAAACCCAAUGUACUCCACAAAAAUUGACAUGUUUAUAGGAGACAUUUUCAUCAUAACUAGUGCAAUCAUCAUUAGUACUAUGGAUAUUCAAGGAGUUCAUACUAACAACAUUGCGAUCAUGCUCACCAUUCAAAGAUUUAGUGCCAAACAUUUUAAUGCAUUCUUCUUCUAGCACUUGAGCACAAUUUUCCUUUCCAUCGUACUCACGAAAGAUACUAAAAAGAUGAAGCGUAUGAGACAAACUUAAUUCCAUUUUUUAAUUUUCUUUUAUAAACUAAACUAGUGCUAAAACAAGAAACAAAAAGAUUUGAUUGCAAGAUCUAAAGAUAUACCUUCAAGCACUCACCUCCCGGGCAACGGCGCCAGAAAAGAGCUUGAUGUCUACUACACAACCUUCUUCUUGUAGACAUUGUUGGGCCUCCAAGCGCAGAGGUUUGUAGGGCAGUAGCAAAUUUCCCUCAAGUGGAUGACCUAUGGUUUAUCAAUCCGUAGGAGGCGUAGGAUGAAGAUGGUCUCUCUCAAGCAACCUUGCAACCAAAUAACAAAGAGUCUCUUGUGUCCCCAACACACCCAAUACAAUGGUAAAUUGUAUAGGUGCACUAGUUCGAUGAAGAGAUGGUGAUAUAGGUGGUAUAUGGAUGGUAGAUAAAGGUUUUUGUAAUCUGAAAAUAUAAAAACAGCAAGGUAACUAAUGAUAAAAGUGAGCACAAACGGUAUUGCAAUGCGUUGAAACAAGGCCUAGGGUUCAUACUUUCACUAGUGCAAGUUCUCUCAACAAUAAUAACAUAAUUGGAUCACAUAACUAUCCCUCAACAUGCAACAAAGAGUCACUCCAAAGUCACUAAGAGCGCAGAACAAACGAAAAGAUUAUAGUAGGGUACGAAACCACCUCAAAGUUAUUCUUUCCAAUCAAUCCGUUGGGCUAUUCCUAUAAGUGUCACAAACAGCCCUAGAGUUCGUACUAGAAUAACACCUUAAGACACAAAUCAACCAAAACCCUAAUGUCACCUAUAUACUCCAAUGUGAUGAGCACAUCAAUACAAUUGUUACAUCCACAGCCCCUGCUGCUAUACAUACUGGACCAAUUACUAGAGCUCGUGCACACCAACUAAAUUACCAGGUACUUUCGUUUCUUGGUAAUGAUUCUAAUGUUCAUGAGAAUAUGAUGCUGCCUAAAUUGGAUACAUUUGUUUUGCUUACAAAUGAAGGGCCUAGCUUGGAGAAGGAUGAACAUUGGAGCAAGAACAAGCAUGGAGACGAUGGCAUGCGCAAGGGGAACAAGAACGGAGUUACAAGUGAUGAUUUCAGGACUUUGAAGCCACCAUAAUGGGUGCAUGAAGCCUUGGACGAAAUAUACAAGAUGCCACUUCAUAAAUUUCGUCCCGAGGCUAUUUUAGGUGCUGCGUCACCUUAUUAUUGGGCCAGGCCCAUGUAAUUUCGAAAUACAUAAGUAUAGGCUAUUUUUAGAGUCCGUAUGUGUGGGGAAACAAGAGAUAGGGUUGAUUUCGGACCCCUCCACCAAGGGCCACGAAAUUCCCCCCUCUUCCUCCAUAUAUAUAGCCCUUAGGGCAUCGUUUAGACUUUGGGUUUUGUUUAGAUUAAAAGUUCGCCAUAGCUGCAACUUCGCGUACUUCGUUUGUGUUCAACGACCAGACAAAGGCGUCACAGAACCCCACCUUGAUCAAUAAAGCUUUCAUCUUAUAUUCGCAAUAUCCAGAUUGCAAUCUCAGUUUCUUGCUUGUUCUUCGUUUGCUCGCAGGAAACAGACCCUCGUGGUCAGGUUGAUCGUGCUCUGGCGUGGUCAAUAACCUCUCGGAGUUGGUUUAGCGAUUGCUAAGGCGCGACGUCCUCGCACGUUCGUAGUCGGAUCGUCAAAGUCGACUGCCACCAAAGCGAUAUCCAUCAUCUCAUCGAAAGACGGGACACCUUUGCCUAUAUCAAGUGGUAUCAGAUUUCCAGGUUGCUCGGUGAGAUUUUACAGUUUUUCGUAGUUUAGAUCGAGUCUAUUCUUCAUACUUAUAGUCCAUGAAAAAGCCACACAAAAAAUUAGGGUUAGUUCAUCAUAUCCGAACCAAUCUGAGCCUUUGCAUAAUCUUUUUAGGGUUUUGCAUUGUUGAAUUUGCGGUUGCAUCGUCAUGUCUAGUUGCUGGUCUUAGAGUCUAGUCUUUUAGAGUUUCGAGUUCUGGUCAUAAGUUGUCACGCCGCCGCCGCACCAUCAUCAUCACCCCUGCCAUCUACCACCACCGCUUAUCCGCCACCGCUUCGAAUCCGUAUCCAUAUACCACCACAGCUGUCAUAUACCACCACCGCUGCCAUCUACCACCAUAUAUCCACCACCAAUCCGAGUUCUUGUCAUAUUAGGUUUGUUUUCGAGAUCCAUCUAGAUUCCGAUUCGUGUUUCCUUGCCGGAGUCCGGAAACCACGCUCCGUUUAGGCCCAAAAUUUUUCGAAAACGCAUUUUUCGAAAAAAAUUCUGGCUAUCCUAUUUUUAGGUGUUUCUGAGUGUUUUGAGAGAGGUGCCAUUAUAGGAAGUUUUUUUGACCCGUUUCCAGAUUUUGGGUCCGGGCAGUCGAAAAAAAAAUUGGUCAAAAAAAAUUUCGUGCCCAUCCUGUCAGUUUGAGCUAGGAAGAGUUUUGAGACACUCGCCAUUAUAGUGAUUUUUCGCAAAAAAAAAGCAGCGCAAAAAAAAUUGUCUAGCCUAGUUUACGUGUCGCGCCGUGAUUUUGUUGGUGUUCUAGGCUCGCGUCUCUAGCACAGUCUAGCCUAGGACCAGCACAGUACCAUCGUUGAGCGUUUAUUCAACUUUGCAUCUCUAAAUUGAUUAUUGCUGACCCUUUUUGCUAUGAUAUUAUAAGCCUUCCCAGCUCCACAUACAUCUACGUUGUGCGUUUGACUCUCCCUGGUAAUCGCUCUAUCCAAGCUUUGAGAGUUUUUGACUACAACGGUUGCCGAUCACCGCCUGCUGCUGGGUAAGAACUGGUAAGAAUUUGAGAUUUGCUUGACGGAUUUGUGACACUCACCACCACCUCUUGUUAGUAGUCUGUAGGAUCAUAUUAUUGUGUGUUUCUAUUGCUGCUAACCAUGCCAGGAUCACAAGCCAACGAGAAUGACUGGGAGAACAUGACGAAUAAGGAUUUGCAUGAUAAAUUUCAGCAAAUGAUGAGUGGACAGGUGCAAGACGUGCUAAACAGAUUUGAAGAGGCCAUGGAGAAGAUAGAUGGCAUGGAGAAGACGUUCGAAACAAAGCUCGAUAACAAGUUUAAUGAAUUGCUCCCGCGUCUUCCACCACCACCACCCGCUGGACCUAACGCACCUCUCCAACAACAACAACAACGACUACCUCCACGUCACGAAAUAGACCUCCGCCGAGCGAGCCGUGUUCCUCUUGCGUUUGGACAAACUGUUGGUGCUGCUGUUGAUACUUCUGUGGCUCCUGCUGCUGAUGCGGAGGAGGAUGAUUAUGUGGGAGAUUACGAGGAUGAGGUUGCUCAAAAUCAGAACUAUGUGCAACCACCAGCACCACCACCAGCAGGUCGACCUCAGGUAUAUAUUCGUAAUAGUAGGCCUACACCACCACCUCAGGUACGAGAUGAUGUCCAUAUUCCUAAACUGAAAUUGAAUAUUCCACCAUUUGAGGGUAGAUAUGUUCCUGAUAUAUAUGUUACUUGGGAGUUAGAAACUGAACAACGUUUUACAUGUUUACAAUAUCCCAAGGAGAGACGGGUUGCUGCUGCUGUUUGUGUUUUCACUAGUUUUGCAUGUGUCUGGUGGUCUGAACAUUGUAGAUUAUAUCCUAUUCCAACUACUUGGGCUGCUUUGAAAACUGCUAUGCGUACUCGUUGGGUUCCACCAUAUUAUCAACGUGAAUUGCUUCAAAAAUUGCAGCGUUUAAGACAAGGAAAAAAUUCUGUAGAAGAAUAUUAUCAGGAAUUACAAACUGGCAUGAUUCGAUGUGGUAUUGUUGAGGAGAAUGAAGCUAUGCUUGCACGUUUUCUGGGUGGAUUAAACAGAGAGAUUCAGACCAUUCUAGACUAUAAGGAGUAUACUAAUAUCACUCGUUUAUUCCAUCUUGCUUGUAAAGCUGAACAUGAAGUGCAGGAUCGACAAGCAUUGGCGCGAACUAACUUUUCUGCAGGCCGACCUUCAUCAUGGACACCGCAUGCAUCUUCUACUUCAACUGCACCAGCACCUCAAUCAGGUGCCUCCUACAGCCGUGAUACACGAAAAUAGGAACAACCACCAUUAUCUGCCAAGAGCGCACCUGCCGGGCCUGCACAGAGUUCUUCUUCUUCCAGGGCAUCAACAGGGCACACAAGUGAUAUUAUUUGUCGUUGUUGUAAGGGAGGAGGUCAUUAUGCGAGAGAAUGCAAAUCUCCGCGUGUGAUGAUUGCUACCAAGGGUGGUGGAUAUGAGUCCGCUAGUGACAAUGAUGAGGAGACAUUGGCUCUUAUUACACAUGAAGAACAUGGUGGAGAUGAUUCUGAUCAUGAGACGCAAUACAUGGCUCCUGAAGACGCUGACAGGUAUGAAUGUUUAGUUGCUCAACGUGUUUUGAGUGUGCAGGUCACACAAGCUGAGCAAAAUCAGAGGCACAAUUUGUUCCAUACCAAGGGAGUUGUGAAGGAAUGUUCUGUGCGUGUCAUAAUAGACGGAGGGAGCUGCAACAACUUGGCUAGCAUGGAGAUGGUGGAGAAGCUUUCUCUCACCACAAGACCACAUCCACAUCCUUACUACAUCCAAUGGUUCAACAACAGCGGCAAGGUUAAGGUAACACGUACUGUUCGUGUGCAUUUUAGUAUCUCUACAUAUGCUGAUUAUGUUGAUUGUGAUGUGGUACCUAUGCAAGUAUGUUCCUUAUUACUUGGUAGACCAUGGCAAUUUGAUAAAAAUUCUGUACACCAUGGUAGAAACAAUCACUAUACUCUUGUUCAUAAGGAUAAAAAUAUUACUUUGCUUCCUAUGACUCCUGAUUCCAUUUUGAAAGAUGAUAUUAAUAGAGCUAAUAAAGCAAAACAGGAGAAGAAUAAGAGUGAAAAUCAGAUUGUGGCAAAAGAAUUUGAGCAACAAAUGAAGCCUAAUAAUAAACCAUCUAGUGUUGCUUCUGAAAUUAAAUUGAAAAGUGCAUGUUUAUUUGCCACCAAAUCUGAUAUUGAUGAGCUAGAUUUCAGCAAAUCUAUUUGCUAUGCUUUUGUGUGCAAAGAGGCAUUAUUUUCAUUCGAGGACGUGCCUUCCUCUUUGCCUCCUGCUGUCACUAACAUUUUGUAGGAGUUCGCUAACGUUUUUCCACAAGAUGUGCCACCGGGAUUACCGCCUAUUUGAGGGAUUGAGCAUCAGAUUGACUUAAUUCCCGGUGCUUCACUGCCAAACCGUGCACCAUACCGUACCAAUCCAGAGGAGACGAAGGAGAUUAUGCGUCAAGUACAAGAGCUUCUCGACAAAGGUUAUAUACGCGAAUCCCUUAGUCCUUGUGUUGUUCCUAUUAUUCUAGUGCCAAAAAAGGAUGGUACAUCACGUAUGUGUGUUGAUUGUAGAGGCAUUAAUAAUAUUACUAUUCGUUAUCGUCAUCCUAUUCCUAGGCUAGAUGAUAUGCUUGAUGAAUUGAGUGGCUCUACAAUAUUCUCCAAAGUUGAUUUGCGUAGUGGCUACCAUCAAAUUCGUAUGAAAUUGGGAGAUGAAUGGAAAACAACAUUUAAAACUAAGUUUGGAUUAUAUGAGUGGUUAGUCAUGCCUUUUGGGUUAACUAAUGCACCUAGUACUUUCAUGAGAUUAAUGAACGAAGUUUUACGUGCUUUCAUUGGACGAUUUGUGGUAGUUUACUUUGAUGACAUAUUGAUUUAUAGCAGAUCUUUGGAAGAACAUUUGGAACAUUUACGUGUUGUUUUUAUUGCUCUACGUGAUGCACGUUUGUUUGGUAACCUUGGGAAGUGCACCUUUUGCACCGACCGAGUAUCUUUUCUUGGCUAUGUUGUUACUCCACAGGGAAUUGAAGUUGAUAAAGCCAAGAUUGAAGCAAUUGAGAGUUGGCCGCAGCCCAAAACGGUCACACAAGUGAGGAGUUUUCUUGGCCUCGCUGGAUUCUAUAGGCGUUUUGUGAGAGAUUUUAGCACCAUUGCUGCACCUCUCAAUGAGCUUACAAAGAAAGAUGUGCCUUUUCUUUGGGGUACCGCACAGGAAGAAGCCUUCACUGUAUUGAAAGAUAAGUUGACACAUGCUCCUUUACUCCAACUUCCUGAUUUUAAUAAGACUUUUGAGCUUGAAUGUGAUGCUAGUGGAAUUGGAUUAGGAGGUGUGUUAUUACAAGAUGGCAAACCUGUUGCAUACUUUUCUGAUAAAUUGAGUGGGCCUAGUCUGAAUUAUUCUACUUAUGAUAAAGAAUUAUAUGCUCUUGUUCGGACUUUAGAAACAUGGCAACAUUAUUUAUGACCCAAAGAAUUUGUUAUACAUUCUGAUCAUGAAUCUUUGAAACAUAUUAAAAGUCAAGCUAAACUGAAUCGUAGACAUGCUAAAUGGGUUGAAUUCAUUGAGACUUUCCCUUAUGUCAUUAAACACAAGAAGGGAAAAGAAAAUGUUAUUGCUGAUGCAUUGUCUCGUCGCUAUACUAUGCUUUCACAACUUGACUUCAAAAUAUUUGGUUUGGAGACCAUCAAAGAUCAAUAUGUGCAUGAUGCUGAUUUUAAAGAUGUAAUGCAGAAUUGUAAAGAAGGAAGAAUGUGGAACAAGUUUGUUGUUAACGAUGGAUUUGUGUUUCGUGCUAACAAGCUAUGCAUUCCAGCUAGCUCCGUUCGUCUUUUGUUGUUGCAGGAGGCGCAUGGAGGAGGAUUAAUGGGACACUUUGGCGUGAAGAAGACGGAGGACGUACUUGCUACACAUUUCUUUUGGCCAAAGAUGAGACAGGAUGUUGAGCGUUUUAUUGCUCGCUGCACUACAUGUCAAAAAGCUAAGUCACGACUCAAUCCUCAUGGUUUAUAUAUGCCUUUGCCGGUACCUAGUGUUCCUUGGGAGGAUAUAUCUAUGGACUUUGUUUUAGGUUUACCUCGAACAAAGAAGGGGAGGGAUAGCAUAUUUGUUGUCGUCGAUAGAUUCUCGAAAAUGGCACACUUUAUACCAUGUCAUAAAAGCGAUGAUGCUGUUAAUGUUGCUGAUUUGUUCUUUCGUGAAAUUAUCCGCUUGCAUGGUGUGCCAAAUACUAUUGUUUCAGAUCGUGAUACUAAAUUUCUUAGCCACUUUUGGAGAUGUUUAUGGGCUAAGUUGGGGACUAAAUUGCUUUUUAGUACUACUUGUCACCCCCAAACUGAUGGACAAACUGAAGUAGUCAAUAGAACGUUGUCUACUAUGCUUAGGGCUGUUUUGAAGAAUAAUAAGAAAAUGUGGGAGGAAUGCUUGCCUCAUAUUGAAUUUGCUUAUAAUCGUUCAUUGCAUUCUACUACUACGAUGUGCCCUUUUGAAGUUGUGUAUGGUUUCCUACCUCGUGCACCUAUUGAUUUGUUGCCUCUUCCAUCUUCGGAGAAGGUUAAUUUUGAUGCUAAACAACGUGCUGAAUUGAUUUUAAAAAUGCAUGAGUUAACUAAGGAAAACAUUGAGCGUAUGAAUGCUAAAUAUAAACUUGCUGGAGAUAAGGGUAGAAAACAUGUUGUGUUUGCACCUGGAGAUCUUGUUUGGUUACAUUUGCGUAAGGAUAGAUUUCCUGAUUUGCGCAAAUCAAAGUUAAUGCCACGUGCUGAUGGUCCCUUUAAGGUGUUAGAGAAAAUAAAUGAUAAUGCAUAUAAACUUGAGCUGCCUGCAGAUUUUGGGGUUAGUCCCACUUUUAACAUUGCAGAUUUGAAGCCUUAUUUGGGUGAGGAAGAUGAACUUCCGUCGAGGACGACUUCAUUUCAAGAAGGGGAGGAUGAUGAGGACAUCAAUACAAUUGUUACAUCCACGGCCCCUGCUGCUAUACAUACUGGACCAAUUACUAGAGCUCGUGCACGCCAACUAAAUUACCAGGAACUUUCAUUUCUUGGUAAUGAUUCUAAUGUUCAUGAGAAUAUGAUGCUGCCUAAAUUGGAUACAUUUGUUUUGCUUACAAAUGAAGGGCCUAGCUUAGAGAAGGAUGAACAUUGGAGCAAGAACAAGCAUGGAGAUGAUGGCAUGCGCAAGGGGAACAAGAAUGGAGUUACAAGUGAUGAUUUCAGGACUUUGAAGCCACCAUAAUGGGUGCAUGAAGCCUUGGACGAAAUAUACAAGAUGCCACUUCAUAAAUUUCGUCCCGAGGCUAUUUUAGGUGCUGCGUCACCUUAUUAUUGGGCCAGGCCCAUGUAAUUUUGAAAUACAUAAGUAUAGGCUAUUUUUAGAGUCCGUAUGUGUGGGGAAACAAGAGAUAGGGUUGAUUUCGGACCCCUCCACCAAGGGCCACGAAAUUCCCCCCUCUUCCUCCAUAUAUACAGCCCUUAGGGCAUCGUUUAGACUUUGGGUUUUGUUUAGAUUAAAAGUUCGCCAUAGCUGCAACUUCGCGUACUUCGUUUGUGUUCAACGACCAGACAAAGGUGUCAUAGAACCCCACCUUGAUCAAUAAAGCUUUCAUCUUAUAUUCGCAAUAUCCAGAUUGCAAUCUCAGUUUCUUGCUUGUUCUUCGUUUGCUCGCAGGAAACAGACCCUCGUGGUUAGGUUGAUCGUGCUCUGGCGUGGUCAAUAACCUCUCAGAGUUGGUUUAGCGAUUGCUAAGGCGCGACGUCCUCGCACGUUCGUAGUCAGAUCGUCAAAGUCGACUGCCACCAAAGCGAUAUCCAUCAUCUCAUCGAAAGGCGGGACACCUUUGCCUAUUUCACAAUGUCACCACAAGUAUCCGUGGGUAUGAUUAUACAAUAUGCAUCACACAAUCUCAGAUUCAUCUAUUCAACCAACACAUAGAACCUCAAAGAGUGCCCCAAAGUUUCUACCGGAGAGUCAAGACGAAAACGUGCCAACCCCUAUGCAUAGGUUCAUGAGCGGAACCCGCAAGUUGAUCACCAAAACAUACAUCAAGUGAAUCACGUGAUAUCCCAUUGUCACCACAGAUACACACGGCAAGACAUACAUCAAGUGUUGUCAAAUCCUUAAAGACUCAAUCCGAUAAGAUAACUUCAAAGGGAAAACUCAAUCCAUUACAAGAGAGUAGAGGGGGGAAGAAACAUCAUAGGAUCCAAAUAUAAUAGACGCGAUACAUCAAGAUCGUAACACCUCAAGAACACGAGAGAGAGAGAGAGAUCAAACACAUAGCUACUGGUACAUACCCUCAAGAGGGAGAACUACUCCCUCCUCGUCAUGGAGAGCACUGGGAUGAUCAAGAUGGCCACCAGAGAAGGAUUCCCCCUCCGGCAGGGUGCCGGAACGGGUCUAGAUUGGCUUUCGGUGGCUACGGAGGCUUCUGGCAGCGUAACUCCCGAUCUAUUGUGCUCCCCGAUCGUUUUAGGGUAUAUGGAGAUAUAUAGGCGGAAGAAGUAUGUCAGGGGAGCCAUGAGGGGCCCACGAGGGUGGAGGGCGCGCCCAGGGGGGUGGGUGCGCCCCCUACCUCGUGGCUUCCUCGAAGCUUCCUUGACAUGGACUCCAAGUCUCCCGGGUUGCUUUCCUUCCAAAAAUAAGUUCCGUGAAGUUUCAGGUCAAUUGGACUCCGUUUGAUUUUCGUUUUCUGCGAUACUCUAAAACAAGGAAAAAACAGAAACUGGCACUGGGCUCUAGGUUAAGAGGUUAGUCCCAAAAAUAAUAUAAAAGUGUAUAAUAAAGCCCAUAAACAUCCAAAACAGAUAAUAUAAUAGCAUGGAACAAUCAAAAAUUAUAGAUACGUUGGAGACGUAUCAGCGCCCUUCUGAUGUUUGUUCGCCCAUCAUCAGCAACGUCCAAGUCACCGAGACCAUCAUCGACGGUGGUGCAGGGCUCAAUGUCCUAUCCGUCGAGACAUUCGACCGCCUCCAAGUGCCAUAUGAUCAGCUGCAGCCUACCAAGCCCUUUUCAGGAGUGACCGAUGGCUCUACCACCCCGAUUGGGCAGGUCCGCCUCCCUGUCACCUAUGGCACCCACAACAGCUGCCGCACUGAGCUUAUCGACUUUGAGUUGCCCACAUCCGCCUGCCAUACAAUGCCAUCAUUGGGUAUCCAGCCCUAGCCAAAUUCAUGGCUAUAACUCAUCAUGGCUACAACGUCCUCAAGAUGCCAGGGAGCGGCGGCGUCAUCUCGGUCGCUUGCAAAGAGAAGGACGCGGUGUGCUCCCUCGAGCGCGCUUACCAGGCUGCGUAGGCCGAAGACCAAGACAACGAAGGCACCCUGUACCCUCCCGAGGUGGUCCCCAAGAAGAAGAAGCAACUGCUCCACCAAGGAUUUCAGGAGAGCGGCGUCUCCAGCGGCACCGCCUCAGGACCUGUGCACGCAGAUGGGGCGCCUCCCUCCCACGCGUAGGAAGGCGCGCCCGACGCCCUCCUCAGUAUGGGCUCGGGGGCUCUCUUUUGGAGGGCCUUGGACCUAACCAACAUCACAAGGGAGGAGCUCGGGCACCACGUGGAGGCGUGCUUUGCCGCACGCUUCCGACAAGAGGGCACAACGCGUGGAAUGCCUAGUGCUCAGGAGUUCAUCACCAAGGCAACUGAGGAGCUUCAGGAAGCAAGGAUCAUGCGUGGCGACUGCCGCCCACCACCUGGCGCGGCCCCACGUCCUAGCAAGGACAGCGAGCUGCGCGUCUGCGUCAAUGUUCCAGGGCUCAAUAGGGCCGCAUCUUAGGGGUGCUUCUAGCCAUGGAGUGUUGGUCAAUGCGAGCGUCCACCUCACAGCUACGUUUGCAUGCCCUUCAGCUUGCCGAACAUUGCUGUUACCUUCCAUCGGCUCAUGCAGGGUGCCCUGGCGGCUCGCGAGGCAAGGCGCCGGGCCAUCCUAGGGGAGGGAGCCGGAACGGUACCAGGUGAGGCUCAUGAGGAGCAACUUCUUCAGCACGCAUCUUCAGCUACUCCAACACCUCUUCAGCAACGGUACCAGGUGACUCUUUCCGAUUCAUUCAGUUGGGGGUGCCCCUUGGGCUGCAUCAUCCCCAGGUCGCACGGGCCUGUCACUGCGACGUGUAUCCUUUUGCAUAUUUAGCUUACUCAGUUGGGGGCGGCCCUCGGGCUGCAUCAUCCCCAGGCCGUUCAGUUCCGUCCCGGUGGCAUGUAUCGUUCGUGCAUUUGUCUGAACUAGCUUGCCUCCUUCCAUGAUUUACCUUAUGACUAUCACCUGCCUGUCUGGUACUUCAAUACCAUGAACGUCGUGCACCCUUGUGAGCCCACCCAUGAAUGCCUCAUGAUUAAGGACUGGCACGACGUCUGUGCUCGGGUCCAUCCCAGCAGCGUCGCCAAAUCCAAGAGGCUGAGCUUUGGCUCGCGGGCCAGCUCCCGUGAACGUCACCUCCCAUGGCCCUUGGUGCCUUGUUCUCGCAUGAGCUAAUCGCGAACGGUCAAGCCAAGGCGCGUGACCCGGUGCCUCGCCACCACGAGAGUCGCGCGCCGGUUGUGUUUCUUUAGGAUUUUUCGCAUGAGAAGACUAGGCACGACUUCUAUGCUCGGGUCCGUCCCUGCAGCGUCGAUAAACCCAACGACUGAGCUCUGUCUAGCGGACCAGCCCCGUUCACGUCACCUCCUGGGGUCGAUGGUGUUUGGCCUUCUCAUGUUAUCACCUCAGGAGAUUCUUCCAGCGCAGGUUGCCUAACCAUCUCGCAGGGCCUCCGCAACCAUCAAGAAUCAAGACCAGGCGCAACCCGCCUUGAGGUAGGGCCUCGUGAGUCCCGCGCUGGCUCACGAGUGCCCAGACACACCUCGUCUAGCCCUGCCGUGCAAGCCACGUGUCAGGGCGGGGCUGUACAUGUUCCGGGGGCUCCACACAGAUGGAGCCCUCGCCCACGCACUAGUGGAAGCACCAUGCUCAGUGCUGGCAGUCGACAUUGUCGAGGAGUGGCUAUGCUCGUGCAAGUGCGGAAGCGCUAUGCUUCGUGCUGGUGAUAAACAACUGAUGGCGGCCCCAUGGCCGCAUCAACCUCAGGGAGCCACCCGACUCAGUGUCUAGCCUCGUCGCAACACUUCCCCCUCGGGAGAGUCGCAUGAGGGGCUGGGCACGGGGGCUGCACUCAAGUCACACCUAGUGCACGCCACCCUGCCAGGUCCCUUAGAUCUGGUCGUCACGCGUCCCUCCCGAGCGGGACCUCGGCGAGGAAAGGUAUGGAGUUCUAUUUGCACGUCAAGAGGGACUCCUGAGCAUCGUGACUCAGGAGCCUAACUAGCCACGUAGCCCCUCACCCCUUGGUCCCGUCAUGGUGAUCCGGAGGGCCCAAUGGCGGCUGAGGUAAGCACGGGGUUGGGCCCUGUCGACGUAGAACGCUAAGGCCUACUUUCGCAUCUCCUUCCCGCAGGUCGUUUGCGCGUCAAGGGGGACUCCUGAGCAUCACGACUCAGGAGCUUAACUGGCCAUGUAGCCCCUCACCCCUUGGUCCCGUCCUGGUGAUCCGGACGGCCCAACGGCGGCUGAGGUAUGCGCGGGGUCGGGCCCUCCCGACUUAGAACAUCAAGCAAACAGGAAGGAAAUCACGGAAUCUUAAGAAAAUAUUACAAAACAUAUUUUUCCUUAAACACCAAACAGAAGUUUUGACGCCUCCAUGAGGCAUGUUGCAAGUCGCAGGAAAGUAAAAACAGGAAGGAGCACCACCAUCCACCAGUAAGCCUCCUCUUCAGCCUUGGGCGCUAUCGUUAGGAAGCGCCUCCCCUUCGGCAGCAUCACCGUCGCCCGUGUCGUCGCCCGUGGUCGCGGGAUCGGCGGCACCACCAGCCGGAGGCGCAGGGUUGAUGGCAAGGAAAUUCUUGAACAAGGCCUCCACCUGACCCUUCACGGCUACGAUGACAGCUGCACAACACUCUUCAUCCAUGGGCUUGACUAGGACACCAAGGUCGACAUCAGGGUCGCGGAGAUGAAGGUGGCCGAAGACCCGCGUCAGGGCUGAUAAGGAGAGUGUGCGGGCUUCCCCCUCCACCAUAGGGCUGAUCCCAUUGACGAUGUCCUCGAGCGCCAUGACAAGAUGAGGGAGCAUCUGGACGGGGCCCUCGUCAUCAGUCGCCAACGGCUUCUCCCAGACAUUCUCGUAGAACUCCCGCAGCGCUUCACGGGACCUCUCCUCAAGAGAUUUGAAGGCCGCACGAUCCUCGGCAAGAACCUUUGCCUUGGCCUCUAGCAGGACCUUCUCUGCCUCCACCUUCAUCUCCAGCUUCUCUAGGCGGUCGUGUUCCACAGCCUGCGCCAGCCGCUCCAACUCAGCAUCAUGGCCGGUGACCGCUUCUUCUCGGGCCUUCAGCUUCUCCUCCCAUGCCUCGUGCUGGCGGGCCGCGGCAGUGCAUGCCUUGUGCAGGUUCUCCAGCUCGACCUCCACCACCUGGCAUCGCUCCUUGGCAGCCUCGGCAUCCUUCAACGCCACGUCGUGGGCGGCCACAGCCAGGUCGGCGGCCCGCUUACCCUCCUUGGAAGCUGCCACGGCCUGGCCCCAGGCCGCCCUCAUGGACGCGUUGGAUCGCAGCCACCCCGUGACCAACUCCAGGCGCCCUGACGCCACACGACGGUCGGUGCCCUGAUGGUCGUUCCGAAGCUGGGUCAGCGCGGAAAGAGCCUCCUCCAGAGCGUCAAGCAAAGCAGAAGGAUCACGGCCCUGCGGUGCGAUGGGAUGAGGAGGAGACAGCAUCGUCCCUAGGGCUUGCGAGUUGGUGGCAACAGAAGGAGCUGGGGGCUCCUGGGCCCUUGGGACUUCGGCAGCCGAGACGGAAACUGGCUCCCCCGGAGCCGACUUGGCUGUGGAGGUCGCCUUCUCCCAAGAUCGGUCCUUCGGGCCUCGCGAGGAUGACCGGGCCAGAGAGGCGCGAGCGCCAUUGCCGCUCUUCCGUGCCAGGGGAGGUGCGGUCAUGGCAGGCUGUUGAGUCCCAGAGGGCGCGGACACUCCCUCUCUCUUCUUCUUCGUCGCCAGCGUUGGCCUAGUGGUGCAAAGGAAAACCGUCAAGAUGCAACGGCAGAAGCAGGAACAAAAUCAGGACAAAGCACUUACUGGUCCAUGGUGGUGUAAUCUCUCGGCCUCUUCUGAAGCACGAAGCCCGAAGGCUGCGCAUCCUGAGGCGCUGGCGUGUGGGUCCCGGGAGCGGAUGAGGGAGCAGCAGCUGGGCGUGCGGCUCCAGUCGACGUCAAAGUAGGGGCACCGCCUCGGGAGAUCAACUCCGACCUACCCCACAUUGGGACCCCAAUCGGUGGCUUCUUUGGGGGAGUGACCUUGGACCUCGUAGUGUCCCUAGCGCCGGGUAGGGACUCCCUCACCGGAUGGUCAUUGGCAUUGUCGUCGUCGGGGAAGGUGCGGAGGAGAUCGGUCAUGCGCGGAGGGGAAGUCUCCCCUGCCCCCUCCCGGGUCGCCUCCGAGUUGGGCCUCUUCUCCUUGCUGGACUCGCCUGAGGACACCAUCAUUAGGGCCGUCACCACCGGGGCCUCGGAAGGCGCUAGCGGCACGAGCCCGCGCCAUCGAAGACACGCAUGGCGGCGGCCACCUCCACCCCAUCUAGGCGGCGGUAUAGGAGAAUAUGGGUGUCCGUCGGAUACCCCUGGUCGUCCCCGAGCAGGAGGUGGAGGGCCUUGCCCAGGUCCUCGUCCAACAAUACAUCUGGGCGCGGACGGAGGUCGUCCCCCACGUCCCCGAGGUUCCACAAGGAGCGCGAGCGCGCCUGGAGUGGGGCUAUGUGCUGCCUCAAAAAUUCCUUGACGAUCAUGGCCCCCAUGAGCUUCCCUGCCUUCAAGUCAUUGGGCUUCAGGUCGGCAGUCAUCUUCUCCAGCACCUGCUUCUCCCAGGGGUCGGUGAGCUUCGCACGGAGCCACCUGUCAUGAGGCGAGGGCAUCUUCGUCGGUAGCACGAACCGAGGAUGGGAGCAUUUGGCGUCCAUGAGGACCCACUUGCUCCUGAAGCUCUCGACUUCUUACCGGCCUUCGAGAUUGCAUGGGUCCCAUUGGCCGCGACAAAGUUGGCACACCCUGAGCAAUGCCCCUCCUUGUUCUAGAGGUAGAAGAAGUGGUGAAGCAGCGCCAUGGACGGCAUCACCCCCACAAAUGCCUCGCAAUAAAAGGCGAAGAUCUAUAGGAGGAGGACGGAGUUGGGAUGAAGAUGAAGGGCAUGCAGUUUAUAGUGGCUGAGGAUGGUGUAGAAGAAGUCGGAGAAGGGGGGACCAGCCCUGCGACGAUGCUAUUCACGAAUAAGGGAUAGAAGGUAUUGCCUGAGGCCUCCAGCUCGGCGGAGCCAGCCCAGAGCGUGGUCUUUCCCCCUCAUUGCCGCCGUCCGCCAUCAUUAGGAGCAUGGUGGCGAGAUUCUUCUUCGAAACAUUAGGCGCACUCAAGGCCGGCUCAUACCAGGAGGGCAAGUGCGCGGCCUUAGCCUCGUCGGACGCCAUUGGCUGCAGGCUCAGAGAGGAGUGUGCGUGGAUCUAGAGUCUCCCGGGCAUGAAGGAGAAAGGGGAUCUGGAGAAAGACGAAGGAAAGUAAUGAAGGCUCUGCGGCGCGCGCCAACCUUUUUUCAGAUGAGGACAUUUGCCGAGGCAGCAUGGGGAAGAGAAGGUGCCCACGUCCCGUCAAUCGCCAUGCGACAACCAAGGCCGCAGGCGGUUGGGGCCCAUGGCGCUCCGCACUUCCCCUUUGGCUUCACCUCGAAGCCAAGUUCGAGCGCGCCUUGGGUCCGGGGGCUACUGUCGGCGUCCUUAGAACGGGGGUACCCAGACUUGCCUGCCUACGCCCAUGGCGUGGAUCCGCCAGCGGCCUGGUACGACCCGUCAUCUGUAGCAACAACUCAAGACCCUCACAAGGGGCCAAGCCUCACGAGGCGGACGACGCCAAGACCUCCCUGGGGGCAUGUAACACCCCGGAUAUGACUUACCCAAUAUGUAUUCCAACUCUUGCCGUUUCUGGCGUUAAGUUAUUUUAUUUUCUUGGGUUCGGGUUUUUGUCUCCGUGUGUUGUUAUCAUUGUCAUGCAUCUCAUAUCAUGUCAUCAUGUGCAUCACAUUUGCAUAUGUGUUCAUCUCUUGCAUUCGAGCAUUUUCCCCGUUGUCCGUUUUGCAUUCCGGCGCUUCGCUCUCCUCCGGUGGUCAUUUCUACCUUUCUUUUGAGUGUGAGGAUUAAACAUUUCCGGAUUGGACCGAGACUUGCCAAGCGGCCUUGGUUUACUACCGGUAGACCGCCUGUCAAGUUUCGUAUCAUUUGGACUUCGUUUGAUACUCCAACGGUUAACCGAGGGACCGAAAAGGCCUCGUGUGUGUUGCAGCCCAACACCCCUCGAAGUUGGCCCAAAACCCACCAAAACCUUCUCCAUCAUCUAGAGCGUUCGAUCACGAUCGCGUGGCCGAAAACCGCACCUCAUUUGAACACUCAUAGCUCCCUCUAUGCCUAUAUAUACACCACCCUCCCGAAAUUCGCGAAUCCCCUUUGUCCAAACCCUAGAUCCACCCUCUCCUAGCGUGUCGUACAAAAAUACAGCCGCCGGACACGUCCGCUUUCUCCGCCGCCGCCAACCGGGAGCCGAGACGUGGCAACCGGCGCCCGCCGCCGCCGCGGCCCGCGGAAGCCCGCNNNNNNNNNNNNNNNNNNNNNNNNNNNNNNNNNNNNNNNNNNNNNNNNNNNNNNNNNNNNNNNNNNNNNNNNNNNNNNNNNNNNNNNNNNNNNNNNNNNNNNNNNNNNNNNNNNNNNNNNNNNNNNNNNNNNNNNNNNNNNNNNNNNNNNNNNNNNNNNNNNNNNNNNNNNNNNNNNNNNNNNNNNNNNNNNNNNNNNNNNNNNNNNNNNNNNNNNNNNNNNNNNNNNNNNNNNNNNNNNNNNNNNNNNNNNNNNNNNNNNNNNNNNNNNNNNNNNNNNNNNNNNNNNNNNNNNNNNNNNNNNNCCUCCGCCCGCGCGCCGCCCUUCUUCCCCCACGCAGGCGCCGAACUCCACCGCCACCGGCUGCUCCGCCGCGCGCCGCCCGAGUGCCGUCGCACCUUCCUCGCCGGAGCAGCGCGCCGCCCGCGCCCGGCCACCUCCACCGCGCUCCCCUCGUCGCCCCCCGCCGCCCGGCCAGAUCCGGCGUCCCCUCGGCAAGUCUGGCGCCGUCCUCGCAACUCCGGAGAACAUCGGCAACUCCGGCAAACAGGGCUCCCGGUGAACCUCGAACCACGUGCAAACCCGAUCCAGAUCUGAGAUUCGGUUGACUUUUUGCCCGAAACCCUAGCUCAUAUGCUCCUGUUCAUCGCAUCGUAACUUUGCAUCCGUAACUCCGUUUUGGGCAUAUAGCAUAUCGAAAUGUUCAUCUCAGAGAGUACAUCAUUUAAUUCCUUUGCAUCAUUUUAAUUUGAGUUCAUCUUGAUGCCCGAAAUGCUGUUAGAAGAGGGCUACUUGAGAUAAUUGUCAGAUCUGCUGCUCCAUUUAGCUUUUUGUCAUUUUUGCCAUGAUUAUUGUGUGCAUGAUAUGCCCAUGAGUACUACAUAUGUUUUGAUAAGGGUUUUGUCUUCUUUCCAGAGGUGCAACCCAUGUAUUUUUGUGAUGUGUGUGGUGACUAGCACAAGCUUGCAAAGUGGUGCACUUGGUAAUUCUGAUUUCAGGGACUUAGCAUUUCCACCAAGUCCUUGAGCUGUUUAUCUCAUAUGGCCAUAUGUUCAUGUUGUUUCCUAGCGAUCCGUGCCUCUUUUGAGGAUGAUCAGUAAUGAUGUUUUGUUAAUCUUGUAUUGCUCUAUCCAUCCAUGUCCUUGUUUGCAAUUUUGGAGCACCCUAGAUUGAGUCAAUCGAGCUCUACUUUUGCUACUUUGUGAAUCUGGGCAGAUUGUCAACUUGUUUGCAAUUUUGCCGAUGAUGUUGUAGUUGAUCCGUGCAUGCUAUGCUAUUGUUCUUGCCAUGUCUAGCUUGCAUUUUGUGUAUUCUUAAUAGGUGUAUGCUUAUCUUGUCAUGACUUGCUCUGUAGUGAGUGCAUCAAGCUCGUAAACAUGCCUACUUGAGUUAUGUUUCAGCAUGUGCCAGUUUUCACCAAGUCUGAAAACUGAUUAUGUUUUUGCUAUGUUCACAUGCUUGCAAUUGUAUUUUCUGAUCCCUUUUGGCUCAAGGUCACUAAGGGACUUUUGUUAAGCUCUUUGAAUAGCUCCAUGCCAUGGUUUACUUUGCCAUGUUCAGGUCCUGUAGCAUGUAGUUUUGUUGCUCCGAAGAGUGCUAUCUGAUCUGAAAUUCCAGACAAGUGUUGAUUUCACUAAGUCUGAAAUCUGUUUGCCAUAUGCAUUUUGCCAUGCUUGUUUGAACCUGUUAAUGGAUGAAUUGGCCGUAGCUCUGUGCUAGAAUUUUGUUAAGCAUCAUGAAUACAUCCCUGCCAUGUAUUUUGUUGUCAUGUUUGGGUGCUGUAGCAUGUUCAUCCCGUUGCAUUUAGAUGGCUACUUGCUAUAAAUCGCAGACCGGUGUCAUAUUUGAAUCGCUUGCCAUUUCCUAACCGUAACUCCGAUUCCGGCGUUCUUUAUAUCGUUUUCAAGCAAUCUCAUCUCAUCUUUCCAGUGGUACACUUGGAUUCCCAAGUUGAGGCCAGGUUCAUGCAUCCCUUGUCAAAUCUUGCAUAUGCAUCCCGCAUCGCAUCCCGCAUCGCAUCCCGCAUAGCAUAUCAUCUUUGCAUCAUCUUGUUUGGUCCUUGCACGUGGUUGAUUGUGUCCUUGUUGCUUGUUUGUCUUGUUUGGGUAGAGCCGGGAGACGAGUUCGCUAACGAUGAGCCUGUUGAGUUUGCUUUCGAGGAUCCAGUCAACUCUGACAACUGUGCAGGCAAGAUGAUCAUACCCUCGAAAUCACUACUAUCUUUGCUAUGCUAGUUUGUUCGCUCUUUUGAUAUGCAAAUGCUACGAUGCCUAACACUUGCUUUCAAGCCUCCCAAAUUGCCAUGUCAAACCUCUAACCCACCAUGUCCUAGCAAACCGUUGAUUGGCUAUGUUACCGCUUUGCUCAGCCCCUCUUAUACUGUUGCUAGUUGUAGGUGAAGAUUGGAGGUCGUUCCUUGUUGGAACAUUUAUUCACUUGCUGGGAUAUCAUUAUAUUAUCUUGUUAUCUUAAUGCAUCUAUAUACUUGGUGAACGGUGGAAGGCUCGGCCUCUCGUCUAGUGUUUUGUUCCACUCUUGCCGCCCUAGUUUCCGUCAUAUCGGUGUUAUGUUCCCGGAUUUUGCGUUCCUUACGCGGUUGGGUUAUAAUGGGAACCCAUUGAUAGUUCGUCUUGAGUAAAGCUUUUCCAGCAAUGCCCAACCUUGGUUUUACCAUUUACCACCUAGCCUCUUUUUCCCCUGGGUUUCCGGAGCCCGAGGGUCAUCUUAUUUUAGCCCCCCCCUCGGGCCAGUGCUCCUCUGAGUGUUGGUCCCACCGAGCGAUGUCCGGGGCUACCAGGGGCAACUCUGGGCUGGCCUACCCGACGUCUGGCUCAUCUGAGUGUGCCCUGAGAAAGAGAUAUGUGCAUCUCCUAUUGGGAUUUGUCAGCACAUUCGGGUGGUGUUGCUGGUCUUGCUUUAACCUGUCGAAGUGUCUUGAAGAACCGAGGUACCGAGUCUGAUCGGAACGUCUUGGGAGGAGGUCUAUUGCUUCGUUGACCGUGAGAGCUUGUCAUGGGCUAAGUUGGGACUCCCCUGCAGGGAUUUGAACUUUCGAAAGCCGUGCCCGCGGUUAUGGGCAGAUGGGAAUUUGUUAACGUCCGGUUGUAGAUAACUUGAACCUUAACUUAACUAAAAUGAAUCAACUGAGUGUGUUACCGUGAUGGCCUCUUCUCGGCGGAGUCCGGGAAGUGGACACGGUGUUGGAGUAAUGUUUGCGCAGAUUGUUCUCUAGUUUCUCACUCGCGCUUUGCCUCCUCUUCUCGCUCUCUUUUGCGAAUAAGUUAGCCACCAUAUUUUUGCUAGUCGCUUGCUGCAGCUCCACAUAUUUUACCUUGCCUUACCUAUAAGCUUAAAUAGUCUUGAUCACGAGGAUGCGAGAUUGCCGAGUCCCUGUGGCUCACAGAUUACUAUUACACCAGAUGCAGGGCCUGAUGAUUCCACUCCAGGUGACGCGCUCGAGCUCAAGUGGGAGUUCGACGAAGACUCUCAACGUUACUAUGUUUCCUUUCCUGAUGAUCAGUAGUGGUGCCCAGUUGGGGGUGAUCGGGACCGUGUCGCUUGUUGGGUUAUCUUUUAUUUUGGCGCCGUAGUCGGGCCAUGAGUGUUUGGAUGAUGUAAUGUUAUUUAUGUACUUGAUUGACGUGGUGAGUGUAAGCCAACUAUGUUAUCUCCCCUUUUAUUACAUAUAUAUUACAUGGGAUGUUGUGAAGAUUACCUAACUUGCGACAUAUGCCUUCAAUGCGAUUAUGCCUCUAAGUCGUGCCUCGACACGUGGGAGAUAUAGUCGCAUCGAGGGUGUUACAGGGCAGCCUCACUAGGCUGGCUCCCGAGGAGCAGAAAUAUCAAUGCAAGGGCCACCUCGUGAGUUUGACGUGACAUGAGCCAUGACGACCAAGUCCAGGCGGGCGCCAGUGUACCAGUUUCCUCUUUGGUGCUAAAGAGGCAGGCAUGGGCGAGGAGUCCUGAGGCUUCAGGCAAAGGUUUCCAUAUCGGUGCAACAAGACCAAGGCCAGCAGGACAGCAGGACGGAGGUCACCGCGGAGCCCACAUCAGCGAGCCUUUGGCAGGCGAAGACCACCUUUUAUGAGGAUAGCUUAUAGUAGUUGUCCCCCUUCAAACUUGGCCGUUGUAGGAUCCCUUCCCGCCUAACAUUUGGGAAGAGGACCAGGGCCUCUAUAAAUAGGGCUAGCCACCACCAUAGCAAGGGACGGAUCAUUCGAAUCAUCCUCACACACAUCAGCUCAUCGAGCUCAAGAACACCUAUCCUUAGGAGGCAGUACAUCCAUUGUACUAGUUCAUUCCUAUCCCUCUAGGCAAUCCACCACCACCACACUAGAGUAGGGUAUUACACCACAACAGUGGCCCGAACCAGUAUAAACCUCUGUGUCUCGUGUUCCUUGGGUCCAUCGAGCUAGGCCGUGGGAUCGUCAAGUGAGCGAACUAGCGACGAAGAGUACUUCCUGCGCACCCUAGUAUUUGAACCUUAAGGGUUAGCCGGAACCCAGAUUCUGACAAUGAUCUUUUCACACUGGGAGGGGGAAAAGGGAAGAACAACAAGAGAAAUCACCCAAAUCACACACCCACUAAAAUAGCAUACAUGAGAUCCACAAGAAUAACAUGAACAAUCAAGGGAAAAUAGCACAAGGUAAAGGUUCUUCUCAAAUCCAAAGGAGAUGAGGUCUUGAUGAUAGUCUUCUCCAAGAGGAGGUCUGAAAUCCACUUGGGGGAUCUUCUCCUAAGAGGUCUUCAUCUCGAAGAGGGGUGGUAGAUGAGCAAAGCACUAUCUAGAUCAUAUCAUAGACUUUGCUAACCUUAAAAACUAAGAGGUGCACGAAAUAUGCAAUCUAGGGGAGAAAGGGUAUGGGCCUCAGUGGUUAUGUGGGCUUUUUACCCAAUCCAUAGCGAAACUGGGAGGACCGGACAGUCCGGUGUGCCGACCAGAUAGUCCGAUGAGGUCAGGAAUAGCUGGGCACUCAUGUAGGUGCGACCAAAUAGACUGGUGGUAUGGACCGGACAGUCCAGUGAGUCAAAAUGCAUUUUGGCGCUUGUGUGUGUGCGACCGUACUGUCUCAAGUAGGGACCGGACUCUCCCGUAGUGCAAUUUCUCCACGCUUCCUUUUCUUCAUCUGGACACUUCUGGUCAGCUCUUGAGUCUUGGGCCUCCUUCCAUGAUUUCUCUAGGUCCACACCUUCAUACCUAACCAUGCAUAGGAUUCCGGAUUGACGUAGAACCCAUUUCUCAUUGGAUGGAACGAUAAGCUUGAGUAGGAGUGAAAGCACCUCAUUUGCAAUGGAACGUGCUCGCACUCUUGUCAUCGGUCUGCUAAGCGCUUGUGGAGGUGGAGUAGAAUCCCUAGGGAUGACUGAAAUAUUCUCCGCGUCACAUAUUUAAUAAAUGAAUUAGGUUAUGAAUAACCUGGGCUUGGAUUGGGCUGGAGGAAACAUCUCAAUAAUGGCAUGAACUUUGUAGUGUUAAUUUAAUUAAUUUGUGAGAGGACAAAAUUAGCUUUAUACACACAAAUAUUAAACCUAGAGCCUCCAACAGCCAUAUUGCAUAUAGAGAUAGCAUCAUCGUUUUUAUUCGUUGGUGUGAAAUCGCCAGCAUAUUCCAUGUGCUGACCUACACGGAUGCAAUUCCUCAUGUUGGUGUGUUUUCUGACGAGGAGUAAGGUGCGAUAGGUCAUUUUCCGCACUCAACAUUUGCCGUGGAUUUGAUAGACUCAUUUACCUUCGAUGCUUCCACGAUUAUUUUAUUUAGAUGGAUUUCAGUAUAUCAUUAUAUUAAAUACUCUUUUAAGUACCUUGAUGUCUACUACACAACUUAUUCUUGUACACUCUUGUUGUGCCUCCAAGCACAGAGUUUUGUAGGACAGAGGCAAAUUUCCCUCAAGUGGAUGACCUAAGGUUUAUCAACAGUGGGAGGCAUAGGAGAAAUAUAGUCUCUCUCAAACAACCCAACAAUCAAAUACAAGAAAUCGCUUGUGUCCUCAACACACUCAAUACAAUGGAAAAUUGGAUAGGUGCACUAGUUCGUCGAACAGAUGGUGAUACAACUAUAGUAUGGAUAGUAGAUAUAGGUUUUUGUAAUAUGAAAAUGUAAAACAUCAAGGUAGCAAGUGAUAAAAUGGAGCACAAAUGGUAUUGCAAUGCUUGAAAACAAGGCCUAGGGUUCAUACUUUAGUGCAAUCUCUCAACAGUGCUAACAUAAUUGAAUCAUAGAACAAUCCAUCAACGUGCGAUAAAGAGUCACUCCAAAGUUCUUAUCUAGUGGAGAACAAAGAAAAAAACUAUUGUAGGGUUUGAAACCACCUCAAAGUUAUUUUUUCUGAUCAAUCUAUUGAGCCAUCCCUAUAUGUGUUACAAACAACCCUAGAGUUCAUACUAAAAAAACACUACAUGAUACACAUCAACCAACUCUAAUAUCACCUAGGUACUCCAAUGUCACCACAAAGUAUCCGUGAGUUGAUUACAUGAUAUGCAUCAAACAAUUUUAGAUUUAUAAUUUCAGUCCAACACAAAGAACUUCAAAGAGUGCCAAAAGAUUUCUACCGGAGAAAGUAGGAUGAAAACAUGCAUCAACCCCUAUGCAUAGAUUACCCCAAUGUCACCUUGGGAAUCUAUGAGUUGAGUGCCAAAACAUACAUUAAGUGAAUCAGUAUAGUACCCCAUUGUCACCACGAGUAUUCAUAUGCAAGACAUACAUCAAGUGUUCUCAAAUCCAUAAAAUUAUUCAAUCCAAUAAUAGUGAAACUUCAAGGGUAAAACUCAAUUCAUCACAACAUGAUAGAGAGGGAGAAACACCAUAUGAUCCAACUAUAUUAACAAAGCUUGCAGUACAUCAAGAUUGUGCCAAAUCAAUAACAUGAGAGAGAGAGAGAGAGAGAUCAAACACAUAGCUACUAGCACAUACCUUAACCCCGUGGGUGAACUACUCCAUCCUCGUCAUGGAGACUGUCAGGAUGAUGAAGAUGGCCUCCGGUGAUGAUUUCCCCCCUCUAGCAGGGUGCCGGAGCAGUGCCCCGAUUGAGUUUUUGUGGAUACAGAGGCUUGUGGCGGCGGAACUUCUCAUCUAGGGUUCUUUCUUGGGGGUUUGGGUAUUUAUAGCAAUUUUUCGUGUUGGUUUCACAUCAAGGGGGCCCAUGAGGGAGCAACAAGCCUGCUAGGAGUGUGGGCGGGGGGGCCAGGGCGCGCCCCUCAGGAUUGUCGCUUCCUCGUGAAGCUUCUGGUCCUUCCUAAAAGCUUCACGGGUCUCUUUUGGUGCAUAAAAAUCACUGUAAAUUUUCAGGCCAUUCUAAGAGCUUUUAUUUCUGCACAAAAAACAAGACCAAUGGUAGUUCUGCUGAAAACAGCAUCAAUCCAUGUUAGUUCUAAUCAAAUCAUACCAAAACCAUAUAAAAUUGUUGUAAGCAUGGCAUGAAUACUUCAUAAAUUAUAGAUACAUUGGAGACGUAUCAGACCUCGAUGUAAUAAAGUGUGUGAUUGAACUUUGUUAUAUUUCAUCGAGUACUGUGUGUGCUAGCAAACUAAUCCAGGGAUAGAACUUCAGCACAGAGACACCGAUCCAUUUAGGUCACGUCGCUACAGUUGAGGACGACUUCAAUUAAAAAAGGAGAGGAUGAUGAGUACAUCACUACUACAGUUACACCCAUGACCCCUCCUGCUAUACAUUGGACCAAUUACUAGAGCUCACACACGUCAAUUAAAUAACCAAGUACUUUCGUUUCUUGAUAACGAUUCCGAUGUUCAUGAGGAUGUGAUGUUGCCUAAAUUGGAUACAUUUGUUUUGCUUACAAAUGAAGUGCCCAACAUGGACAAGAAGUGAUGAGGACAUUAAUACCAUAGUUACACUCACAGCCCCUGUUACUACACAUAUUGGACCAAUUAUUAGAGAUCUCGCACGCGAGUUAAAUUAUCAGGUACUUCCGUUUCUUGGGAUGUCAGGACCCCAAUUCCAAAUCACAUCGGUCUAGCCGGUAACACCUCAUAUCACUUUGCGGCCUCAUGCACGGUAUUCCCACGGGUGUCGCCUUACCAUGGACCGAGACCGUUUGCGCCUUUUGGCUCACGUAUAUGAUAGUAUCGCUAGCAUCCAUAUGACAGAGAACCCGGGCCGACAUGACUAGUCGUGAACCCAAAGUGGCACUAACUUAUGGGGACAACCAUACAUGAAUCAACAUCGAGCAUGUCGGUCAGCAGGGUGUGAAUCUGGGUUGUAGCACUGGGCUAACAGGACUCCGGGAACCCAGGCUGUAGCAGGCUAGGAAGGACUCCGGAUGUCACCGCCUGACAUUUCCCCGAAGGGACAGACUGAUAGAGGCAAAGGUGUCCCGUCUUUCGAUGAGAUGAUGGAUAUCACUUGGGUGGAAGUCGACUUUGACGAUCCGACUACGAACGUGCGAGGACGUCGCGCCUUAGCAAUCGCUAAACCAACUCCGAGAGAUUAUUGACCACGCCGGAGCACAAUCAACCUGACCACGAGGGUCUGUUUCCUGCGAGCAAACGAAGAACAAGCAAGAAACUAAGAUUGCAAUCUGGAUAUUGCGAAUAUAAGAUGAAAGCUUUAUUGAUCAAGGUGGGAUUCUGUGACGCCUUUGUCUGGUCGUUGAACACAAAUGAAGUACGCGAAGUUGCAGCUAUGGCGAACUUUGAAUCUAAACAAAACCCAAAGUCUAAAGGGUGCCCUAAGGGCUGUAUAUAUGGAGGAAGAGAGGGGGAAUUUCGUGGCCCUUGGUGGAGGGGUCCGAAAUCAACCCUAUCUCUUGUUUCCACACACAUACGGACUCUAAAAAUAGCCUAUACUUAUGUAUUUCGAAAUUACAUGGGCCUGGCCCAAUAAAAAGGUGACGCAGCACCUAUAAUAGCCUCUGGACGAAAUUUAUGAAGUGACAUCUUGUAUAUUUCGUCCAAGGCUUCAUGCACUCGUUAUGGAGGCUUCAAAGACCUGAAAUCAUCACUUGUAACUCUGUUCUUGUUCCCCUUGCGCAUGCCAUCAUCUCCAUGCUUGUUCUUGCUCCAAUGUUCAUCCUUCUCCAAGCUAGGCCCUUCAUUUGUAAGCAAAACAAAUGUAUCCAAUUUAGGCAGCAUCAUAUUCUCAUGAACAUUAGAAUCAUUACCAAGAAACGAAAGUACCUGGUAAUUUAGUUGGCAUGCGCGAGCUCUAGUAAUUGGUCCAGUAUGUAUAGCAGCAGGGGCUAUGGGUGUAACAAUGGUAUUGAUGUCCUCAUCAUCCUCCCCUUCUUGAAAUGAAGUCGUCCUCGACGGAAGCUCAUCUUCCUCACCCAAAUAAGGCUUCAAAUCUGCAAUGUUAAAAGUGGGACUAACCCCAAAAUCUGCAGGCAGCUCAAGUUUAUAUGCAUUAUCAUUUAUUUUCUCUAACACCUUAAAGGGACCAUCAGCCCGUGGCAUGAGCUUUGAUUUGCGCAAAUUAGGAAAUCUAUCCUUACGCAAAUGUAACCAAACAAGAUCUCCAGGUGCAAACACAACAUAUUUUCUACCCUUAUCUCCAGCAAGUUUAUAUUUGGCAUUCAUACGCUCAAUGUUUUCCUUAGUUAACUCAUGCAUUUUUAAAAUCAAUUCAGCACGUUGUUUAGCAUCAAAAUUAACCUUCUCUGAAGAUGGAAGAGGCAACAAAUCAAUAGGUGCAUGAGGUAGGAAACCAUACACAACUUCAAAAGGGCACAUCUUAGUAGUAGAAUGCAAUGAACGAUUAUAAGCAAAUUCAAUAUGAGGCAAGCAUUCCUCCCACAUUUUCUUAUUACUCUUCAAAACAGCCCUAAGCAUAGUAGACAAUGUUCUAUUGACUACUUCAGUUUGGCCAUCAGUUUGGGGGUGACAAGUAGAACUAAAAAGCAAUUUAGUCCCCAACUUAGCCCAUAAACAUCUCCAAAAGUGGCUAAGAAAUUUAGUAUCACGAUCUGAAACAAUAGUAUUUGGCACACCAUGCAAGCGAAUAAUUUCACGAAAGAACAAAUCAGCAACAUUAACAGCAUCAUCGCUUUUAUGACAUGGUAUAAAGUGUGCCAUUUUCGAGAAUCUAUCCACGACAACAAAUAUGCUAUCCCUCCCCUUCUUUGUUCGAGGUAAACCUAAAACAAAGUCCAUAGAUAUAUCCUCCCAAGGAACACUAGGUACAGGCAAAGGCAUAUAUAAACCAUGAGGAUUGAGUCGUGACUUAGCUUUUUGACAUGUAGUGCAGCGAGCAAUAAAACGCUCAACAUCACGUCUCAUCUUUGGCCAAAAGAAAUGUGUAGCAAGUACGUCCUCCGUCUUCUUCACGCCAAAGUGUCCCAUUAAUCCUCCUCCAUGCGCCUCCUGCAACAACAAAAGACGAACGGAGCUAGCCGGAAUGCAUAGCUUGUUAGCACGAAACACAAAUCCAUCGUUAACGACAAACUUGUUCCACAUUCUUCCUUCUUUACAAUUCUGCAUUACAUCUUUAAAAUCAGCAUCAUGCACAUAUUGAUCUUUGAUGGUCUCCAAACCAAAUAUUUUGAAGUCAAAUUGUGAAAGCAUAGUAUAGCGACGAGACAAUGCAUCAGCAAUAACAUUUUCUUUUCCCUUCUUGUGUUUAAUGACAUAAGGGAAAGUCUCAAUGAAUUUAACCCAUUUAGCAUGUCUACGAUUCAGUUUAGCUUGACUUUUAAUAUGUUUCAAAGAUUCAUGAUCAGAAUGUAUAACAAAUUCUUUGGGCCAUAAAUAAUGUUGCCAUGUUUCUAAAGUCCGAACAAGAGCAUAUAAUUCUUUAUCAUAAGUAGAAUAAUUCAGACUAGGCCCACUCAAUUUUUUAGAAAAGUAUGCAACAGGUUUGCCAUCUUGUAAUAACACACCUCCUAAUCCAAUUCCACUAGCAUCACAUUCAAGCUCAAAAGUCUUAUUAAAAUCAGGAAGUUGGAGUAAAGGAGCAUGUGCCAACUUAUCUUUCAAUACCGAGAAGGCUUCUUCCUGUGCGGUACCCCAAAGAAAAGGCACAUCUUUCUUUGUAAGCUCAUUGAGAGGUGCAGCAAUGGUGCUAAAAUCUCUCACAAAACGCCUAUAGAAUCCAGCGAGGCCAAGAAAACUCCUCACUUGUGUGACCGUUUUGGGCUGCCGCCAACUCUCAAUAGCUUCAAUCUUGGCUUUAUCAACUUCAAUUCCCUGUGGAGUAACAACAUAGCCAAGAAAAGAUACUCGGUCGGUGCAAAAGGUGCACUUCCCAAGGUUACCAAACAAACGUGCAUCACGUAGAGCAAUAAAAACAGCACGUAAAUGUUCCAAAUGUUCUUCCAAAGAUCUGCUAUAAAUCAGUAUAUCAUCAAAAUGGACUACCACAAAUCAUCCAAUGAAAGCACGUAAAACUUCGUUCAUUAGUCUCAUGAAAGUACUACGCGCAUUAGUUAACCCAAAAGGCAUGACUAACCACUCAUAUAAUCCAAACUUAGUUUUAAAUGCUGUUUUCCAUUCAUCCCCCAAUUUCAUACGAAUUUGAUGGUAUCCACUACGCAAAUCAACUUUGGAGAAUAUUGUAGAGCCACUCAAUUCAUCAAGCAUAUCAUCUAGCCUAGGAAUAGCAUGACGAUAACGAAUAGUAAUAUUAUUAAUGCCUCUACAAUCAACACACAUACGCGAUGUACCAUCCUUUUUCGGCACUAGAAUAAUAGGAACAACACAAGGACUAAGGGAUUCGCGUAUAUAACCUUUGUCGAGAAGCUCUUGUACUUCACGCAUAAUCUCCUUCGUCUCCUCUGGAUUGGUACGGUAUGGCGCACGGUUUGGCAGUGAAGCACCGAGAAUUAAGUCGAUCUGAUGCUCAAUCCCUCGAAUAGGUGGUAAUCCCGGUGGCACGUCUUGUGGAAAGACGUCAGCGAACUCCUGCAAAAUGUUAGUGAUAGCAGGAGGCAAAGAGGAAGGCACGUCCUCGAAUGAAAAUAAUGCCUCUUUGCACACAAAAGCAUAGCAAACAGAUUUGCUGAAAUCUAGCUCAUCAAUAUCAGAUUUGGUGGCAAAUAAACAUGCACUUUUCAAUUUAAUUUCAGAAGCAACACUAGAUGGUUUAUUAUUAGGCUUCAUUUGUUGCUCAAUUCUUUUGCCACAGUCUGAUUUUCACUCUUAUUCUUCUCUUGUUUUGCUUUAUUAGCUCUAUUAAUAUCAUCUUUCAAAAUAGAAUCAGGAGUCAUAGGAAGCAAAGUAAUAUUUUUAUCCUUAUGAACAAGAGUAUACUGAUUGUUUCUACCAUGGUGUAUAGAAUUUUUAUCAAAUUGGCAUGGUCUACCAAGUAAUAAGGAACAUGCUUGCAUAGGUACCACAUCACAAUCAACAUAAUCAGCAUAUGUAGAUAUACUAAAAUGCACACGAACAGUACGUGUUACCUUAACCUUGCCGCUGUUGUUGAACCAUUGGAUGUAGUAAGGAUGUGGAUGUGGUCUUGUGGUGAGAGAAAGCUUCUCCACCAUCUCCAUGCUAGCCAAGUUGUUGCAGCUCCCUCCAUCUAUGAUGACGCGCACAGAACGUUCUUUCACAACUCCCUUGGUAUGGAACAAAUUGUGCCUCUGAUUUUGCUCAGCUUGUGUGACCUGCACACUCAAAACACGUUGAGCAACUAAACAUUCAUACCUGUCAGCGUCUUCAGGAGCCAUGUAUUGCGUCUCAUGAUCAGAAUCAUCUCCACCAUGUUCUUCACGUGUAAUAAGAGCCAAAGUCUCCUCAUCAUAGUCAUUAGCGGACUCAUAUCCACCAUCCGCGGUAGCAAUCAUCACACGCGGAGAUUUGCAUUCUCUCGCAUAAUGACCUCCUCCCUUACAACAACGACACAUAAUAUCACUUGUGUGCCCUGUUGAUGCCAUGGAAGAAGAAGAACUCUGUGCAGGCCCAGCAGGUGCGCUCUUGGCAGAAAAUGGUGGUUGUGCCUGUUUUCUUGUAUCACGACUGGAGGAGGCACCUGAUUGAGGUGCUGGUGCAGUUGAAGUAGAAGAUGCACGCGGUGUCCAUGAUGAAGGUCGGCCUGCAGAAAAGUUAGUUCGCGCCAAUGCUUGUCGAUCCUGCACUUCACGUUCAGCUUUACAAGCAAGAUGGAAUAAACGAGUGAUAUUAGUAUACUCCUUAUAGUCUAGAAUGGUCUGAAUCUCUCUAUUUAAUCCACCCAGAAAACGUGCAAGCAUAGCUUCAUUCUCCUCAACAAUACCACAUCUAAUCAUGCCAGUUUGUAAUUCUUGAUAAUAUUCUUCUACAGAAUUUUUUCCUUGUCUUAAGCGCUGUAAUUUUUGAAGCAAUUCACGUUGAUAAUAUGGUGGAACCCAACGAGUACGCAUAGCAGUUUUCAAAGCAGCCCAAGUAGUUGGAAUAGGAUAUAAUCUACAAUGUUCAGACCACCAUACACAUGCAAAACUAGUGAAAGCACAAACAGCAGCAGCAACUCGUCUCUCCUCAGGAUAUUGUAAACAUGUAAAUCGUUGUUCAGUUUCUAACUCCCAAGUAAGAUAUAUAUCAGGAACAUAUCUACCCUCAAAUGGUGGAAUAUUCAAUUUCAGUUUAGGAAUAUGGACAUCAUCUCGUACCUGAGGUGGUGGUGCAGGCCUACCAUUACGAAUAUAUACCUGAGGUCGACCUACUGGUGGUGGUGCAGGUGGCUGUACGUAGUGCUGAUUUUGAUCAACCUCAUCCUCAUAAUCUCCCACAUAAUCAUCCUCCUCCGCAUCAGCAGCAGGAGCCACAGAAGUAUCAACAGCAGCACCAACAGUUUGGCCAAACGCAAGAGGAACACGGCUCGCUCGGCGAAGGUCUGUUUCGCGACGUGGAGGUAGCCGUUGUUGUUGUUGUUGGAGAGGUGCGUUAGGUGCAGCGGGUGGUGGUGGUGGAAGACGCGCGAGCAAUUCAUUAAACUUGUUAUCGAGCUUUGUUUCGAACGUCUUCUCCAUGCCAUCUAUCUUCUCCAUGGCCUCUUCAAAUCUGUUUAGCACAUCUUGCACCUGUCCACUCAUCAUUUGCUGAAAUUUAUCAUGCAAAUCCUUAUUCGUCAUGUUCUCCCAGUCAGUCUCGUCGGCUUGUGAUCCUGGCAUGGUUAGCAGCAAUAGAAACACACAAGAAUAUGAUCCUACAGACUACUAACAAGAGGUGGUGGUGGGUGUCACAAAUCCGUCAAGCAAAUCUCAAAUUCUUACCAGUUCUUACCCAGCAGCAGGCGGUGAUCGGCAACCGUUGUAGUCAAAAACUCUCAAAGCUUGGAUAGAGCGAUUACCAGGGAGAGUCAAAACGCACGACGUAGAUGUAUGUGGAGCUGGGAAGGCUUAUAAUAUGGUAGCAAAAAGGGUCAGCAAUAAUCAAUUCAGAGAUGCAAAGUUGAAUAAACGCUCAACGACGGUACUGUGCUGGUCCUAGGCUAGACUAUGCUAGAGACGCGAGCCUAGAACACCAACAAAAACACGGCGCGGCACGUAAACAAGGGGAAAAGCACACUCUGGUUUUUUUUCUCCUUUUUUUGCGCUGUUUUUUUCGCGCUGCUUUUUUUUCGAAAAAUCACUAUAAUGGCGAGUGUCUCAAAACUCUUCCUAUGUCAAACUGACAGGAUGGGCACGAAAUUUUUUCGACCAAUUUUUUUUUUUCGACUGCCUGGACCCAAAAACUGGAAACGGGUCAAAAAAAACUUCCUAUAAUGGCACCUGUCUCAAAACACUCAGAAACACCUAAAAAUAGGAUAGCCAAUUUUUUUUUCGAAAAAUGCGUUUUCGAAAAAUUUUGGGCCUAAACGGAGGGUGGUUUCCGGACUCUUUUUUUUUCGAAACCUACUCCGGCAAGGAAACACGAAUCGGAAUCUAGAUGGAUCUCGAAAACAAACCUAAUAUGACAAGAACUCGGAUUGGUGGUGGAUAUAUGGUGGUAGAUGGCAGCGGUGGUAGUAUAUGACAGCGGUGGUGGUAUAUGGAUACGGAUUCGAAGCGGUGGCGGAUAAGCGGUGGUGGUAGAUGGCAGGGGCGAUGAUGAUGGUGCGGCGGCGGCAUGACAACUUAUGACCAGAACUCGAAACUCUAAAAGACUAGACUCUAAGACCAGCAACUAGACACGACGAUGCAACCGCAAAUUCAACAAAGCAAAACCCUAAAAAGAUUAUGCAAAGGCUUAGAUUGGUUCGGAUAUGAUGAACUAACCCUAAUUUUUUUGUGGCUUUUUCAUGGACUGUAGGUAUGAAGAACAGACUCGAUCUAAACUACGGAAAACUGUAAAAUCUCACCGAGCAACCUGGAAAUCUGAUACCACUUGAUAGAGGCAAAGGUGUCCCGUCUUUCGAUGAGAUGAUGGAUAUUGCUUUGGUGGAAGUCGACUUUGACGAUCCGACUACGAACGUGCGAGGACGUCGCGCCUUAGCAAUCGCUAAACCAACUCCGAGAGGUUAUUGACCACGCCGGAGCAUGAUCAACCUGACCACGAGGGUCUGUUUCCUGCGAGCAAACGAAGAACAAGCAAGAAACUAAGAUUGCAAUCUGGAUAUUGCGAAUAUAAGAUGAAAGCUUUAUUGAUCAAGGUGGGGUUCUGUGACGCCUUUGUCUGGUCGUUGAACACAAACGAAGUACGCGAAGUUGCAGCUAUGGCGAACUUUUAAUCUAAACAAAACCCAAAGUCUAAACGGUGCCCUAAGGGCUGUAUAUAUGGAGGAAGGGAUGGGGAAUUUCGUGGCCCUUGGUGGAGGGGUCCGAAAUCAACCCUAUCUCUUGUUUCCCCACACAUACGGACUCUAAAAAUAGCCUAUACUUAUGUAUUUCGAAAUUACAUGGGCCUGGCCCAAUAAAAAGGUGAUGGAGCACCUAUAAUAGCCUCUGGACGACAUUUAUGAAGUGACAUCUUGUAUAUUUCGUCCAAGGCUUCAUGCACUCGUUAUGGAGGCUUCAAAGACCUGAAAUCAUCACUUGUAACUCUGUUCUUGUUCCCCUUGCGCAUGCCAUCAUCUCCAUGCUUGUUCUUGCUCCAAUGUUCAUCCUUCUCCAAGCUAGGCCCUUCAUUUGUAAGCAAAACAAAUGUAUCCAAUUUAGGCAGCAUCAUAUUCUCAUGAACAUUAGAAUCAUUACCAAGAAAUGAAAGUACCUGGUAAUUUAGUUGGCGUGCGCGAGCUCUAGUAAUUGGUCCAGUAUGUAUAGCAGCAGGGGUUGUGGGUGUAACAAUGGUAUUGAUGUCCUCAUCACAGACACAGGAAUGAAGUGAAUCACAUGCCGGCCAGUCAAGUGUUCCGGAGCAGUAGUGCUGGGCUAGCAGGACUCCGGUGAACCGGGCUGUAGCAGACUACUAUGGCUCAUGGAAGCACAAGACUACAUUUCCCCAUAAGAGAGGUCACCAAGGAUAAACAACUAGGUUGUCGGAUCCCACACAUACCAAGCAUUUCAAUCAUACACACAAUAUGCUCGAUAUGUGUAAAUACAACAUGGCAUCACAACAAGACUCUAUGACUCAAAGUAUUUAUUCAUUAGGCUCCGAGGAGCGAGAUAUUACAAACAUGGGUCUCAUGACCCAUCAUUCAGAGCAUACAAGUCAAAGCACAUGCGGAAGCUUAACAUGUCUGGGUACAGACAUCUACAAAUGAAAAAGGCUGAGAAGCCUGACUAUCUACCAGAUCCUGCCGAGGGCACAAGAUCAUAGUUGAGGUAUCAAGCUAAACAUCGAAGUCCACACGGAACUACUAGCGAGACUGACGUCUCUCUACAAAACAUAAAAUAGGCAAACGUGAGUACAAAUGUACCCAGCAAGACUUACAUCAGAACUAACUACAUAUGCAUCGGUAUCAACAAAGGGGGUGGUGGAGUUUAACUGCAGCAAGCCAGCUUUGACUCGGUGGCUAUCUUAAACUACGACUUCAUGUAACUCUUUUGAGGUGGCGCACACGAGUCCACAUAUUCACCAUAUCAAUACACCACUAUGGAUCCGCUCCCGUCUCCCUACGAGAAGGCCAUCCAUAGCACUCACGCUUAUCUUGCGAGUUUUAGAGUAUCCACAUUCACUUGUCUAUUAACUAUAUAGGUAACCAAGCAGUCCUUUACCGCGGACACGGCUAUUCGAAUAGAUGAUGUUAACCCUGCAGGGAUGUACUUCUUCACACACGCUCUCACCACUUACCGCCGUUUACACGACAUGUACUCUGCAACCUUCAAGCAGAAGCCCAACGAGGGUGUCGGCCAUGGCCUACCUAAACACUCAAGUCUCUAGUCCAGGUUUAUCGCCUAUCCAGGUACCAUCCGCAGGGAGUCCGGCCGAGGUUUCCACAUACGGCCCCGGACGAUGUGUACAGGGUUCCGAGACACCAAACGGGCGCCCGGCAUGCCCGGCCACGGUGUAUCUACUGCAUCAUAGCCCACCCCUAGGGUCAGCACUAUGCACAGCCGCCAACACAUAGCCUAUAAACACCAGAAACUAGUUGCAACUCCUGGACAGAGAACUAGGGUGGUUAAGAAGCCGAGAGGGUCCAUUGGUUUCGGGCCCAAUGGAUGGUAGUAGCUGGUUCUUAAAUCACAUAUACGGAUCUCGGUGCUUAAGGACGGUUCCAAUGGAACAACCCACCAUGUACUCCUACAUGGCCUCUCAUCGAUACCUUUACCAAAUCGUGUUCAACACACUUAGCUCACACACAGUAGGACAUGUUCACAACUUUCCAAUUCAUCCCCAAUGAAUCAGACCUGAGACAACUCUAAGCAAUAACAAGCAUGACAAAUAAGCAUGAAUGAGUAGGCACAUCUGGGCUGAAACAACUCCUACUCAUGCUAGUGGGUUUCAUCUAUUUACUGUGGCAAUGACAGGUCAUGCAGAGGAAAGGGGUUCAACUACCACAACAUGUAACCGUUGAAUCGUUGUUGUCCUAAUGCAGUAAAAGAGAGCAUGAGGGAGAGAGUGGGAUUGUAUCGGAAUGAACAAGGGGGUUUUGCUUGCCUGGCACUUCUGAAGAUAGUAAUAGCUCUUCAUCGGUGUCAUCGAACUCAUCGUCGGAACCAUGUUUACUGAGAGGGGACAAUAUCGGCAAACAAGGAAGAAACACAGUCAACGCAAUGCAACAAUAUGAUGCAUGCUCAUGACAUGGAAAUAUGCUGUUGGUUGAACUAAUGCAACUAGCAACCAUAUUAAAUGAAGUUGGUUUGAACCCUAGGUUCAAAUUCAAACCCCAUAUGUUAAAAUUCAAAUGACAUUCACUUAGUUUGUCCUAAAAAGUGAUGUUAACUUGCUCAAACAUGCAUGGAUAUGGCAUAAACAGAUUCUUCGUAUUUUUCUGAUCAUUUUUCAUAUAUAAAUUAUUUCAUUCUGAGCUACGGUUGAUUUUAUAUGAUUUUUAGAAGUUUUGGGUAUUUUCUGAAAAUAAUAAAUUAUUUUUGAUUUAUUUCAAAAUUUCAGAAAGUAAUUACUGCGUCAGCCUGAUGACGGGGUGAUGUCAGCAAGUCAAUAGGGCUGGUCCGGGUCAAACCUGACCAGUGGGGUCCACUGGUUAUUGACCCAGUGCAUCCUAGGGUCAAUGACAGGUGGGCCCGGUCAACAGACACGUUAGCACAGUCAACUCUGAUGCGUGGGUCCCGCUGGGUUAUAAACUAAACAAAACGGAAAAUAAGCCCGGUGUUAAUUAGGCGUGGGGCCCAGCUGUCUAUGUCACUGGAGGGUUUAAUUAGUGGGUCAUUAGCCACUAAUGAUGCCCACAUCACCUAAACGGCGAUUAGCUGCCGGUGCUAAGCAGGACGUGGCGGCGCUCCUCGUCCGGGCGACUCUGGUGACAAGAGCGUGUGUGGCUGGUCUCUACGGGUGCAGCGCGACGAGGCGCGUCGAGUGGAGGCAUCGAGGCGGCUGGAGGUGGAGCGAAGCGAUGGCAGCGGCGACAAGCGCGGCGGCCGGAGCUACGGGCGCGUUCGGGCGCGGGGCUGCAGUGCACGGGCGAGCAAACGGAGUGGCUAGGCGGCCCCCUGGAGGCGCUACGAGCACUAUGGUGCCACGAGGGCAAGUAGAGGAAGCUCGGGAGCGCAGGGCUCAACAGCCAUGGGGGCGGCAUGGUUCGGCCAAGGUCGGUAUCGCGGCUAGGGGCCAAACGCGUCGACGGGGAGAGCGACAAGAGGUGCAGGGGCUCACAGUGAUUCCGUAGGGUAGGUCAGUGGGCUCGGGGACGGAUUGGACGGGGCGGAUCGACGCCGGUCAUCUCCGGGAAGAGGCGGCGGGGACGAGCUCGAUGACGACGCUUCCGGGCGUCUGGGCUUGCUUCCUUCAUCGGGGAGACGUAGGAGACGAUGGUGUAGCUCCCGGAGACGGAGAGGGAUCAAGGGGUGUUCGGUGUCCAUAGCUAUGGCGUGCGGCGGCGACGGACCCGUUUGGGUGGGUGAGGGGAAGAGGUCCAGGGGAGAGGAGAGGCCACGGGUGAGGGAGAGAGAGGUCGGGGGGUGCGUGGCGUCGUCAAGACGUGUUGGGGCAGCGGCGGUAAGCAGGAGGUGGGCGGGCGCGUGACGGCGUGCGUCAGCCACGCGUGCUGCCUAUUGGCGUGGGGAGGAAGACGACAGGGAGCCGGGAAGGUGGGCUGGGCCAGCCACUUGGGCUCCAGGUAAGGCCCAGGUACUAUCUCUCUCUCUCUCUCUCUCUCUCUCUGUCUGUCUUACUCUUUUAUAAAUCUUCCUGUUUUCUAUUUUUUUGCAAUAUGUUUUGACUUAGUUUAAAUACCAAAUCACUUUAUAAAAUUCUGCAAACUUUUAUGGGCACUAUCUGAUUUAAACCAUAGGCCCUCACCAAGUUUCAGAAUAUUUGGAGCUACCAAAUAUUUUAUAGGAAUUAGUAGCUCCAAUUCAAAUACAUUAAGAGUUAAUUCAAAAAUCCAGGAAUGACCUAGAAAUAUGUUCAUCAUUUUUGGCAGAGGUUUUCGCCAUUAUCAGAAACCAUGAACAUUUUCAAAGGGAAUUUUGGGUUCAUUGAAAAUAUUUUUAAUUUGAUCCUAGUUGCAUUUCAUUUGGUGCUAGGGUUUGAACAUCCCCAUUUCAAGUUUAACUGAAAUUUAAACAUGAUGCAACACCAGAUGCUAGCACUAAGCAUUACCAGAACUAGGGAUGUGACAUGGGAAUAAUUCUAAUGUUCAUGAGAAUAUGAUGCUGCCUGAUACGUCUCCAAUGUAUCUAUAAUUUGUUAUUGUUCCAUGCUAUUAUAUUAUCUAUUUUGGAUGUUUCAUAUGCAUUAAUAUGCUAUUUUAUAUUAUUUUUGGGACUAACUUAUUAACCUAGUGCCUAGUACCAGUUGUUGCUUUUUCCUUGUUUUUGGCUUUUACAAAAAAUCAAUACCAAACAGAGUCCAAAUGGAAUAGAACUUGAAGAUGAUUUAUCUUAGACUAGAAGAAACCUAGGAAGCUUUGGGAGGAGGCAAGAAGACCUACGAGGAGGCCACAAGCCUAGGCUUGUGGGCCCUCGGAGACCUUCCAACCCUAACUCCACCACAAUAAAUUCCGAAAUAUUCCCCUUAUGUCAGAGGGCACACCAAAAAUACUUUUCCGCCGCCACAAGCUUCUGUUCUCAUGAGAUCACAUCGUGGGGCCUUUUCUGACACUCCGCUAGAGGGGCAUUUAAUCACGGAGGGCCUAUACACAAAUCUUGCUGCCCUUCUGAUAAAGUGUGAGUAGUUUACCAUAGACCUAAGGGUCCAUAGCUAGUAUCUAUAUGGCUUCUUCUCUGUCUUUGAUCUUCAAUACAAUGUUCUUCUCGAUGUUCUUGGAGAUCUAUUCGUUGUAAUCUUCUUUUGCGGUGCGUUUGUUGUGAUCCGAUGAAUUGUGAAUUUAUGAUUAGAUUAUCUAUGAAUAUUAUUUAAGUCUUCUCUGAACUCUUUUAUGCAUGAUUAAGAUAGCUUAUUAUUUCUCUCUGAUCUAUUGAUUUGGUUUGGCCUACAAGAUUUGUUUUUCUUGCAAUGGGAGAGGUCCUUUGUGAUGGGUUCAAUCUUGCGGUGUCCUCACCCAGUGAUAGUAGGGGUAGCGAGACACAUAUUGUAUUGUUGUCAUUAAGGAUAAAAAGAUGGGGUUUACAUCAUAUUCCUUGAGUUUAUUCCUCUAUGUCAUGUCAUCUUUCUAAAAGCGUUACUUUGUUCUUAUGAACUUAAUACUCUAGAUGCACGCAAGAGUCAGUCAAUGUGUGGAGUAAUAGUAGUAGAUGCAGAAUCAUUUUGGUCUACUUGUCACGGACAUGAUGCCUAUAUUCAUGAUCAUUGCCUUAGAUAUCGUCAUAAAUUUGCGCUUUCCUAUGAAUUGCUCAAUAAUAAUUUGUUUACCCACCGUCUGCUUUAUUCAAGAGAGAAGCCUCUAGUGAAGCCUAUUUUGCAUCAUAUACUUUCAGAUCUAUAAAAACAAAAACCCAAAAAUACCUUGCCGCAAUUUAUUUAUAUUUACUUUAUCUUACGUUUUACUUAUCUUUUAUAUCUAUUUCUAUUAGGUCUCACUCUUGCAAGUGACCGUGAAGGGAUUGACAACCCCUUUCUCGCGUUGAGUGCAAGUGUUUGUUAGUUUGUGCAGGUGCAUAUAUUGGGGACUUUCUUGUGCCUCCUACUGUGAUGUAGGGUAGAGACCCUAAUCGCCCGAUCUUUCAUGAAAGGAGCAGAUCCCGGGGAAAUCACGAAGAACACGGGGAAGAACGGAGAGAAAACACAACAAGAAACACGAGAGGAAACACUAAACCGACAUGAAUAAGUCACACAUGGGCUAGAUCCUCGAGUACAUAGGUAGAGAUACACGAAUCCAUGGACAACUAAGGACGAUACACGGUAACCGGUCUUCUCUGUGAGGAGGUCUUGAUGGGACCGCCCAAGAGGGGGUCGUGAUGUUCUUCUCUGCAAGGAGGUCUUGUAUCUGCUUGGGGGAUCUUCUCCGGUGGAGGCUCGAAUCUCCAAGGAGAAGGUAACCAAGUGGAUGAGCAAAGCUCUCUCACAAAUAUGAGCUAAACAUUUGCUAACCCUAGCUAGAAGGAGAGGUCUAUAUAUAGUCUAAGUGCAAAUGCGGGCGAAAGUAGGGGUACAUGGGCCUCGGGCCCGAAUCUGGAUGCAGCCAGGUACCGGACGUCCGCUGGUGGCCGGUCGUCCGAUGUCUCAGGAGCGGCCGGUCGUCCGGUGUCCUCCGGACGUCCGCUGGUUUUGCUCUAUGCUGGGGGUGCCGGAGAUCCAGAAAUGUCGAACUUCCGCUGAUGUUGGUUCGGAUGCAGGUGCGCCGGUUGUCCGGUCCAGACCGGAUGUCCGCUCGUUUGCUUCGGGUGCAAGGGCACCGGUCGUCCGGUCUGGACCGGACGUCCGCUUGCUGGGGCUCGGCCGAUGCUUCAGGCGUCGGACGUCCGGUCCCGGCCGGUCGUCCGGUGGUUGGGACUUUUCCUUCAGCCCUCCUUCUUCUCCGUCUUCUCGUCCAUCUUCCUCUUCUUCUUGUCCUUGCUCCUUAGCUUCUCCAUGGUACCUGAGUAUGCACAAAGUGUCCAUAUGAGGUAGUAGCCAUGCUUCAUGUGCAUCAAAGUGGAAUUGCGAGAGGAGAUAUGUCACCUCGGUUUCAAGAGCUCUUGCACGUGAUCGAGUCAUGGGUCCACUAGGCACUUGAUGAGACGAUGGUAGGUCCAUGGGGAUGACCUUGGGAUGCUCCGCAUCAUCUCCCCUCCCUUGGGGAAGAUCCGACCUCGGAUCGAAAUCCUCAUCACCAUGGUACGGGGAGAGAUCUUUGACGUUGAAGAUGUUGCUCACAGAGUACUUGUCAUGUGGGAUGUCGAUCGUGUAUGCAUUGUUGUGGUAGCGUGCAAGCACCUUGAAUGUUCCAUCGGCUCGUGGUAGUAGCUUGGACUUGUGUUCGUUGGGGAAGCGUUCCUUGCGAAGGUGUAGCCACACAAGAUCACCAAUGUUGAAUAUCAUGUGAUUCUUGUUGACGUUGAGCUUGGUCGCGAGUCGUUGUACUUGGAGCUCAAUGGUGUGCCUUGUAUCUUCAUGCAUCUUAUUGAGGUGGUUGGCUUGGUCACUCGCAUCCAUGUUUGUGCGCUCGUGGAGUGGUAGAGGUAGGAUGUCCAAUGGGGACAACGGGUUGAAACCGUAGACAACCUCGAAGGGGGAUUUGCCGGUAGUCGAAUGUCUUGCGCGGUUGUAGGCGUACUAGGCGAUGGGUAAGCACUCCUCCCACUCCUUGAUGUUCUUCUUGAUUAGCACGCGAAGAAUGGUGGAGAGCGUGCGGUUUGUCACCUCCGUUUGGCCGUCGGUUUGUGGAUGAUAGGACGUGGAGAAUAGAGGCAUGAUUCCGAGCUUGGCGCAUAAGGUCUUCCAAAAGUAACUCAAGAACUUCACGUCGCGGUCCGAGACGAUAGUCUUUGGCACACCAUGUAGACACAAUAUUUCCCUACAAAAGAUAUUAGCCACAUGUGAAGCAUCGUCUAUCUUGUUACAAGGAAUAAAAUGUGCCAUUUUUGAGAAACGGUUCACAACGACGAAUAUAGAAUCUUUCCCAUUGCGUGUCCUCGGCAAACCAAGUACAAAGUCCAUGCUAAUGUCUUCCCAUGGUUGGUAUGGAAUUGGUAGAGGCAUAUAGAGGCCAUGAGAUUGAGCUUUGGACUUAGCUUUGCGGCAUGCCGAACAUCGGUUGGUGAAACGAUUGACGUCCCGAAACAUCUUUGGCCAAAAGUAGCUCUUCGAGAGCGUGGCGAACGUCUUGUCACGUCCGAAAUGUCCCAUUAAGCCUCCUCCAUGUGAUUCCUGCAAAAGCAACAAACGAAGGGACGACUUGGGGAUGCAAAGUUUGUUAGCUCUCAUAAGAUAGCCGUCUUUGAUGUAAUAGUGUUCCCAAGAUGUAUUCGACAAACACUUGGCAUAAGGAGUGGCAAAAGUUUCAUCAUGCUCAUACAAUUCUUUGAUAUGCUCGAAGCCAAUGACAUCUAACUCAAGUUGCGUGACUAGCAUGCAUAUGCGGGAAAGAGCAUCCGCUAUGAUGUUUUCUUUACCCUUGAUGUACUUGAUGACAUAGGGACAAGACUCAAUGAAUUCACUCCAUUUAGCAUGACGCUUGUUCAACUAAGUUUGACCCUUAAGAUACUUGAGAGUCUCAUGAUCGGUAUGAAUGAUAAACUCAUGGGGACGAAGGUAAUGUUCCCAUUCAUGUAAAACACGGACUAAAGCAUAUAGCUCUUUGUCAUAGAUGGGAUAGUUGAGUUGCACUCCGGAAAGUUUCUCACUAAAGUAAGCUAUGGGGCGCUUCUCUUGCGUUAACACACCUCCUAUGCCAUUACCGCUAGCAUCACAAUGAAUCUCAAAAGGCUUGUCGAAGUUGGGUAAAGCAAGCAGGGGAGCAUGAGUACCCAAAUUCUUAAGCUCAUUGAAUGCGGUAUCGUGGGAUGGUCCCCAAAUAAAUGGUGCAUUCUUCUUGCUCAAAGCAUGCAAAGGCAAAGCAAUGGUGCUAAAAUCCUUCACAAAGCGACGAUAGAAACCCGCAAGACCAAGGAAACUACGCACUUGAUGCAAGUUGGUUGGUUGCGGCCAAGUCUUAAUAGAAUUGAUCUUGGACUCAUCUACAUGUACACCCAUAGAAGAGACAACAAAACCAAAGAAAAUGAGCUUAUCAACACCACAAAGGCAUUUCUCCAUAUUGGCAUAGAGACGCUCUUUCCUAAGAGUUUGCAAAAUGGUGCAUACAUGGGUGACAUGCUCUUUGAUAGAUUUGCUAAACACAAGAAUGUCAUCGAAGUAAACCACAACAAAUAUACCAAUGUAAGGGCGAAAGACAUGAUUCAUAAGGCGCAUUGGCAUGACUAACCACUCAUACAAACCAAACUUGGUGGUUCCGAGAGACCCAUUGGCAUGACUAACCACUCAUACAAACCAAACUUGGUUUUGAAGGCGGUUUUCCAUUCAUCGCCCUCUUGUGUGCGGAUUUGAUAGUAACCACUCUUAAGAUCAAUUUUGGAAAAUAUAGUGGCACCACUAAGCUCAUCUUGCAUAUCAUCUAGGCAUGGAAUGGGAUACCUAUAACGAACGGUGAUAGCAUUGAUAGGUCUACAAUCGGAGCACAUGCGAAAACUACCGUCACGUUUUGGCACAAGAAUGAGGGGCACGGCACAAGGGCUCAAACUUUCACGCACAUGUCCAUGGUCUAUGAGAUGCUUUACUUGCCUUUGAAUUUCUUUGGUUUCUUCGGGGUUGACGCGGUAGGGAGCUUUGUUCGGAAGUGGUGCUCCGGGGAUGAGGUCGAUGCAGUGCUCAAUGCCUCGUAGUGGAGGUAGUCCCGGAGGUAGCUCAUCAGGGAAAACAUCUUGAAAUUCCUGCAAAAGAGAAGACAACACUAGAGGUAGAGUGUGAGAAGUGUUAGUUUGUGUUGCAUUGUCCUUGCACACGAGGACGUAGUGUAGGACACUAGAUGGGUUCUCACACACUUCUCUCAUCUCACGUUUGGUGGCAAAUAGAACUAGGUUCUUGUUUUCGCUCAUCGUGGAGGCACUCAAUUUGGGCUUGUGGUGCUCACUCUCUUUUUGGUGGCUCACUCUCUCACCAUUCUCUCCAUGAUUGGUGGCUUGCUUAUCGGCGAUCACUUGGCUUGGAGACAUAGGUCGCAACACAAACUCCUUUCCUUGCAUCUUGAAUCUAUAGUGGUUUGUAUGCCCAUUGUGGACGACUCCCCUAUCGAAUUGUCAUGGCUGUCCAAGGAGAAGAUGACACACGGUCAUUGGGAGGACGUCGCACUCCAAGGUGUCUUCGUAGGCACCGAUCUUGAAGGAGACUUGCACUCGGUGCUCGACUUGGAUGGUACCGGAGUCACUAAGACAUUGCACUUUGUAUGGAUGUGGAUGCUUCGACUUGGGCAAUUGGAGCUUGGAGCAAAGUUCUUCACUUGCGAGAUUAUGACAAUUCCCUCCAUCGAUGAUGACCUUGACGGAUCGUCCAUUGAUGCCGGCCUUGGUGUGGAAUAUGUGGCAUCGUUGGUCUUCUUCUUGGUGAUGUUGGAGAGUCAAGACUUUGGAGACAACAAGUGCGGGACUUGAGUCUUCAUCACAAAAGACUUGUUAUUCUUCAUUGUUCACUUGGCGGUGCAUGGCGACUUGCUCGAGGGCUUCCAUUUCUCCUUCACUCAUGGAAUCAUAAGUGCCAUCGUCGUUGAAGAUCAUGGUGCGCUUGUUGGUGCACUCGUAGGACUUGUGGCCUCGGCCGCCACAAGUGAAACACUUGAAGGAACUCGUCUUGACGGUCUCAUCGGUAGGGGUUGAUGAUGAUGAAGCUCUCACCUUGAAGUUGCUCGUAUUAGGAUUGCUUGUAGUUGGCGAAGCUUUCUUGGAAGUUGACUUGUUGAUGUUUGAAGUAGAGGGUCUUGUAGUCGGUGUUGGAGUUGUUGAAGCUUGGUUAUUGGAGAAACCAUAGGACUUGGAUGAGAACUUGGCAUACUUGAAAUCAUCUUGCACUUGGUGUUCCGCUUUGGUAGCUUGGUGCACGAGCUCGAUGAGAUUUGAGUAUGGUUGGAAGUCGGCGAUCUUCUUGAUAGGAUGAUUGAGUCCAUUCAAGAAGCGUGCCAUUGUUUGCUCAUCAUCUUCCGUCACAUUGGCUCUUAUCAUAGCAAUCUCCAUCUCCUUGUAAUAUUCUUCAACGCUCUUGGUUCCUUGCUUGAGUUGUUGGAGUUUCUUGAAGAGGUCGCGGUUGUAGUAGUUAGGCACGAAGCGUGCUCUCAUGACAUCCUUCAUUUGUGCCCAAGUAGUGAUGGGUGGUUCACCUCUUGCCUUGCGGCGCUCUAUGAUUUGUUCCCACCAAAUGAGGACAUAGUCUUGGAACUCAAGGGAUGCCAUCGCGAUCUUGUUCUCUUCUUCAGAAUUGUGCAAACGGAAUAUCUUGUCAACUUUCAAUGCCCAUGAAAGGUAUUCUUCGGGAUCGUUGCUUCCGUUGAACUUGGGCAUGGUGAACUUGAGCUUGCCGUAGCGUUGCUCUUCAUUGUGUUGGGGUCAGGGAUGAUGACGCCCAUGUUGUAGAUGAUUGUUCAACUCGUGGUGCUCUUGAUGCGGAGGGUUGUCAACCUCGUGUUGCACUUACCGCAGAGGAUUCCCAUUGUCUUCAUGCUUGAUAGAGGCGAGAGUCCCGAUCUUUUGAUGAGAUGAUAAAUAUCGAUUUGGUGGAGACGACUUUGACGAUCCGACUACAAACAUGCACGACGUUGCGCCUUAGCAAUCGCUAAACCAAUCUCCUGAGGUUACUGACGAUGCUGGAAGCAUGAUCAGCCUGACCACGAAGGUCUAUUCUUGCAAGAAAUCGAAAACGAGCAAGAAUAUGAUAAAGCAAUCUAAAUAUUGCGAAUAUACAUGAAGUAUUGAUAAUGGUGGGGAUCCGUAAGCGGUCUUGGUCUGGUCGUUGGACACAAAUGAAGUACACGAAGUUGCAAUGGCUAACUUUUAACUAAACAAAUCCCUAGGAAAAAGCUACUAGAUGGACCUACUUAUAUAGGAGCAAGGGGUGGCGGCCAAGGAGGUGGGAGGACGUCCCAAGGCAGCCUAAAACUAACCCUAGGUCGUACAAGGCUCAUGGGCCUAAGUGGAGGUGAUGCAACACCUUUGGGCUUGUAGUUUGACUCGGAUUCUGCUGCAACGUCAGAUUGUUUCGUCCGUAACUCAACGCUCUGGACGAAUUUGAAGGUGAAUCCAAUUGGGAUGGAAAGAGCACGAAAUCUAGUUUCCAACAAAAAAAGAAUCACCCAAUUCGGAGUCCGUAUGAAAAAGUUGUUGGCGUUUUGAGUCAGGUAUGUCUGUGCAGUCCGAAUCUGAAUCCAGAACGUGAGAGACUUGGACUCUAUCUUCUCUUGGCCCACAAGUGACGUGAGAGGAAUUUUUGAACACAACCUAAACAUCUCCUUUUCCCUUAUCUUCAUAUAUGGAUUGUGCAAAUGUCCCAUACACUUGCAAUUAGACAAAACACAAAAUUGUGUGAAGUAUUUUUGUUCUGGAUAACAUAAAUAGACUAUUGAAUAGUUUGCAUUAGAAAUCACCUAACAAAUAUGCAUGUAUGCAAUAUUUUUGGUCGUAUCCAAGGUAGUCAUGUCCUCAUCAUCCUCCCCUUUUUGAAAACAAAGCCGUCCUCGGCAUUGCUUAAUCUGAAAUGUGGCUAACAAAAGAGACAAGGUGUACAUGUUUUAUAUGUAUAUGUCAUCCAUUUUAACUUCCCUUGAUUUUUGCACAUAUGUCACAUGUAUACAUGACUAACUUUCAUUGUUCAUAAAAUCUAAAGCCAAAAAAUUGUCACAAGAAGUAGAAGGCAUGAAAAUAUUGCAACUCAGUUUGCACAUAUAAGUGAAGCUCUUAUUCACUUCAAAAGAUUGGCAAUGUUCAUCAUUAAACCAUCCUAACUUCGAUGAAUAAACUUUACUUGCAUCAAAUUUACAUGCUACAACAUGCUUAAAUAAGCAAACAUGCAAUAAGUCAUUGGACACAGAAUCAUCAUCAAGAUUAGAGGUCACAUCAAAAUGAUUAAACAUUGGUUCUUUUGCAUCAACAGUUAAUUCAAUGGGUGCACUCAAAAUUGUUGAUAUUUCAGUUGUUUGAUCACAUGACGCAUUCAUGACAGUAACAAGAGUCUCUAAAAUAGGUGGUGUGCUCAAAUCAACAGGUAACUCAACACAUGAUGCAUUCAAGUUAACUAGGCAUGCUUCAUUCUCAUGUGAAGUUAUAUCAUCAAGACCUUUACUGUUACCUCGCAGAGAUGUAGCUGAUGUAGGUACGGACGUUGACAAUGUACCAUACUCUUGAGAUGAUAUCGCGCUCACAAUCCGAGGUGGGGCUGCUCUAGUAGGUGCAAUAGUGGAGUAACCAACCGGCGGUGGUGAGCAUGAACUGGAAUAGUAGUUGUUGUAGUCACCCAAUGCAUCCUCCUGUAUUUGUCUCUCAAAGGUACAAGCACGGACAUACAUACCAGUAAUGCAACGAGGAAUAUACUGAAAUCUUGCCUGAAUAUCAUGGUUCAAACCACCAAAAUAUCUAUUCAUUGUAUCAUCCUCAGAUUCUUCUAUGUCACAAUGAUGCAUAUAAGAUUUGAACUCUUGGUAGUAAGCAUGAACAGUGUUAUUGCCUUGUUUUAAUUGCUCCAAUUUGUGACGCAAUUCACGACGAUAGUAAGGAGGAAAAAAUUGUUGUCUCAUUACAGCUUUCAAAACUUUCCAAGUUGUGGGUUGGUUAUCAAUGUUUUUCUUACAAUGUACACUCCACCAAACAGAAGCAAAACCAGUAAAUGCUCUAAUGGUAGCUCGUACUCUCUCAAGUUCAGAAAAAUCAUGGUGACUAAAAACUUGUUCUACUUCAAGCUCCCAAGCUAGAUAAAUAGCAGGAUUAAAUCUACCCUCAAAUGAUGGUAAAGAGAUAACCUGACCAUAUGCUUGUGUGUGUUGUCCCAACUCUCGUGAUGGUGAAGAUGUGUCCGGCAUCCAAGAACUUCUAUCUCUGGAACCUGUCAUGAUUAGUAGAAACAAGAACCAAAAUUCGAGAAUAAUGUUCCUAUGAACUACUAGGAUGUGGUUGUAAAGUGCUCAUAGUAAAGCAAAUAUCAAUAUCUUACAAGUUCUUACCAUGCGGCAGGUGGUGACAGGCAACCAGCGGUGUCAAAUAACUCCGAAGAUUGUGUAAAACGAUUGCCAGGGGAACGUACGUAUACACGGUGUAGAAAUAUGUGGAGCUGGGUUGGCUAUAUAUGGUAGCAAAAGAUUAGCAACAAUCAAUUCAGAUAUGCAAUGUUGAAUAAAUGCUCAACGACGGUACUGUGCUGGUCCUAGGCUAGACCAAACUAGAGACACGAGCCUAGAACACUAAUGAGGUCACGUCGUAGCACAACUAGCAUCAAUAUAGGAUAUGAAGUAGCUCUGGACAGCAAGAUAUAAGUGAAGAUCACAAUAGCAGUGACCUAUUUAGAAGCUAAUGUUGAGGUGCCAAAUACUGAACUAGCUUCUGCAACUAUUUAGAUGCGGCUCGUCGCUAGCUUUCAUUUGAGUACUCGCGGAGCCAAAACAGACUUCAUAUGAGGAAGUUAUGCCUGUUUUACUGAACAGUGCACAAAACAGAUUCCAAUCUGAAUUCAACUACGAGAUUGAGUCUAGAUAGAUCCGAAUUUUGUUUUUUUUCUCCUCUUUUUUUUCUCACACUUUUUUUUCUUUUCCUUUCUUUUUUUUCUCUGACUUUUUUUUACUUUUUUUUCUCUCGUUUUUUUCUCUAUCUUUUUUUUUCUCUCUCCCUCUUUCCAAACAAACUAGAUAAGAUGUAGAUUGGAUCAAGCGAAGAUGGGAACGAUCUCAACUAUGAUUAUGACAAUGAAUGGUGGGUAGCACGAGGAGGAAAUUGAUGGAUGGGUGGUGGACAGUGGAAGGGAUAACGAUGCAGCGGCGACGUGACUAAUGUGAACAGAACUCGAAACUCUAAACGACCUAGACACUAAGACCAGCAACUCGACACGACGAUGCAACCGAUAAUUCAACUAUGCAAGCAAUGAAAAGAAAAUUGCAAAGGCCCAGACUGGCUUGGACAAAGGAUGAAUAGAUCUAACUCUUUUGUGGAUUUUUCUUGGACAAUAGGUAAGAAAAUAAAUCUAAUCUAGGAAAACUGGAAAUUCUCACCGAGCAACCUGAAAACUGAUACCACUUGAUAGAGGCGAGGGUCCCGAUCUUUCGAUGAGAUGAUAACUAUCGAUUUGGUGGAGACGACUUUGACGAUCCGACUACAAACGUGCACGACGUUGUGCCUUAGCAAUCGCUAAACCAAUCUCCUAAGGUUACUGACGAUGCUGGAAGCAUGAUCAGCCUGACCACGAAGGUCUAUUCCUGCAAGCAAUCGAAGAACGAGCAAGAAUAUGAUAAAGCAAUCUAAAUAUUGCGAAUAUAUAUGAAGUAUUGAUAAUGGUGGGGAUCCGUAAGCGGUCUUGGUCUGGUCGUUGGACACAAACGAAGUACACGAAGUUGCAAUGGCUAACUUUUAACUAAACAAAUCCCCAGGAAAAAGCUACUAGAUGGAUCUACUUAUAUAGGAGCAAGGGGUGGCGGCCAAGGAGGUGGAAGGACGUCCCAAGGCAGCCUAAAACUAACCCUAGGUCGUACAAGGCUCAUGGGCCUAAGUGGAGGUGAUGCAACACCUUUGGGCUUGUAGUUUGACUUGGAUUCUGCUGCAAUGUCAGAUUGUUUCGUCCGUAACUCAACACUCCGGACGAAUUUGAAGGUGAAUCCAAUUGGGAUGGAAAGAGCACGAAAUCUAGUUUCCAACAAAAAAAGAAUCACCCAAUUCGGAGUCUGUAUGAAAAAGUUUUUGGCGUUUUGAGUCAGGUAUGUUUGUGCAGUCCGAAUCUGAAUCCAGAACGUGAGAGACUUGGACUCUAUCUUCUCUUGGCCCACAAGUGACGUGAGAGGACUUUUUGAACACAACCUAAACAUCUCCUUUUCCCUUAUCUUCAUAUAUGGAUUGUACAAAUGUCCCAUACACCUGCAAUUAGACAAAACACAAAAGUGUGUGAAGUAUUUUUGUUCUGGAUAACAUAAAUAGACUAUUGAAUAGUUUGCAUUAGAAAUCACCUGACAAAUAUGCAUGUAUGCAAUAUUUUUGGUCGUAUCCAAGGUAGUCAUGUCCUCAUCAAUGCUCUUGAUGAACUUGAUGGUCUUGGCGAGCUUGUGGGGGAGCUUUGCGAGCUCGAGGCGGAAAUUGACGAUGCACACGAGCUUGAAAUCGUCGUUCUUGAAUUUCUUCGCGAAGUGCUUCCUCUUGGUUACGGGCUUUUCGGCCUCGGUCGGCAACGGCUCGACUCGAAUCGCGUAGAGCUUGUUGCGCCUCAAGAGCUUGAGCAUCACGGAGUUGUUGUUCUUGACGUUGUGUCUCGGCAUCUUGUGCAAGUUGGUGGAGACGCACACAUUCUUCCUCUUCAUGUUGGCACUAUUGUUGCCGUUCUCGAGCUAGCGCAAAGGCUUCUUCGGUUUGACGUCGUCGAUGUUCUUGCGAGUGGGUGUCUCGAAGUGGAUUGAGGUUUGCUUGACGCUCGUUGCGUGUGGCACGUCUAAGAGUGUUUGAAGACGGUGUACUUGAGCCGGAGAGGGUAAAGUCGGAAUGGCGACUUGAACGGCUCCUUAUUGAAGUGGAAGAAGAGCGGUUGAGCAACAAAGCGCGAAUCUCAUCCAUACUUGCGUCAUUCUCUUGCUUGUGAUCGUCAAGCUUGUGGUCGAAGUAGUCCCUUGUACGUUCCUCGGAAAGUCGCAAGUCGGCGGCAAGGUUGUCGAUGCGUUCACUCAUAGCUUGUUGCUCUUGAUGCAAAGCACGUUGUGCACCAAAGAGGUGACUCUUGGUGACGAAGGAGUUCAUGUCAUCGUCUUGCUCCAUGAAGAGUGGGUUGGUAGAAGUACUUGGCUUAUCCAUCAUUCCAAGACAAAUGUGAGUGGUUGAAAGAGAAGAACGAAUACCAAAUGUACCUUGACCGAAGUUGAAAGUGAAUCGAUGAUCACUCCAAUGUAGGACAAGGAAAUAGCCCAAUUGGUACGAAUUCUCGUCGGUUUCUCACACCUACACAAGUAAAAGCUUAUGGUGGAGCUUGUUUAGGAUGGUGGCACAAUUUCUAAUGUGAAUGUAAGAAAGAUUCAAUAAUGUUGGAAAAGAUUCGGAAGAUGCAAUGUAACAAGUAGACCAAGCAUAUACGGUACACAGAAACACACGCGCAAAAAGAUAAGUGGGGUUGUGCAACCAAGGGUGAGCCAAAAUGUGGAACCCACAAAAAAUGCUCGUGUUGCACAACACUAGUGAGACGCUAGCACGAUUGCACGACAGGCGGAUACAAGAACUUGUGCACGACGUACUUAGCAAAAAUGCAACGACUUCUAUCCCAAAUAAGUUCUAUGCAAGGUGUUGUUAUGAUAUGAUCCAAGAUGAUCGAUUAUGACAAUCUUAAUGUUGUAUGAUGCUAUGGUUCUUGCUUGAAAGCUCUUUGCUUAUCUUUCCUCUUUGCUUAAAAGCUUGUUUGGGUCUUUGAUGUUUGAGCUCUUUUCUCAUGCAAUGCUUGACGAACCAAGAUAGCAAGUGAGUAUGCGGUGACAACUUUUUGACACAAGAGAUGAUACCAAUAUAGGAAACAAUGAUGUAUGUAUGUAUGCUAUGGGAAGUAUGAUCACUAGUGUGCACAAGUCUCGUUGCCGGCAAUACUCAAUGACUAGUCUCGAUGGGUAAGCAACGCAAAGGAGUAAGGCUAUGAUGGUUAUCAAUGUAAUGGCAAGAGUGAUAUGUCCAAUACCAAGAUGAGGUUACCGGUCUUGCUUCCGGUAUGGUGUCAAAACGGUGGCACGAAUACCAAGUCGUAGUCGAGGUGGUCGUUGUUGAUGACGCGUCCGUGGCGAAAAUGAGCAGCGGUGAUGUCGAUGUCGAACCGUACCUAGAUAGCCGAAACACAAAAAGAUACGGUACCGCAACUCAAAUUCUCAAAACCAAGUGCGACAAAAAGCAUCGGAGUAGGUACCGGGUAAGUGGUGGUGUGGGUUGGGAUAUUGGAAAGGUUUGCGGAAGUCGGUGGUGGUGUAGCGGAUGAUGUGGUGGAAGCCGAAACAAAAUUUGAGCGAGAUCAGUGUUUACAGUAGAGGUCGUCCGGAAAUGAACGGAUGUCCGGUCGCCGGACGUCCGGUCGGGUCGGAAAACCGCUAAUUUUAGCUCGGGUUAGAGGUUCCGGUCGUCCGGAAAGGUCGGACGUCCGGUGGUUCCUGCGGCUCCGGACGUCCGGUAAGUUGCGGUCGUCCGGUGGGUCGGGGUCAAAAUUGAUAGGAUUUCAUGGAUUUUGGAUGGAUUUCGAGGUGGAGAUGGUGGGGGAAGGCUAGAUCCACUUGCAACACAACAAAUUCACGGAUCAAAACCAACAAAACAUCAUCAAAACUCACAAAUCACAAGAAUUUUUUUUGUGGGGCUAUUCUUGUGGGGAUUUUAUGUCCAUUUCAUGUUUGGUAACUCACCUGUGUUGAUGCCAUCGUUUCCCCUCUGUUGCCCUGCCCUGCAUCGAUGUGGUUUAGUUGCUUUCGAGCUCGCCCGUGACGUGUCCGGCUCUUGAUCUCCAUUGGCAUGGAGCUAGAGCUCCCUCGAGCUCUCCCGAAGCCGUCCCGCGGCUAUAUAAGGGUGCCCCGAGUUCUUCCGCACAUCACCCACUCCUCCCUCGCCUCAUUUGCUCGCCGGAAGUGCCCAAUCUCAUCGUUUCCUUGCUGUUCGUCCUCGGUGGUCGCCGGAGUUCGAGCUACCAUGGCCACCACAGGCCCCAUAUCCUCCUCCCGGGCCCUCCUGCGAGUCCCCUCCUCUCUGUGAGCCGCCCAACCCCCUCACCCCUCCCUGAACUGGCCCGUAGCACCGAGCACCACCACCGUCCGACCGCCUCUGUACUCCUCCGUCGUCGUGACCUCCCCUCCUCCCCACUCCUCCUUGGUGGCAGCUCUCCCUUUGAAUGGGUGUGGCUGGCCCUCCUGCACCUGUCAGUGCCCUCGGUCGGGCCAGAGAUGGCCGGAACCGGCCAGCCCCCUCGCCGCUUCCCUCCCCUCUCCUCCAGUGCCUCACAUGAGAAACUUCGCAGGGAGUAAGAAGAUGCCCGAUCAGCCCCUCCACCUACCAGUGGACCCCCUCUAUAAGUGGCACACCCCUGCUAGCUCAGUUAACUGGAAACAUACUUUGCUGAGUGCGUUUGCUUUUAUCUAAAAAUGUGUUCUUGUAAUGUUAUAGGCGGGAAUGCACUUUCCCUUCUCUGAAAUUGUAUUACUCUCUACUGCGGCCAAGAAUGUGCUUUCUCUGUUCCGAAAGCAUAUUCUCUAAUAUGCGCCUCUGCCUUAUCCACUUAGGACCCGGUUGUAACUAAAAUAUUCAAAGAUUGGUCCCUCUCCUUCAUCACCUUAUAACUCUACGACCGUAACUCCGAUUGAGGUGAAACCAAUGCUCACUUCUUCGUCUCGUGUAGAUCUUUCUGUUGGUAACAUUUUCAUUAGGUGGUCCCAUAAUGAAAAUGACCAUUUUUCCCUUGCUUCUAAUCAGCCCCCUCCGAGAGAGAACCGCCCGCGUUUCGUUCCACGGCUUCACCGCACUUCUUCUCGGAGUCUUCGUCUCCUCCAGGCAAGCCACAACAGCCACUUGCAUGAUUGCCAUGCAGUAGCCAUCAUUUCUACUUGAAUAUUUAAUAAAAGUUUGCCCUUUAUCUAUUUGCUUGUUUGCUACUACUAUGGUUGUUUCGGUUAUGCUCGUGGAUUCAUUUUCACCUUCAUGCUAUGUUCCAAUGCAUCUUGUUAUCUUGUACUACUUCCUAGUAUUAUUUUUUUAUGUUAUGUUUGGUAGUAGCAGUACAUGAUGGUGGAAGUGGUGUUCAUUCUGAUGUUUGCUUACCGCUUGUUAGCCUGUAACAUUGUUAUGCAUGUUCCUUGCAUCUAGUUGGUUACAUGCUUACGUGGUAGUAUUAUUGUUAUAUUCUUGAAUGGUAUUUAUUUCUGAUGCUAGUUGUCAUGCUAUGCUCCUGUGUAGUGUUAUACUUAUGCUCGUUAGUAUGCCAUGCUCAUUUGGAUAUAUGCUUCAUUGUUGUUACACUCGGUGAUUAUGUUGCACCUCCAUGCUUAUGUUGAUAUCAUGCUCAUGCAUUGUAGUUGCAUCAUGUUAUUUUAAUAUGACUCAGCUCAUUGCAUUCAAGUUUAACCGGAUAAUAAUGAACUUGAACAAAUGUUGGGUGAGUCAUGGUGCCACCAAAUCGAGCUAACCAGUGCAACCACAUUUGCAUUUUAUGGGAAGGCCCUAAUGCGGUCUAUUGUCAUGCCUCUAGCCGGUGCCUCCAACGAGGGAAGGUUAGGGGUGCGUGCUACCCUGAUCAGGUAGGCGGACAUAAACCUUGUGUGCCCGUUGUUGUUGUAAGCAUCCUUGUCCCCGUUUGGAACCGUCUAUGUUUUGCCACGACGGUGGCCGUUGGGUGUCACGAGUUGACAUGGGGCCACCCAGGACUUAGCCCAAAGGGCGGUUUGUCGGAGUGGCCGGGAGAGUGUCAUGGCAAUAGAUUGGUUUUUUCAGAAUGUCGUCGGUCCACCCAAAUGGGAGCACGAGGCCAUGGGUUCCAUGGUGUGGGUACAGUGUACUAACCUCUGCAGCAUGUGUGUGAUUAAAUCUAUACAUAGUCGUGCCCGCAGAUAUGAGCCCAAUUCGUAGUCGAUCACACUAUGAGCCAACUAUAAUAAUAACUUGAUUAAUAAUAACCACGGUUUGAUGAUGAGAAAGAGGUUGGUUGUGAUCGAGAGAUGAUCAUGGAGGUAUCAUGGAUACCGAAGUUGGUUGUUCUUUAUGUGAUCGCGAGAUGAUCACGGAGGUACCAUGGAUACCGAUGUUGGUCAGUUGAUGCAUGAGAUGAUUACAAGGUAACCGCCGAAUAAGAGUAAGUUGGUGCAUGACAAUAUUAACCUGUUGCAUCUAGUAUCAUCAAGUUCAUAUGCUCAUGCCAUGUUGAUGUUAUUCUAGCUGUAUCCUGUUCAGUUUGCGCAUGCCAUGUAUCAUGUUCAUGAUAGCUUUAACCUGCUAAUGCCAUGUUGUUGUUUGUCUUGACUGCUUUUGGUUUAUUGUGAGCUUGCAAGUACAUUCAAUGUACUGACCUGGCGUGUCAUGCUAGUUUGUAGGUCGUGCCUGGUUCGCUUGCUUGUUUGGUGUGGUUCAUGUGAUCGCGAGCUAGGAUAAAUGUUCCAGCCAGAGUCCCUGCUGAUUGGAGUCCAUCCUCGUCGUUCGUUGUUCCGUUGCUAGUAGAGGUUCCGCUACCUCGAGUUGUUAUGCUGCUUGCAUAGAGCAACUGUGGUUGGCGUAACGUCAUCGUGCUGGUGUUAUCCAUUGUAACAUCGAAGACCUUGUAUUCAUAUUGGUGUUGUAAAAGAGAGUUGGUUUGUUCUAUGCUAAGCAGUGCCGUAUUCCAGAAGACUUCACCUCGAUCUCUGGGCUGUAAUACGGGGCAUUCCGGUUUCUCUGAACCGGGGUGCCACAGGGCUUGGUAUCGGAGCAGGUCUGGCUGUAGAGCGUCCUACUCCGCUGGAACGUUUGAAAAUGGCAGUAUAGGGUUCGGUUGUUGCCCUUGCUUGCCACAUUUGGUUGUUGCAUUUGUUUGCUGCAUAUAGUCUUAUUCAGUUACCCCUAACCCCUGUUUCAUGUGUAGAUGGCAGUCAGCUUCCAUGAUUUCGCUGCCCUCCCGAGAGCUCCCGGUGUUGUUCCUAUUGUGUUUAGCUCCACUCCUGCACCUCUCAACUUUUCCACCCUCCUUGGCGACAUGUGGCGUAGCAUUUAUCCCCGCGGAGAUCCACCCCAUUAUCAAGUAUUGUCGUUUUCCACUGGAGGAAGAAUUCUGGAAUAUGUUGCUCAUGUCCAUCUGCGAGCCUCGAUUCAUGUUGGUAAGCACACCUACAGUUUCCAUGGUGGUUACGGCGCUACUCCCGAGCGUGCCAUUCAGCUUGUCACAAUGGCAGGAAUCACCGGUCUUCGUCAUCGAGAGAGAAUGGUGCAAGAGAACUAUGCUUAUCAGUACUAUCCCACCAUCGUCGUGAAUCUUAAGCGGAUCAAGUUCCCAUCUAUCAACCCUCAAGAUGACCCGACUAUCUUUGCCAUGUCCCGUUACAUGACGGCCGAGUGUCUUCUUGUUUCCGAAUUAGUCCGAGACGCCAUUCAGGCCAGGAGAUUGCUUGGUGCUUCCCUACCUCAGUGUCCUCCAUCUGCUCCAACCCCUCUGCCUCAUCCAUCCGGAGUUUCGGAGUCAGCAGUUCCACUCGCUACUCCCUUAGCUUCUUCGUUAGUUCCCAUGUGUUUUCUCAAGCGUAGGGUGUAGUCCUUCGUGUAGUGCAGGUGAAUUCGAUGUAGUAUCAUGCUUGUGUGUGCCUAUGUGGAGUAGUUUUGUAGCUUGUUUGAUGUGUGCUUUGUUGCAAUAAAUCGUUUUGUCGCGCUUCUUUGUUUUAUAUCUUCGGUGUUACCCCAUUAUGGAAAAUUGCUCAUCAACCGACACCGGAUCAGAAGAAUCCAUGAGAAUAAAGAUAUACACCAAGGAACUUAGUUAUAAGAAAUGAUAUUUUCAGCUGAGAGCAUUGUAUUGCAGACAUCUGGUCUGGAUACAAAUUAUAUUCUACUUGGACUUUCAGUAACAAUUACCUGUCCGAGAUAUAUCUUUACUACAACAGUGAUUAAACCACCAGGAGAAUAAAAUUGGAUCCAAGUCCAACAUGCAUUUCAAGUCAAAGCAAGAAGGAUGGUUAGACUUUUCUUGUCAUACAAGUAAUCAGCAACCGGAAUGUCAAGAGUAUGUAUAUAUAUAUAUAUGUCAUCCCAUCCGCAAAGAAAAGAAGGACAAUAUUUCUAAGUGAAGCGUACAAGGCAAGAUUCCUCAGUCGGCAUCAGUAAGGUAUACAUGGUUUCCCGUGCAAGAUAUUCAGUAUUCUUCGAUAAGUUACUGCGAAAGCUUCUGGCAUAAGGUACCGAGUUUUCACUAGAAAGUCUUUAAGGGGGGAAGGUUAUGAGGUACGGUACCCAGUCUUCCUCAGCAAGCUAUCCAUCGAAGGCUUUGAGCAUAAGCUAUCCAUCGAAGGAUUCGAGCAUAAGCCAUCCAGUCUUCCUCAACAUGAAAUCAUGAUGGCUUCCAAGGCAAGCUGCCCAAUCUUCUUUAGUAUGACACUGGUACAAGAUAUUAAACCAUGAUGUUGUCAGCAUAUGGCAGUGUUUUCCAAGUGUCAGAUCUGCAACCAUUGGGAUCAGAAACAAGAAUCUGUUAGAACAAAUGUAUGCCUCGAGAAUCAAACAUUUUCUCCCUACGAUGAGUAUACUGUCAAGUUCAUGCAAGUCCCUUGCACCAGGAAGAAUUCAUGGUACGUAUCCGACAACCACGCCGGUUAUGCAAGAGAAAGAAAGUCGGUGAGUGAUGCAAGAAUUGACAAGUCUUGAAGAAAGACAACAUUGAGACACCAUCUCGACAGUAAAUAUCAAGAUCAGCCCCGCACAUCCGACCAGGUGAUGUUAUUAAUCCUGUCACUAUUUGACAUAGUCGACAACAGUAAUGAGAUCCGUACAAUCACAUGUGAACCUGAUAAAUGUCUCGAGACUCGAGACCAAAGUAUGAAUUGCAAGAUAUUGCACAUGACAGUACCCAGGGCUGUGAAAAUAGUCAAGGAUAUAUAAGGCCCCACUCUUUUAGUUAAAGAUCCAAAUGAAGAAAAUAAUAAUGAAGGAGCAAGACCAACAAUACCGGUAUGCCAGAGUAUUGUGUGAAUAGUGUGGUAUGAAUGCACAAGAUAGUCUUAUUUCAUAUCAAACACCAUAAAGAUAUGCCUAAGAGGUCUACUCCAUUGUGGUAAGGACCUCAUAGAAAGGAAACUAGCUCAGUCCACAGUAUGCUCAGAAUUGUCAACAUUGUAUACCCAAUCUCUCAAGUUAGACCGCAGGACAGCUCAACAUAUUGACCUCAGUAACCGUGCUAAGGCAUCACACGAUCUACUAUCCACAUGAGAAUACCGGCAAAAUGAAGAAUCAGGGUAUUAAAUCACAAAGCAUGUGCUCUCACAUACGGGAAUAGAUUAAAGAAUAGUCUGCCAUAUACGGGAUUCUUUGCCAAGAUCACCUCCAGUCAAGUCUGCAAAUGUUAUCAUCAGGAGAUGGUGCAUUUUUCUAGUCACGUAAAGCAACAAUCAAACCUUUGGUAUAGAUUGGAUACUCAAGACUCUGAAGCUAGUCAAGAUAAGUCAGAACCUCCUGCAAGAUGUCCGAAUCCAUUGGAAGAACAUGUUUCAUUCACAUCACUGUUUUGAACCUAGAAGGCAUGCAUAUAUAUUCGAGCAGCACGAUGCCUGAAUAGAAGAGAUUCUUUGUUCCACGGGAAGAUGUGUUCCCCACUUCGUGGAAUAUUCUCGGUACUCGAUAUGAGAAUAACAUCUCCAGCACGGGUCAAUAUCGAGAUGGACAUGUAUGCCAGUAAAGAUAAUCUUUCGGAUCUCAGCUAAGCCAGCAGAUAUGAAGAAAAUAUUUUAGACGGUUUGAACAGGAACAUAUGAGGUAAGUCAUGCCAGAAUGUCAGGUACGGUGAAGCAAACCACCCCAGAGCAGGCAGUCAGUCAGUUAGAUGCAAUUCAGUGGGAACCUAAUAUAAGGAAAUAGCAGAAACCCGAGUGGAAACAGUUUCUUCAAGUCAGAAUAUUUACUUGUUUCGUAAGCAACCAAAUCUCGAGGACAAGAUUUCUAUAAGGGGGGAGGUUUGUAACACCCUGGAUUUUCCCUUUUAUUUUUCUGAUGAUUUCCUUGGAUUUCUUGAUUUGAAUUGUUUUUCUGUGGUUAUGUGGUUCUGAAACUUGGGAAGAUCAUAUCUUUCUAGGUUUUAUAGUGGCUUGUCAUCCUCAUCAUCAUCCCAAGAUCAUGUCAUUUUCAUCCUUGACCUAAUCCAAUAUUCUUUUUCUAGGGAAUAUUCCUUUUCUGUUAAAGAAAUAACCCUUUAAAACCCUAGGUUGUGAAGCAACCUAUAUUUCUGUCACUCCCAAAAUUCCCAAAUAAUUCUCAUAAAUUUUUUGGGUCAUAUAUUCCUUAAAUAUGUCAAAAUCCUUCCUUGGCAUCAUCAAAGAUAAUUCACAAAUAUUCCUUUUCUGAUUGUGCCCUAAGUGGUUUCUUGAGAAGGAAGUGUCAUUUAUCUUUGCUUGAUUGACCCCAAACUUUUCGGACACCUCUUCCUGUCCAUAUAAUUUCUCCAUGCCAGAACUCAACUCAAUUUGCCUAGUAAAUAUUCCUGAGCAAUUUUUCAAAGUUCCUGCCUGAGGGAAUUCUUUGUGAAGGAAGUACUAGCUAGGAGUAUCCAAAUGAGUUGAAAUUUUGCAAGGUCCUUCAUAUGAUCAAAUUGUCACUCUCCACCAAAUCUAAGCCCAUGUAACCUUUGUAUGUGGGCCUAGCUCCAAAUCUUGGUUUCUGGUCAGAUUUUUAGUUUGGGAAGAAACCAUAUUUUAUAUUGCUUCAUUUAAGCUGAAACUUUAACAAGACAUUCUCCUAUCCAUAUCAACUCUCUCCGCCAUGUUUUGUCUCAAUUCAUUAAUCCAUUUUCCAUGUGCAAUUUUUCCAAGUUUCUGCCCAGAGAGAUGCUAUAUGAAGCAAGUGCUUGUUUGGCUAAUUCAAAUGGCAUGAAACUUUUUCAACAUCUUCAUAUCUUCAAAUCAAUGGGACAUGCCCAUUUUCAGCUCAUUUCAUGCACCUAUGUGAGUGCCCCUUCAUGAUCUUGAUUCUGAACCAGAUUAUGUAGUUGUUAAGCAACCAUGUUAAAUCUUGGUCCAAAUCCUCUCCAAAUGCACAGGACUGUAGUCCUUACUAUCCUGAACUUCCUAGACAACUCGUUUGUGAUAGAGGCUAACGUGUCCUGAUGUUUCGAUGAGAUGGUGGCUAUCGUUUUCUGUGGGAGUCGACCUUGACGAUCCGACUACGAAGGUGUGAGACGUCGCGCCUUAGCAAUCGCUAAACCAACUUCCGAGGGUUAUUGACCACGCCGGAGCACGAUCAACCUGACCACGAGGAUCUGUUUCCUGCGAGCAAACGAAGAACAAGCAAGAAACUGAGAUUGCAAUCGGGAUAUUGCGAAUAUAAGAUGAAAGCUUUAUUGAUCAAGGUGGAGUUCUGUGACGUCUUGGUCUGGUCGUUGGACACAAACGAAGUACGCGAAGUUGCAGCUAUGGCGAACUUUUAAUCUAAACAAAACCCAAAGUCUAAACGACGCCCUAAGGGCUGUAUAUAUGGAGGAAGAGGGGGUAAUUUCGUGGCCCUUGAGGGUGGGGUCCGAAACCAACCCUAACUCUUGUUUCCCCACACAUACGGACUCUAAAAAUAGCCUAUACUUAAGUAUUUCGAAACUACAUGGGCCUGGCCCAUUAAUAAGGUGACGCAGCACCUAGAAUAGCCUAUGGACGAAUAUUAUGAAGUGGCAUCUUGUAUAUUUCGUCCAAGGCUUCAUGCACUCCUUAUGGUGGCUUCAAAGUCCUGAAAUCAUCACUUGUAACUCCGUUCUUGAUCCCCUUGCGCAUGCCAUCAACUCCAUACGUGUUCUUGCUCCAAUGUUCAUCCUUCUCCAAGCUAGGCCCUUCAUUUGUAAGCAAAACAAAUGUAUCCAAUUUAGGCAGCAUCAUAAUCUCAUGAACAUUAGAAUCAUUACCAAGAAAUGAAAGUACCUGGUAAUUUAAUUGGCGUGCGCGAGCUCUAGUAAUUGGUCCAGUAUAUGUAACAGUAGGGGCUGUGGGUGUAACAAUGGUAUUGAUGUCCUCAUCAUCCUCCCCUUCUUGAAAUGAAGUCGUCCUCGACGGAAGCGAAUCUUCCUCACCCAAAUAAGGCUUCAAAUCUGCAAUGUUAAAAGUGGGACUAACCCCAAAAUCUACAGGUAGCUCAAGUUUAUAUGCAUUAUCAUUUAUUUUCUCUAACACCUUAAAAGGACCAUCAGCAUGUGGCAUUAGCUUUGAUUUGCGCAGAUUAGGAAAUCUAUCUUUACGCAAAUGUAACCAAACAAGAUCUCCAGGCGCAAACACAACAUGUUUUCUACCCUUAUCUCCAGCAAGUUUAUAUUUAGCAUUCAUACGCUCAAUGUUUUCCUUAGUUAACUCAUGCAUUUUUAAAAUCAAUUCAGAACGUUCUUUAGCAUCAAAAUUAACCUUCUCUGAAGAUGGAAGAGGCAACAAAUCAAUAGGUGCACGAGGUAGGAAACCAUACACAAUUUCAAAAGGGCACAUCUUAGUAGUAGAAUGCAAUGAACGAUUAUAAGCAAAUUCAAUAUGAGGCAAGCAUUCUUCCCACAUUUUCUUGUUAUUCUUCAAAACAGCCCUAAGCAUAGUAGACAAUGUUCUAUUGACUACUUCAGUUUGUCCAUCAGUUUGGGGGUGACAAGUAGUACUAAAAAGCAGCUUAGUCCCCAACUUAGCCCAUAAACAUCUCCAAAAGUGGCUAAGAAAUUUAGUAUCACGAUCUGAAACAAUAGUAUUUGGCACACCAUGUAAGCGAAUAAUUUCACGAAAGAACAAAUCAGUAACAUUAACAGCAUCAUCGCUUUUAUGACAUGGUAUAAAGUGUGCCAUUUUCGUGAACCUAUCCACGACAACAAAUAUGCUAUCCCUCCCCUUCUUUGUUCGAGGUAAACCUAAAACAAAGUCCAUAGAUUUAUCCUCCCAAGGAACACUAGGUAUAGGCAAAGGCAUAUAUAAACCAUGAGGAUUGAGUCGUGACUUAGCUCUUUGACAUGUAGUGCAGCGAGCAACAAAACGCUCAACAUCCCGUCUCAUCUUUGGCCAGAAGAAAUGUGUAGCAAGUAUAUCCUCCGUCUUCUUGACGCCAAAGUGUCCCAUUAAUCCUCCUCCAUGCGCCCCCUGCAACAACAAAAGACGAACGGAGCUAGCUGGAAUGCAUAGCUUGUUAGCACGAAACACAAAUCCAUCGUUAAGAACGAACUUGUUCCAAGUUCUCCCUUCCUUACAAUUCUGCAAUACAUCUUUAAAUUCAGCAUCAUGAACAUAUUGAUCUUUGAUGGUCUCCAAACCAAAUAUUUUAAAGUCAAGUUGUGAAAGCAUAGUAUAACGACGAGACAAUGCAUCAGCAAUAACAUUUUCUUUACCCGUCUUGUGUUUAAUGACAUAAGGGAAAGUCUCAAUGAAUUCAACCCAUUUAGCAUGUCUACGGUUCAGUUUUGCUUGAAUUUUAAUGUGUUUCAAAGAUUCAUGAUCAGAAUGUAUAACAAAUUCCUUGGGCCAUAAAUAAUGUUGCCAUGUUUCUAAGGUCCGAACAAGAGCAUAUAAUUCUUUAUCAUAAGUAGAAUAGUUCAGACUAGGCCCACUCAAUUUUUCAGAAAAGUAUGCAACAAGGUUUCCAUCUUGUAAUAACACACCUCCUAAUCCAAUUCCACUAGCAUCACAUUCAAGCUCAAAAGUCUUAUUGAAAUUAGGAAGUUGGAGUAAAGGAGCAUGUGUCAACUUAUCUUUCAAUACCGUGAAGGCUUCUUCCUGUGCGGUACCCCAAACAAAAGGCACAUCCUUCUUUGUAAGCUCGUUGAGAGGUGCAGCAAUGGUGCUGAAAUCUCUCACAAAACGCCUAUAGAAACCAGCGAGGCCAAGGAAACUCCUCACUUGUGUGACCGUUUUGGGCUGCGGCCAACUCUCCAUAGCUUCAAUCUUGGCUUUAUGAACUUCAAUUCCCUGUGGAGUAACAACAUAGCCAAGAAAAGAUACUCGGUCGGUGCAAAAGGUGCACUUUCCAAGGUUUCCAAACAAACGUGCAUCACGUAGAGCAAUAAAAACAACACGUAAAUGUUCCAAAUGUUCCUCCAAAGAUUUGCUAUAAAUCAAUAUGUCAUCAAAGUAAACUACCACAAAUCGUCCAAUGAAAGCACGUAAAACUUCGUUCAUUAACCUCAUGAAAGUACUAGGUGCAUUAGUUAACCCAAAAGGCAUGACUAACCACUCAUAUAAUCCAAACUUAGUUUUAAAUGCUGUUUUCCAUUCAUCAUCCAAUUUCAUACGAAUUUGAUGGUAUCCACUAUGCAAAUCAACUUUGGAGAAUAUUGUAGAGCCACUCAAUUCAUCAAGCAUAUCAUCUAGCCUAGGAAUAGGAUGAUGAUAACGAAUAGUAAUAUUAUUAAUGCCUCUACAAUCAACGCACAUACGCGACGUACCAUCCUUUUUCGGCACUAAAAUGAUAGGAACAGCACAAGGACUAAGGGAUUCGCGUAUAUAACCUUUGUCGAGCAGUUCUUGUACUUGAUGCAUAAUCUCCUUCGUCUCCUAUGGAUUGGUACGGUAUGGUGCACGGUUGAGUAGCGAAGCACCGGGAAUUAAGUCAAUUUGAUGCUCAAUCCCUCGAAUAGGUGGUAAUCCCGAUGGCACGUCUUGUGGAAAAACGUCAGCGAACUCCUGCAAAAUGUUAGUGAUAGCAGGGGGCAAAGAGGAAGGCACGUCCUCGAAUGAAAAUAAUGCCUCUUUGCACACAAAAGCAUAGCAAACAGAUUUGCUAAAAUCUAGCUCAUCAAUAUCAGAUUUGGUGGCAAGUAAACAUGCACUUUCCAAUUUAAUUUCAGAAACAACAGUAGAUGGUUUAUUAUUAGGCUUCAUUUGGUGCUCAAAUUCUUUUGCCACAAUCUGAUUUUCACUCUUAUUUGUCUCCUGUUUUGCUUUAUUAGCUCUAUUAAUAUCAUCUUUCAAAAUGGAAUCAGGAGUCAUAGGAAGCAAAGUAAUAUUUUUAUCAUUAUGAACAAGAGUAUACUGAUUGUUUCUACCAUGGUGUACAGAAUUUUUAUCAAAUUGCCAUGGUCUACCAAGUAAUAAGGAACAUGCUUGCAUAGGUACCACAUCACAAUCAACAUAAUCAGCAUAUGUAGAGAUACUAAAAUGCACACGAACAGUACGUGUUACCUUAACCUUGCCGCUGUUGUUGAACCAUUGGAUGUAGUAAGGAUGUGGAUGUGGUCUUGUGGUCAGAGAUAGCUUCUCCACCAUCUCCAUGCUAGCCAAGUUAUUGCAGCUCCCUCCAUCUAUGAUCACACGAACAGAAUGUUCCUUCACAACUCCCUUUGUAUGGAACAAAUUAUGCCUCUGAUUUUGCUCAGCUUGUGUAACCUGCACACUCAAAACACGUUGAGCAACUAAACAUUCAUACCUGUCAGCAUCUUCAGGAGCCAUGUAUUGCGUCUCAUGAUCAGAAUCGUCUCCACCGUGUUCUUCAUGUGUAAUAAGAGCCAAAGUCUCCUCAUCAUAGUCACUAGCGGACUCAUACCCACCAUCCUCAGUAACAAUCAUCACACGCUUAGAUGGGCAUUCUCUCGCAUAAUGACCUCCACCCUUGCAACGUCGACAAAUAAUAUCAUGUGUUUGCCCUGUUGAUGCCAUGGAUGAAGAAGAGCUCUUUGCAGGCCCAGAAGGUGUGCUCUUGGCAGAUAGUGGUGAUUGUGCCUGCUUUAUUGUAUCACGGUUGGAGGUGGCAGCCGAUGGAGGCGCCGGUGUAGCAGAACAUGUGGAAGUAGAUGAUGCACGUGGUGUCCAUGAUGAAGGUCGACCUGCAGAAAAGUUAGUCCGCGGCAAUGCCUGUCGAUCCUGCACUUCACGUUCAGCUUUACAAGCAAGAUGGAAUAAACGAGUGAUAUUAGUAUACUCCUUAUACUAUAGAAUCGUCUGAAUCUCUCUAUUUAAUCCACCCAUAAAACGUGCAAGCAUAGCUUCAUUCUCCUCAACAAUACCACAUCUAAUCAUGCCAGUUUGUAAUUCCCGAUAAUAUUCUUCUACAGAAUUUUUUCCCUGUCUUAAGCGCUGCAAUUUUUGAAGUAAUUCACGUUGAUAAUAUGGUGGAACCCAACGAGUACGCAUAGCAGUUUUCAAUGCAGCCCAAGUAGCCGGAAUGGGAUAUAAUCUACAAUGCUCAGACCACCAAACACAUGCAAAACUAGUGAACGCACAAACAGCAGCAGGAACACGUCUCUCCUCGGGAUAUUGUAAACAUGUAAAUCGUUGUUCAGUUUCUAACUCCCAAGUAAGAUAUAUAUCAGGAACAUAUCUACCCUCAAAUGGUGGAAUAUUCAAUUUUAGUUUAGGGAGAUGGUCAUGAUCUCGUACCUGAGGGUGAGCCCUACCAUUGCCAUUAUUUGCAUGUGGACGACUUGGUGGUUGCUGUGCUAGUGGUGGCACGUAGUUCUGAUUUUGAUCAACCUCAUCCUCAUAAUCUCCCACAUAAUCAUCCUCCUCCACAUCAGCAGUAGGAGCCACAGAAGUAUCAAUAGCAGCACUAGCAAUUUGGCCCGACUGAAGAGGGACACGGCUCGCUCGGCGAAGGGCUGUUUCCCCACGUGGAGGUAGUCGAUGUUGUUGCUGUUGUUGCAGAGGUGCGGCAAGAGCAGCCGGUGGUGGUGGUGGAAAACGCAAAAGCAAUUCAGCAAACUUGUUAUCGAGCUUUGUUUCAAACGUCUUCUCCAUGCCAUCUAUCUUCUCCAUGGCCUCUUCAAAUCUGUUUAUCACAUCUUGCACCUGUCCACUCAUCAUUUGCUGAAACGUAUCAUGAAGCUCCUUGUUCGUCAAGUUCUCCCAGUCAGUCUCGUCGGCUUGUGAUCCUGGCAUGGUUAGCAGUAAUAGAAACACACAAGAAUAUGAUCCUACAGACUACUAACAAGUGGUGGUGGUGGCGGGUGUCACAAAUCCGUCAAGCAAAUCUCAAAUUCUUACCAGUUCUUACCCAGCAGCAGGCGGUGAUCGGCAACCGUUGUAGUCAAAACUCUCGAAAGCUUGGAUAGAGCGAUUGCCAGGGAGAUUCAAACGCACAACGUAGAUGUAUGUGGAGCUGGGAAGGCUUAUAGUAUGGUAGCAAAAAGGGUCAGCAAUAAUCAAUUCAGAGAUGCAAAGUUGAAUAAACGCUCAACGACGGUACUGUGCUGGUCCUAGGCUAGACCGUGCUAAAGACGCGAGCCUAGAACACUAACAAAAUCACGGCGCUGCACGUAAAUAAGGGAAAAGCACACUCUGGAACUCUUUUUUUUGCGCUCCUUUUUUUUGCGCUCCUCUUUUUUUUUUGCGAAAAAUCACUAUAAUGGCGAGUGUCUCAAAACUCUUCCCUCGUCAAACUGAUAGUAUGGGCACGAAAUUUAUUUUUUCACUUUUUUUCGGAAAUCAGGGCAGCGACGACGAAAAAGUGCGACAAAAAAUCAAUAUGAUGGCACGUGGCUCAAAAGACUCAGAAAAGCCUAAAAAUAGGAUAGGGAAAAAAUUGCCUGUGAAAAUUUUGGCCUAAAAACUGCCCGGGGGUCUCCAGACUCUUUUUUUUUCCGAGACCUACGCAGGUAAGGAAACAGUAAUCAGAAUUUAGAUUGAUCUCAAGAACAAACCUAAUAUGAGAAGAACUCGGAUUGGUGGUGGAUAUAUGGUUGUGGUAUAUGGCAGCGGUGGUGGUAUAUGGUAGCGGUGGUGGUAUAUGGAUACAGAUUGGUGGUGGUAUAUGGAUAUGGAUUCAGAGCGGUGGCGGAUAAGCAAAAGUGGUAGAUGGGCGAUGAUGAUGGUGCAGCGGCGGCGUGACAACUUAUGACCAGAACUUGAAACUCUAAAAGACUAGACUCUAAGACCAGCAACUUGACACGACGAUGCAACCGCAAAUUCAACAAAGCAAAAACCCUAAAAAGAUUAUGCAAAGGCUCAGAUUGGUUCGGAUAUGAUGAACUAACCCUAUUUUUUUCUGGCUUUUUCUUGGACUGUAGGUAUGAAGAACAGACUCGAUCUAAUCUACGAAAAACUGUAAAAUCUCACCGAGCAACCUGGAAAUCUGAUACCACUUGAUAGAGGCUAAGGUGUCCCGAUGUUUCGAUGAGAUGGUGGCUAUCGUUUUCUGUGGGAGUCGACCUUGACGAUCCGACUAUGAAGGUGUGAGACGUCGCGCCUUAGCAAUCGCUAAACCAACUUUCGAGGGUUAUUGACCACGCUGGAGCACGAUCAAGCUGACCACGAGGGUCUGUUUCCUGCGAGCAAACGAAGAACAAGAAAGAAACUGAGAUUGCAAUCAGGAUAUUGCGAAUAUAAGAUGAAAGCUUUAUUGAUCAAGGUGGAGUUCUGUGACGUCUUGGUCUGGUCGUUGGACACAAACGAAGUACGCGAAGUUGCAGCUAUGGCGAACUUUUAAUCUAAACAAAACCCAAAGUCUAAACGACGCCCUAAGGGCUGUAUAUAUGGAGGAAGAGGGGGGAAUUUCGUGGCCCUUGAGGGUGGGGUCCGAAACCAACCCUAACUCUUGUUUCCCCACACAUACGGACUCUAAAAAUAUCCUAUACUUAAGUAUUUCGAAACUACAUGGGCCUGGCCCAUUAAUAAGGUGACGCAGCACCUAGAAUAGCCUAUGGACGAAUAUUAUGAAGUGGCAUCUUGUAUAUUUCGUCCAAGGCUUCAUGCACUCCUUAUGGCGGCUUCAAAGUCCUGAAAUCAUCACUUGUAACUCCGUUCUUGAUCCCCUUGCGCAUGCCAUCAACUCCAUGCGUGUUCUUGCUCCAAUGUUCACCCUUCUCCAAGCUAGGCCCUUCAUUUGUAAGCAAAACAAAUGUAUCCAAUUUAGGCAGCAUCAUAAUCUGAUGAACAUUAGAAUCAUUACCAAGAAA
rnacentral:lncRNA from 1 species